GUGUGAAGAAGUCUUAUCAGUCAGUCUCUGAUCUUUCACCUUUCAUUGAUUUGUGUUCUAUAUUCUACUUCCGCUAGUAGUUGAAAUUUGGCAAUUAAGAUGGCACAAUACGGGGCUGAAUAUGGCAACCAAAAGAGCCAGUACGAUGAGUACGGAAACCCAGUUCGUCAGACAGACGAAUAUGGUAACCCAGCCCGCCAUGGAGGUACCAUGGGUGAUUAUGGAACCACUGGCACUACUGGAGCCUAUGGUGGCACAGCUGGAGCACAUGGGACUUAUGCAACUGGAACCACCGGCACUACCGGUACCGGUGCGUAUGCCACCCAGCCUGGCACUGAUGUGGGGAAGGAGCACCAUGGCCUUGGUGGCAUGCUUCAUCGCUCUGGUAGCGGUAGCUCUAGCUCGGUAUGCCCUCCUAAUUAAUCUCGUCUUGCUUAAAUUGUACUGAGUUGUAGUAGCAUUUAACAAAUCUUGACCAGCUUGUGAUGACUGGUAAUUAAAAAGUUCUUAUCUGUUUUCUUUUUGUUUUUUCGGUUGGGAUGCAGUCCGAGGAUGAUGGGCAAGGCGGGAGGAGGAAGAAGGGGAUGAAGGAGAAGAUAAAGGAGAAACUGCCUGGCGGUCACAAGGAGGCUCGACCUGGACAAGAAUAUUCGAGUGCUACUACAGCUCCUGGAUACGGCGGGGAAGGAGAGCAGCACGAGAAGAAAGGAAUUAUGGAUAAAAUCAAGGAGAAAUUACCAGGGGGUCACAACAACUGAAGAUCUAAUUCUAAUAAUAUGGGAUCCAAUUAUGAUAUUGUGUACCCCUAUUUUCAAUCUCAAUCUCAAUCUCGUUCGUGUCAUGUUUGUGUUUUCUGAGAUUUGAGUGUGUGGACGUCUUGAGUUUCUGUAAUUGGAAUAAAGAUGAUGAUGAUGACUCUGUAGUGUGUUUGUCCGUAUAUUCGGCGUCUUGUACUCGGGUCAUCUGGUCAUGUAUGUAUGUAACAUGUUAUGUAUCAAAUACGUGAAGUUUUGCGUUACUUUAGCGUGUGAUCGCUUGUAAGUUGUAAGGAUUACGACUCUGGUCGCAUCUAUUCUUUUUUGUCUCCUCAAACCAUAAUGCGCUAACACGAGCAGUGCAAACAAGAUUUCUUAUUAGCAAUAUAACCAGUAGUAACUCAACCCCUCAGGACCUUGAAGUCAGUAGAGUAGUUGUAGGCUCUUGUAAUUGUACACCAAUAUCUCCAAAGUUUCCAACUUCACUAUAUAUUAGUUCCUUGAUCCAAUACCAAAACCAAGCAAGCAAAUGCCACACAGAAAAUCGGGACAGGGACAAGAUAUGGACCUAGCAAAUCAAUAGACUCAGUUCAGAGGUAUAUGCUUGCAUUUGCGUGGCCAAUCAUCAUUGUUUUUUUUUUUUAAUUUUUUUUUAUCAUUUUUUUCGCCGCUGGGGAUGUAUGAUGGUUUGUUGACGAGGAACAAAUCAGAGAAAGGGUAACACCUUAGCAAACACUCGUGUUUGCUAAGGGGAAAAAGACACCAAUUUCAGUAACAGUGAUUGCAACUUUUCUUGGCAUGCGGCAAUUCUUUCAGCCCCAAGGAGGGGGGGAAAAGUGUUAUCCUUGGACUUCACCUUUAGGCCAAGCAGGGUACACCUAAUAUUCAAGGAACGGUUAGUGACAAAAUGUGGCUGAGGGCCUGAGACUCGAUACGUCAGGGGAUCCAAAGCAGACCAUAAGAACCAGGCAAGAAUAUCAAUUUUACUAGAGAUGCGAAACCCGAGGAGAGAAAGAAACGACAUAAGGUCCUUUUGGAGAGUAUUAUCACAGAUGUGAAUGUGAUGCGAUGCGACAAAAAAAGUGAAUGUGAUGCGGCUUCAGAGUAGAAUAUCGUGUUAGAUUGCAGAGGCGAUGAACCACCAUCACAUCAUUGACUCUUUAAGUAUACGCUAUAUUUACCUGGAUUAUCUGGGAUUAACACACGAUAGUAUCACAAGCUUACUUCCAGUUCUGCCCCAACAAUGAAAGAAUCCAAACGGGGUUAAGGCUCAACCUACUGAAAAGAAUUCAAUGUUCCGGGAUAGGGGAUUCUCUUACUGAGGCCCAAAUAGAUUGGCUCUUUAAGUAAUUAUCUCAACCCUAACAAUUAAGAAUGUCUAGGCAUUUUCAUUGCUACCGUGGUUAACCCCAGGAUUCCAACUUCAAUCACCAAAAAUCACCACAGGAGCAUAUUCCUUUCCGGAAAUGGUGGAACCUCAAGUUAUCCCUAACAACUAUCUCCCUGCUCGUGAGCUGAGAUGCUCUGCUCAUUACAGAGUGGCAGUCCUCACAUAUUCUCAGGUUCUUGGUGAUUCUGAUAACACAAUUAGCACUUGUAGUUAGCAGGGAAUACGCCAAAGCGAGCUUUUCACUAUGCGUUAGAAGGAUCCGCUCCUUUUCUUCAUCACUUACAUCAUAAGGAGCAGAACUUAGUAUUGGCUGAUAGCCAUGGACCUUUAGUCUCUUAAGAAGAUCCUGUAGUGUCUGCUUAAUCAAUUUAGACUCUGGAUGAAUCGUGUCAUCAGAAUAGAAGUUGUGAAGUCCCCCAUUUUCAUCUUCAACCAUGCUAAGUGAAGGAGUUUUUAUUAAACGUUUUGCUCUUAUCAACUUCCUUACUCUUGAAACAUCUUCCCACCUUCCAGCUGAAGCAUAGAUAUGGGAAAGCAAGACAUAGUUUCCAAUACCAUCAGGUUCAAGUUGAAACAGUUGCUUAGCAGCUAUUUCAGCAACCUUAGGAUUUCUAUGAAUUCGGCAAGCUCCUAGCAAGGCUCCCCAAAUGCUGCCAUUGGGCUCUAUUGGCAUCGUUUGAAUAAGUUCCAGUGCUUCUUCCAGUCUUCCAGCUCUGCCAAGGAGAUCAAUCAUGCAAGUAUAGUGGUCAACAGACGGCUUAAUACCACAACCAUUCUUCAUCAUUCCAAAGAAAUGCUGACCUUGUUCUACCAAGCCUGCAUGACUACAUGCGGCAAGGACCCCGACAAAAGUCACCUUAUUAGGCUUCACCUCAACCUUCAUCAUCUUCUCAAACAACUCUAUUGCUUCUCUAGCACAUCCGUGCAUUGCAAACCCACCAAUCAUUGAACUAUAAGAGAAAACAUUUCGAUCCUUCAUACUCUCAAAAACCUUAAAUGCAUCCUCCACACUCCCACACUUCGAGUACAUAUCAAUUAAUGCCGACCCAACAAGGACAUUAUCCGUAAGUCCAAAUCCUGACUUCUCUGCAAAAUCCCGGACCCAAUUUGCGUACUUGAUUGCACCCAAUUGAGCACAAGCUGAAAUAACACUAGACAAGGUCACUUCAUCCGUGUUUACCCCAGAAUUCUGCAUUUUCUCAAAGUACUCUAACGCUUCCUUAGGCUGAGCAUUCUGUGCAAACCCUGUCACCAUCGCGGUCCAUGCCACCAUAUCCUUCACAGGAAGCCUAUCAAACAACUCGCUUGCCGCCACCAUAUCCCCGCUCUUCGCAUAUGCAACGAUCAAAGCUGUAAAAGAAAUGACGUCCCUCGUGGGCAAUUCAUCAAAUACCCUCCUAGCAAAAUCCAAGCACCCACAUUUUACAUACAUAUCAAUCAACGUAUUUCCCACAAAUAAAUCCUGGACAAACCCACCAAUCUUCAAGCUUUGCCCAUGAAUUUGCCUGCCCAAAUCCACAUUCAACACGCCAGUACAAGCCUUCAACAAUGCCGUAAAAGUAAAUGAAACGGGCAAAAUAUCAUCCCUCCUCAUUUGGCCAUACAAAAAUACGGCCUUUUCUAGUGGCCCCUGAACAGAAUAACCGCGGAUAAUUGCUGUAUAGAGAAAAGGGUUGGGGCAAUAUACCUGGCUGAAGAUCAGACGGGCGUAAGUAUCGAUGGGGGUAUUGAGUUUGCAGAGCACCCGAACGAGUUUUGUUAGGAGGAAGCUGCAUUGGUCGAGACCUUUUCUGAUGAUAUGAGCGUGGACUCUCUUGAUUUCUGUGAGACUAAUGCAGGAAUCGAGGAUUGAGACGAGCUGGGCUUCUAGAAGCUUUGUUUCUUGAAGCUUAGAGACGGGAAUGAAGGGUUCUUGGAGGUCCAGAGCUGGAGCUUUCGGUUCGUAGAAUUGGGGGAUGAGAAUUGCAGGGCGUCUAAGGGUUUUAAUCAGCUUCUUGGAAAGUGAAACCAUCACAUAUUUUGCACAGAAUUUGUGGACUAGAAGUGGCCGUUUGGGGAUGCAGAAGAGAGUGAAUUUUGUGUUGGCGCCAAAUAACAGCAAUCUGUUGUUAAAUUUGAGAGUAAACAAGAGGGUGUAGUCGUCAGCGCAAGGUAGUGAAGAAUUGACGCUACUAAUUGCCAAACCAAUUUUCUUUUUCUUUUUAUUGUUAUGCUUAGAUAAUAUGUAGAUAAUGAAAACUUGUAAUUUAUCUGCAUGAAGCAUAAUGAUUAUUAUAUGUUUACUUCAACAAAACUAAAGUUGUGAUAGUAAAAUAUUUGAAAAUUUUUUUUUUAAAAAAUAUUAUAACACUUUUUUUUUUUAUAUGAAGUAUGCGACAUAUAAGAAAUAAUAAAAAAAAAAUGCGUUAAUAAUGCCCAUAAAUACAAACAAGCCCAGUUCCGUAAACAUCUUCAAAACGUUGUGAAGAUAUUUAUAUUUCUGAGUUGGAUGCGCUUUAAACGGUUUAAUAAACCAACCACCAAAAAGAUAAAGGCCUCAUGAAAAAGACAACCAUAUAUAAGUUACUCGUGCAACAAAUGUUCAUCAUCGGGGCCUGUUUAUGAUAGUAAUUGGUAAAAGAAGAAAAGAACAGGAAAAUUUGCAGAGGGAAAAGGAGGUUAGUUAAUUAGUAGGGGCACUAAUCAUAUAGCAAAUAAUCGGCUUUCAUAUGACUAACCAACAUCAUACAGCAUAUAUAUAUUUUGACAAACCUACUAAUGAUGUACAGCUCAAACAAAAAAAUACCAAAGGUUUUCACUACCAUAAUGAGCAGCAGCAGAUUAGUGUGCUUUCUGGUGUGCCUUGACGUUCCGAAGCACAUCCUUCAGAACCGCUGCAAUUCUUUGCUCCAUAUGGCGUUCUAAAAACCUUUCUUUCACCCUCUCAUAGCCUCUCUUCCCCAUCGUCAGUCUCCUUUCAACAUGAGUAGCAAGUUUAACCAUAUUUCUCGCAAGAGGCAUUACUCCCUGUUUCCCUACCGGAUGCAGAAGACCUGUUGAUCCAUUCACCACAAUUUCUUGAGUGCCACCUGCUGCUGUUCCCUGAAAAUCAAGCCAUAAUCAAGCAGUCAUAAGAUAACCUAUACUCUGAAUCAACCGAAUGUCCUCAAGAAUAUAGAAGAGCUAAAAUCUCAUGCAUUUUUUACUGGAACAGAUGUCAGAGAUUCAGGGCAACCAUACCAGUACGGGUAACUGAAAUGCCAUGGCUUCAAUUGUUAUCCUCCCAAAGCACUCACCUCGUGCCUACAUGGAGGGAUGAGGAUGUAGAUAUUAGUACCGACACCGAGACCGAGAUCAAGAUACAUUUCACAAACACCCUAAAAAAGUCGUACAAAAUAGCAGACAAACUUGUUUCACAAUGAGAUUUUUAAAUUGUUAACAAAUUCACAACUAUGGUUCUCUUUGAGUCCUCCCUUAAUUGCAUGACGUCAUUUGUAGAAUUCAAAUCUAACAAAAGCAUGUAGAAUCACAUGCUCAUGGGUUGCAAAUCAAACAGGAAUAAAAUUUUUGGGAAAAUAUAUCUACACUAUAUACUGGACUCAUCUUUCAUUUGAAAUGAGAACUUAAUUUUACCACUACUGGACCCAUAUUUAGGCAAAAGGGAAGAGGGGGAAAUAAAAACAUCAAAAGUGAGCUCAGCAAUUGAAGUUCUAAGAAUGCAAUAAGUCGGCUAGUGUAGCUUUUCAACUGCCCAGGCAAAAAGGACCCACGAGAGAAAAAAUCUUUCCAGUGUUUGGUGCAAAAGGAAAAUGCGAUCAAAUUGACCUUUUACUACUUUUGCUACAUAGAACGUGCCUUUUUUGUGCAAUUUAUGACAUUAAACCGAAAAAGCUUCCAGCCAGCCUUCUAAAUAUUUGAAUAGGUUUUUUUAUUAAAUUUGAUUGGCAAUGGCAUGUUACAAUGUUCAGUAAAACAUACAGAACUUACAAAAUAAUAAUUAGGAACAGGUCACAAUUCCAAAUAACUUUCUCCUAUCUAGGACAUGGUGGAUAUGGUUUUUCUAACAAUUUUUUAAGAUUGUCGGCCGUGCAGUUUCUCUAAAUUAUACAUGUAUUUGGAGAAAAUAAAUAGAUAACAAAUACUGAAUGUGCAUGGGGGCAAAAGAACGUAAAUUGCAGCCAGAGAUUUGCAAAGUUAACAGCGGCAGCAGAUAAAAAUGAUUUACCUGAGAAUUCUGGACAAGAACAUCAAUUGCAGCAAGAUAAGGAGCUACAGCCAGAGUCUUAUUAACGAAAUGAACAUGACCCUGAAUCUUUUUAGAUUCAACAAAGGCCCUCAGCUCAGACUCAAAUUUGCUUUGAGCAUUUACAUCACUCCCCACAAUUGCAGCGUGUAUAGGUGGCACUUGUAGCUUCUGGUGCUUGAUGUAUAUUAGGCUCUCGUGAAAAGAAUUCAGAAACAAAUCUUGUCCUUUUCCACGAGAAACACCUACAGCAUUACAACCACCAAACCAUCAAACAAAAAUAAAAAUAAAAGCAUGAAUAUUUACUUAGCAAGUCUUAUAAGCAGAACAGACAAAAUAUUCACUGUCGGUGAUUUGCAAACAUCAGUACAACCUCCUCAUACAAAUAUGCCAAUAAGUAAAAAGAUCAUUUAUACAUAGAAGACUUGCAAAAUGAAGAUGCCCAAUAAAUCAAGUUAAGCCAAAAAAAAAAAAACUGGGUGAGUAUUCAUGAUUCUGAUCCUUUCAGGAAUCAAGCAUACUUGGUUGACGACCUCACUUACGGAGGCACCUCUGCAUUUGGUGGAAAGUACAAGACUAAUAUGCAAGGUGAGGAUCACAGGACUUAAAUCUUGACAAAAAUCAGGAAAGCUCACAGAGGGAGGGAAGCUGAAGCGACUGUUGAUGUGCAAGAAUUGAUAGAUGAUGAAUGUGAAGAAGAUUAUCAGACUUUCCUUGACCAUUUAAACUUUAAUGGCGAAAAAAUGGUUCUGAAAUACAAAAAGUCGAUGCCUUAUAUAUGACGGGGAACUAAAUGUCCAAACUCAACUCCGUGCAGUGUGUGUGUGUAUAUAUAUCCUUAAUUAUGAAUGCAACAGGAAGAAAAAUUCAUCCUAACGUGUCUAAAGCUCAUGAUUUCUUCUUAAUUUACCACAGCAGUUGUUUAAAUACAAUAUCAAGUCAGUCUCUCAAACAAGCUUAAAAACUCCAAAAAACAUUGUGGAACAACCUCCCCUAUACUAAACCAAAUCUCAAAUUCUUCUCACAAAAACAGCCCCCAGGUUCAACGGAAGCAUAAGGACCCCAAACAACCUCCAAAAAAAUAUGUAAAAAAAACACAUAAAAACAUUUUUUAAAAAAAAUGGACCCCAAACAACCUCCAAAAAAAUAUGUAAAAAAAACACAUAAAAACAUUUUUUAAAAAAAAUGAAAGUUAGUGCAUACUAUUUAUGAUGGCAAAAAGUAUAUCUUCAUUCUGAACCCCAAGAGAUUCACGAACAUGCUCCCGCAAAACCCUUUUUGCCACAGUAUCCUCAGCAACUUCCAUAAGUUCUUUACUGUUCCCAAGAUGAACAACAUAUGUUUUGGGCAUUUUGAUCCUAUAAGAGAUUGACAAAUACAGUUAAGAACAGUCAGAAUGAUGAAAAAUUGAGAUCGAGGGAAUAAUGUUGGACAGUAAACAUUGCCAUGAGAGAAACACACGAUCAAUAGUCAGAAAUCUUAAUUGCCCAUGUCAACCAAAUUUGUCCCUUACAUCUACAGGUUAUGGCCUUUUUUAAGACUACAUCCAUUUAGACCAGAAUUUUCUAGAAGUUUUCUGUAUCCUCAAAGAGAUAAAAAAAAAAAAAGGCACAGAUCAUGAUGGAUGCAUAGCUAAGUUUGAACCAGCUGCUUACCACAUCAGAAGUCUCAACCAUAAAAACCUUCCUCCUUUGAAGAUUAAAUUAAUAGAAAAUCGAUAUUAACCAUUCACCAAGCCAUACAAAGGAAUCAAUUCCCCCAAACAUUCACUGUUAAGGCUCCAAUUAUGAAAUUCAGCAACUCAAGAAUCUACUUUUCAAAAUUUUUGAGAUUAACACUGCAGCAUAAAUAAAUAUGCAUAGUAACAUUAUUAUGAAAAAACAUUUUAAUCGAUUUCAUCAAGUCAUCCCGACUUAAGGUGCUGCACAUGACUUGCAACACACUUGCACCUUCAUCCCCAUCUUGCCCCUUGCAAUAUCUUCAUGGACUAAAAUGUCAAUCAUGAACUCUAAUUCUCAUUGUCUUACUUUAAUUAUUUGUUAUCACAUCAGCUAAUUCAUCCAGAGAAUAAAAAAAUGAAACAUAGCAAAAAUAAAACAAGAGAAUCGGAGGUUGCAUAGCACUCCAGUUUUCUUGUUCUACCAGCUGAUCUUUACCAUAAGAAGAUUAGAAGUCCUUUGCUGGUAAGUUGUUAUUAAGAUACUUUUCCAAUUUCUAGCAAAAAUGAUAUGAAUGUUAACUGUCCUCCGCUAAAAUUCUCACACACUUCUAUAUCACAGUGCAAUAUAAGAACUGAGAAAAUCAGCAUAACUACCUUCUAUCUUGAUAAUUGACAAGAGCAAGAACAUUAUUUGUGUCAGGCAAGCUAGUAGUGGCAUAUCUUGGGAAGCACCUAGGGUUGUUCAACCUUGUACAUACACCUAGGGCUGAAAACUGUACUAAUCAUACAUCAUCACAACACGCUAAUGCAGUGAUCAACAUAUAAUGCAUGAGUUCAAAUAGUAAAGAAAAAAAACAAACAUAGAGCUUUGUGCAUGUUGGAAGCUGCAUUAAAUAGGAGGCCACUAAAAGAAGUAAGGAAUGACAUACAUAGAUGCCUACCUUAAUCGCUCCUGUGUCCUAUUCUUCCAGUAUUCUGCUGUGACAUGUGAAUCUAUCAUUGCACCAGCAACAAAUGGAAGGUGUUUUACAUAAUCCAAACUGAAGUAAUGGCCCCGCAUUUCAUGGAUCCACCACAAAGUUUUGGGGAGAACAAGAUGAACUUUUUCCUUAAGAACAGCAUCCAACCACUUUCCAGCCACAGCAGUGUUCAAAACCACCAGAUCUGCUUUCAGUGCUAUAUUUACGGCCUCUUGGCUUCUCGCCGAGACAAUCUGAGAUGUAAAAGGGGAAAAGGUGAGCAUACUGCUCAACAGUGUUUGAACCUCAUAAAAUUAGCAACCAAUGCAUCAAGUAUUUAGAAAAAUUGAUUCGUGUUGAUAAGGCUGCAUCUUAUCCAUCAUAAAAUUUUAUUUACCAGAAACAAUUAUAUUCGUGCAGAACGGAAAUCUUUAUUACCGUAACAUAUACUGAACCUUGUCACAUUAGGAAUGGAGAAAAUAACGCUGGCAAAUUCAUGGAUUAAUUACCUGAUAUAUCAAGCGUAUUGAAAAAAAAUGCAAAGCAUUUUGUUGAAAUGGAAGGGGGAGGGAGAGUGAUUGAACCAAUUGAAUACAUAUACCUUUUUCCUCUUUGUAAAAUUAUAUACAGAUGUUUGCCACUGAGCUGACAGAAACGAUAUGACUAACUAAAUAUAACAUUAGCAAACUCGAGAACAUCGAGCUCCAUGCAUUACUUUAGCAGGAAACCAUGACGAAAACUUUGACAAACAGGUUAAAAACUAAAGAGGCAAAGACUGCAUCCCUCAACAAGUAGACUCGCAAGAACUGUGAGAUUUCAUUGUCAAAAGAUUUAAGGAAUAAAAUAUGGAAAUAAAGAAGAUAGAUAUUGCAAAAAGAGCCAUGUAAGGUAGCUGAUUAUAAGCACAGAAAGAUUUUGCAACCUGCACUCCUCGAGUUAACAUUUUGUGCUCCAAACUGUAGAUGACACUGUCUGUUCCUGAUGGUCUCUGGUUUGUAAUCCAUUGAACAUCAGCACCAACACCUCGUAACAGAAAAGCCAGUUCCAUCAGCAACAAUGGUCCACCUACAGUGUGUUUCAGUAAAUGGAUUAGCUAGAGAUAAAGUUACAGAGAUACUAAUAAAUGACCGAAAGCCAGUAACUUGAAUAAAAGACCAACAUUAACCAAUCAAAGCUGAUUAAAAGACUGAUUAAAAGACAUGAUAGGUCACAUUUCCAGAAGGUUUAUAUUGUGGGAGGUGACAAGAAUAAGCAUAGAAUGAUUCUGUUGCAGGGGCACACUUAACCAUAUUCCAGAUGUUUUUAGAGGACCUAAAUGGAAUAACUUUAAAAAAUAUCACUUAAGGCUGAAGAGCUGGUUUAGAAUACAUAUUGUUUCCAUGUUAUUGCUAUGGGUUUUAAGUCUCUCAUUUGUUCAUGUAGAACCCAUCAAAGGAACUGAAAGCUAUUAUUAUACCUGUCACUUUCAUAAUGUUGCUUCUAGGAUUUAUUAUCCAGCAACUUCUGCCUACACACUUUACUUUUGAACAACCCCCUAUAAUCUCCAUUCCUGGGCAUUUACCUAUAUCCCUUUAUAUCCUUUAUUUACCAUUUCUGUUGCAAUUACUGCAAAUUGCACUAUUAAGAAAGUCGCAAUGGCAAUUUAUCACUUAAAACUUCAACAAACAAUCACUUAUGUGGUAUCAUAUCAAUACCUUCAUUUGGUUGUAACUUCUUCCCUAAGCGUACAUAGCCAGUCCAGAUUAUCACAUAAAAUCUCAUGCUAUCUUUUUCAAGAAACAUACACUUUAUGCCAGUUCACAAACUGAAAAAAAAAAAAAGAGGUAAUGAAACUCUAACAAAAUCGAAUGAAGCACGGAAGUUGCCAGAGAAAAAAAGACGGUUCACCAGGACAUACAGAAUCAUAUCUCUAGUAUCCUCUACUCAGAGCCCAAGUUUUGCUAGACCAAGACCUCAGUACUAAAUGUGCAUGAUAUCAAUGGCAAUCCAUGCAUCAGCAAACGGUAACUGGAUGGCUUGAAAUUACAUGCUGUUAACAACAUCAGCCUUUUUCUCCUUGAAUUUUUCAUCUCUUACCUCCUAUAUAUCAUUUUUUUCCUACCUGACCUGUUAUCCAUCUUUGAUCAAUACAAUAUAAUUUCCACUUGAAGGAAAAAGUUUUGCUGGAUACAUAUAUGUAAUGCACCAGCUAAAGAAUUACUACUUGGCUAAAUUUGCAAUAUAUCAAUAACAGCACCACAACUCAAAAUCAACAUUGAGUUAAUUUUCUAAUGAGAGAUGAAAAUAACAGAGGGGAAGGGGCAAGCUCUUCUUACAAGAUACCUAAAAAAACUCCAGUAACUCGAAUUGAAUCAUUAAAUAUACAUAAUUCAGAUUCUUGAGGAAACAAAAAAGAGUUCUCUUUUUUUUUUUUGGUUCUUUUGUUGAAGAAGAGACGGACCUGAAAGAGAAAGCUCAUGAGAGACAAGAAGCACGAGCUUAGACUUCAUAAAACUAAGUGGGCUGGGAGACGGAGCUGCGGUAACAAAAGGCGGCCGCAGCGGUGGCGGUGAGACGGAGCUGAACUUCUUCUGGGAAGGCACAGCCACAUCGUGACGGCAAUCACAAGGGGUAGAAUCCACGCCGAUGCCGGACCUGAUAAUCAAAGCAACAGAAAACAUCACCAGCACCAUAAUUAACAUCAUCCACCGCUUCCUGAGGAAAACAGAAGCCACGGAGGAGGACGACGGCGUCGGGUUGUGCUUGGCCAUCUCCGCCACUAGCAGUGCUUACACAAGCAACAAUGUUAGGGAUUGAUGAGGGAAUGAAAGGCGGGACUAAUGGGUUAACUUUUUCAGGCAUUUUAAGGGUGGGAUUUCUGGUGGGGAUAGGUGAAUGGGAGAGAACAUUUGUCACUUGAGAUAUGGGAAAAGUGAUGCCUCAUCACUUUUUUUUCUUUAAUUUUUCUUUUAACUUCCUGGGCCUGGGGUUUUUGGCUGGGUUUUUCCCAUGUGGAAGGGAAUUGAACUUUUUUUUUUUUGUCUGGGUAUGGAAAGAAUUUUGGUAUUCAACUUUCGCUUUCCCACUUCGAGCAGUAGAAGACGAGACGAGGAUAGGCACUGCACUUAAUUAGGCUGUGUUUUAAUUGCACACAUUCGCUUGCUCUGCCCAUCACCAUCAAUUUUGUGGUCUGAUGAUGAGAAAGACAAACUGCGUCUCUUGACCGAAAUGCCCCGUCAUUAUGUUGCAUCUGUGCCUCGAAGGAGUGAUGUUAUGACAUGUUUAGGUACCUUGGCUUAAUUUGGCAAUCAACACGAAUCAAUAUUUAUAUUUUUAGGAGAUUGCGGCCUUGCUUUUGGUUGUUUUAGACUUUACAAAAUUUAAAUUAUAAAAAUUGAUUAUAAAAUAAUUAAAAUUAGUAAAAACUGCAUUUUAGGUGAUUAUAGAUUCUAACUUUUUAAAUCAUUAAAAAAUUUAUAAUCAAAAUGCAAAAGUAACAGAAAACAUUAGAAAAAUUGAUUCAAAAUUUAUAAUUAAUUAAAAUAAAUUCAACCACGAACAAGUCUACGAUACUAUAUAUUUGUUCAAAAGUUACAUUGGUUGACUUUUUAUUUUUUAUUAUAGUGAUUGUUAUGUAGUAAAUUUGUUUACUCUUUUUUCGAGUAGAUGUUCCUUAUUAAUUGAUACUUGUAAUUAGCAUCAUAAUAGUUUUAUCAACUUUCAUCUCUCACAUCCAAUCUUUUUUUCCUUUUAAAUAACGAUUAAUUUAUAUGAAUUGGUCAUUAUUUUUUAAAUUUUUUUUGAUUAUGUUAUAAAUAUAACCUCUAAUUAUUUAUUUAUCAUUCCAAUGAUUUUUUAUUUAAUGUAUAUCAUACUACAAACAUGCUAUAGUGUUUUUUAAUAAAUAAUAUUCCAUCAAAAAUAUUUGGAUACAAAUUACUAAACCGUUUUAGUAGAAUUGUUAUAGAUGUUAUUGGACAGAAUUGUUAUAAAGUAGUUCUUCAAACUAACACGUGUGACAAAAAAAUUUUGGUCAAUUGUAAAUUUUCUUAAUCCUAACAUCAUAAAAAGUUUUAAAAAUUGUUUAAAAAAUUGUUUACUUGCCAAUGUAUAUAUAAAUAAUAUAUCACAUUUUCUUGAACACCAAAAUAGACAACAGCUACUAUUACAACUAUUUGCUUGUGUUUAUGCAUAGAUUCGUUAGUUGAUCUUCAUUCACUUAUUUAGAAAGAAAUAAUAAAGCCUGGUCAAACCAAAAAAUAAAAAGUUUGGGCAGUAUAGUCAUUUUGAUUGUCAGGAGGUUAUCUGAUGCAUCGUUCUAGGGGGGUUAUACGCCUUGGCUGGAACCGGACAGGCGUCUCUGGUUUGUCCGAGACGAAGGAGAAGAAGCAGCAGCUGAGCUGACUAAUGAGUAAUGACCAUGACAAACCCAUCAACAGCUUCUGCUAACUCUAUGCGUCAUUUAUUAAUCGCUGUAAUCGGAGGUAAUCAUUUAAUAGCAGCUCUAAAUCAACAUUUAAAGUUUCUUCUAAUCUCGAAGCAUUAUUGGUUUUUUCCUCUGGUUUUGAGUAUUUGUAAUAACUCAUACUUUUGUCGUCCUUUUUGCCUUUUGGGUUUUGUUCAGCAGUGGUCUUUCAUGCUCUGGAAGCUGUUUCAGUGGUUGUACCAAGUACCAAUUGCUAUGCCCUAGACAAUUCCAGUCGCAUUUAUGAUUUUGUAUCCUGUUAUAUUAAAUAAAGUUGCCCACUUUAAAUCUUGUUAUCUCUCAUUAUUAAUUCCCAUUAACGUAUGAUUACCUUAAGUAAUUAUUUGGAGUAAUUACGUCAUGAAGCUUUCCGUGCACUAUUUGUUUUCUCUCAAGUGAUGAGUAGAGCAGCUGGAUCGGAUACCCUUUUCAGUAUGAUGGGAAGGUAAUUUGUUCUAAGCUUUGCUCUGCUAUAUGAUGCAUAUAUAGGUCAUAAUCUGAAGGGCUAGAUAUCUAAUGGUUCCAAAUAUAUGCAGGAAGCUGACUUGGUCGUGAGAUUUUGUAAAGAUGUCGAGACUAGAUCACAAGCGGUACUAUUGAACUUAUCUUAUUUGUCUAACUAUGAGAGCAAUAAUUAGACAGUUAAUAUUUCAGGGUCGAUAAUUGAAUUGGACCCUUUUGUUUGCUAUUCUAUGUAUGCUUAUUUGCUUGCAUAUCUGAUGCUGCAGAAAUGGCUGAACUGAAUUUGAUUAUUGUACUUGUGACUGUAAACCGGCAGGGAUAUGUGGAUUUUGGCAGAUUUGACAAGUUAAAUCAGUUUGUUGCUGCUUCUGGAAAUUUUAAGUUUGUUCAAGUAAGCUGUGAUUGCUGACCCAGGUUCUUAACAGUUUAUCUCUUAAGCUGGAAUAGGUGACUGUUUGUUUGGUUCUAGUUCUCAAAUCUCCUGUCUGAGGUCAUAAAUACAGUCCACAGUUGCCUGAAUAGUCCUUACACUUGUUCGCUUAGUUGUGCUGCAAUUGAUCCAUCUCAUUUAACUCAUUAUGUAUGAUUACCAAGAUAGGUAGAUUAGCCUAUCCAGUAUGCCUUGCUGAUGAAAUCCUAGAUGUGGAAUUGGACUAACAUAAGCAAAUUUAAAGUUUUUUCUCACUGUAUACAGUCAUUAUGUGUGCAUAGCCUUUGUGGAUAGUGAAUGUGUUCUGAUUUGCUUUGCUCUUCUGAACAUUCAGCAAUAUUAUAAUGGUGACUUAACGAGCUGUGAGCAAAGUUUUGAUAAAUUGGGACGCACAGCACAGGUCAGAUCCAUUGAUACAAUUAUUAGUUACAAUGUGUUUUUGUAACUUUGAUUGCAUUCUUUAAAAUUUCAGUUUUAAUAGCAUGCCAACUGCUCUUAAGGAACGUUUUAAAAGUUUGUUCUUGUAAAUUUUUCAGGUCAGCAUCAUAUGCGGAAGUUGCCCAAAUGGGCAAUGUAAAGGUACUGAAAUAUUGCAUGUUAAGAAAGUUAGCGCAUUCUUGACAGAGUCGUUCUAUUUGGUUGUACCUUAGCAUACAUUAAAUUUGCUAAUGUUGUCAACAUGAAGAGUCUUUUUGCCUUGAACGGGUUUCAGAAAUGGUCUUACCACGGUGCUAUAAAGAUAUUCCCAGAAGACUACCUUUCUAGCAUAUUCAUUUUACUUGUUACUACUCUAUAAAGAUUUCAGUACCUUCUGCAAACUAUCAUACAUCAUAACUUACACUACAUAAAUCAGCACUUAAUGCACAUGAGGUAUAAACUUCAGUGAAUAUCUUUGCCAGAUUCAAGAUAACCAAUAUUUGAGGAUUUUUUUUCUGUUUAUUCGUUUUCCUUUUCUCCUAAGUUGAUUCCUAUGAAAGCUGGACCAUGGUGUACUUCUAGACUAUCAUGUUAUGGCUAUGGAUUUUGUUCAUCUAUUUUUGUUUUCUUCCCAAGGCUGCUAAUGACUUGUUGCAGAAUGGAUGAUAGCUUGUUUUAGUGAUGCUUUUAUUUUCUAUUGUGUGCUGAUGUGUAACUGCAUUAAACCCUGCUGCAAAGAGAAAAUGGAGAGAUGCAUAGUGUUAGCAGAAUAAUAUGUUUAUGGAUUGCAGCCCUUGAGUUUUAUAUUUAGAGUUUCCUGUGGUUUAUAAAUUUUCUAAAAUUUAUCUCAGGUGGUCUUGGAUGCAUAUGUGAUGUGACGUAUGAGUCAAAUUGCAGGUUUUUCUCAUGAUCUCCUGCUAUUUAGCUUUUCCAUUUGUUGGCUUUACAUGCAUUAUACAUAGCUGUUUCUGUUAAGGCAGUGCUCUUGUUGAACUUGCCAUUCCAUGCGAGAAACCGGGAGCACGAGUAUUUGAAGGCUAUACAGUUGGUUUUCAUCCACGUUCAUGGGAGAUUGUAAGAAGUUUCUCUUAUUCUCAGUGACAAGUGAAUAAUAUUUCAACUUUGAGUAAUUGAUGUAUGGAAUCCUUAGGUGUACAAUGGCAUGACUCAAUUAGGUUUUGAAAAGGCUCACAGCGAAUUCAGGUACUGAUUUUUCAGCUUUUGCCAUUUGCUAUCUCUUUUUUCAUUAUUCUGCAGUCUGCAGUGAUCGUAAAGGAAAUAAGUCCAGAAAGUAUAAAAUUUUUAACUUGGUCAUAUGUUUCCUUUGCAAAUCUGGAUCUAUCAUACUUCAACUUCUUCUUGCCACACUGGUGGUUGUUUUACAUGAAGUUAGGUAUCUAUUGUUAGCUAAAUUUAAUCUCCUUCCUUAUCAGACUUAUGUUGUGAAAAAUAGAUGAUUGUAUAGGGGUACAAUGUCUAUCUACGGAUUUGUAUGAUAGAGUAUUUUGCCAAAUAAUUAUUUGGAAUAAUUACUGUAGCACUUUUUGUGAUGUAAUGUAUGUGAGAUAAAAAGGUGGUUGGGAAUAUAAAAAGGUAGAUUGGGAAAUGUGUCUAUGAUGCAAGCGAAAAAUUUUUUGGAAAAAUUUGUUAGCCAUACAAAGCCGUAGGAUCUAGCAUCUAUUAGCAUAUUAUUGGGGUAUAAAUGAGGUGAUUGGUGUGGUUUAUACAUGUUGUAGGGAUGUUUGGGUAGAGACAUCACUUUUGGUGAUUAAUCUUACAUAGUGCUGCUCUUUGAGGAUUAAUUCAUAGUAUGGGCUUCAAUGACUUCUGUAUCUCAAUGAGAAACAAGAAAGAGCAUUGAAGGCUAUAUUAUCAUCCAUAGAAUUGAUUUCUAAGGACAACCAUGUUGGGUGGCUGUUACUGGCUAAAUAUUGGAUACUUGAGAUAUAAAGAGUUAAGCUACCCUUGUGGCAUUGUUCUUUUCUUUCAACUUUAGGAAAGUAGAGAAUUUGGCUUUGACAAGAUUCCGAAUUAAUGUCUUGGCCACUGUGAAGUGCUCCACACUAUGACCAACUUUCUUACCAAUCUAAGAAAUGUAACUAGAUCAGGUGCUUACAUCAAUCACUCCAUUGUUUUCCUUGUUUUAUUGCAGCUUGAGCACAGAACAAACUCAUGUAGCCCUUUACAUGACAGCAGUUGCUUCUCAAUCUCAUUUAGUGCAAAAACCAACAAUUAAGGUAAUUAAAUUUAUGCUGAUGUACGUGGAUGUGUUUCAACAGAAUGGUUUUGAAAUUUGGUAUGAUUUCCAAUCUUCUAGGUUUUCCCGGAGCAAGGCUUGGAAAUUAAGCUUUCAGGUUCAGGAGCAACUGGUGGUGCACCAACAACACUAUCACCCACCGUUUUAACCAUAGAUUGGACAUGUAUACAUUAUAAUAGCAUCUUUCCAUUAAGUCAAGCAGAGAUUCAUGCACAGUAUCUGCAUAACAAUUUGAGCUCUACUCUUGUUCCUCUAAACUUCUACUUUGCAUUUUUCAGGCACGGAGGCUCGUGAUGUGCCAUAUGAAGUUGAAGUCACCAUCCCAAUAGAGAAUUACGAUCCUAUUCUGUUUACUCUAGCAAAAACCUGUGGUAUAUAUCAUGGGGACAUCAUACAUGCAUGUUUAUGAGCAUAGCUCAGACGAUUUGAGUAUAGACAUGUACCAAUACACAACCAUGCAUUUUUCAUGUUUAUGCAAUUGAUAUAUGACCAUAUGGCACAUGCUUGUGUAUGUUCUUUUUCUUGCAUUUCUUAUUGAACUGUUUGCAAUUACAACUUCAUCUGUUUCCUUUCCCUCUUCAGCUAUUUGGUUUCAUUUCUGAAUAUUUUGUUUCUCGAUUAUAAAGUAUAUUCCAUAUUCCAGUACUUGCAAGUCAAACUCUUUGUUUAAUUUCAAAAUGAUAAUUGUAUUGCUGGUUUAUGUUUUCCGGAGUAGUACUUUCGUGUACAGUAGCUAUAACACCUGAUUCACAACUGUUCAAUAUUGCAGAAUAUGGGCAAAGUGAAGGUGUGGAUGCUACCAGUGGAUGGGCUAUAUUCGGGAUACUGUCGUGCAUGUAUGCUUAGCUACCUUUUUAGUGCUUGUUAUUUGAUUCUAAAAGUCUGACUGAGGCAAAUACUACCGAAAUUUAUUUUACUUUUUCCAUUUUGGUGCCUUUUCCCAGAGUUUUGUGUUCUAUACUAUAAUUUUACUUUCAAAUAUGCAUUACUUAGUGAUUUUUUUUUUUUUUUUUUUUAAUUUUGUUGAAGGGUGUACAAAUGGGAAUAGAUCCUUUUUUGCAUAACCCUGCUGUUCUCUUCCAAUUGAUAUUUGAAUAUGUCGGGUUGAUGCAGAUUCAUUGUUCUCUCAACAUUGUUCUGUGUCGGAGGGUUUGUCUAUAAGACACGAGUAGAAAACCAGGUAUCUUAGGGAAAAAGUUCUUCUUCUUUCGGAUCUGUGUCUGUGGAUUUGAUACAUUCUUUAUACUUAUUUACUUAAUAUGCAUCAUGUGUAGCAUGGACUUGAUGCUUUGCCCGGAAUGACAAUUUUAGCUGCAUGUUUGGAAACCGUAAGUCUUACUUAACAUCUUUCAGUAACUACUCUUGGAUUGGUUUGUUGAUCAAGCUGUUCUGUCCAUGGUCCAAAAUUUCAUACUUCCCUCCCCUUAUAUUCAAAUUGCAAAGGUCAAAUACCAGUACACCCACAGGCAACUCUCUGUUUUUUUGUAAAUGUCACAGGUCAGCGGAGCAGGGCAUUCCAAUAUACGUCGACCAGCGGAUGUUAAUGAUCCCUUCAUAAGUCAGGCUUCAUGGGAAAACCAUCCUCAAGGAACAACGAGAAGUAGAGACAAUAGAUAUGGGACAAUUUAAACUCGCACGCUUCAGCUUUUUGGAACAAUUUUGCAUACUGGUUCACAGGGAAAGUUUUGCCCUUUUCAGAGAGAAAUUCAUGCUGCAUUCCAAAAAUACCGGGUCUUCCUCCUAGGUCACAAACUCAAUAAACCGGGAGCAACAACUCGAAAAGAGACUAGGAUUUUGAUCCCUUCUCAGACGGUCAAACUUCAAUGUGAAGGAUACGUUAUUAUUGGCCGGCAUUCUCCACUUUCUUUGUCUGAGGGUGAUGAUUCAUUUGAUUUAACUAAGCCAUGCGACAAACGCCAAAAUAGAGGAUUAGCCAUCUCUUUUUCGUCUCCCUGUGCCUCUUUUUUAUACUACUACUAAAUGUAAUGUAACGAGUGUGUUUGGAUUUAAUUGAUAUGUCAGACAAAUUAGAGCGGCACUUCUCCUACCCCACCCAUAUUCAUAUCCUUUACUGGAUCAUUAACCUAAUUAGAGGUGGCAAUAAUUGGUUUUGACUUAACGGAUGGUGGAUGAAAUUUAUCCAAUCCAUUUAAUAAAUGGAUGGAUCUAAAUGGAUUAAAUAAAAAUUAAUUAUCCAUUUAAAUAUUAUUUAUUCAUUGGAGCAAUUGGUUUGUGCUUUGAUUUGUAUAAUUAUGGGAGGCUGCCCAUUUUUCUGCUAGGCCCUCUCCUUCAAGCAUUCGAUCCACAUCCGACAUCUUAGGCCGGUGGGCGGGGGAGGUAUUGAGUGCAAAGUAGAGCAACUUGGAGCAUCUCACCCACCUCAAUCCGGUCACAGUUGACAGCCAAUUCUCUAUCCCCCAAAACUUCAAUUUUAUUUGAUUUUUAAGUAAAUGGAUAUAUAUGGUUUUCAUGGAUAAUUCAUUUAAUUUAAUGGUUUUACUUUGAUCAACCAUUUAAAAUCAAUACUAUAAAUGGGAUAAUCCAAAUCCAUUUAAUUAUGGAUUAUAUGGAUGGAUAAAUGGAUUUCAAUCCAAAUUGCCACCUCUAAACCUAAUAUUCUGACCUCCUGUUUAGGACCGCUCCUCCAUUCUUGAUUCUCGAGGAGCCCAGCAGCAAAGGAACAUUUCCAAUAUCAAUGACACUUUUACGCGUCCAAAUCGAUGGGAACGUGUGUGCAUGAACCCAUGGUAAAGAUUGCCCGCAUACGUACAACACAAGGAUGGGCAUGGAUCCCCAGCUACCUUUACUUCUUUAUGCCGCUGAAUUUGAAUCCCGCCACACCAAAUAAUGAAAAUCAAACACGCAAUUUCACAUUAAAAUUUAGUCUCUGUUUUCCUUGCCAAGCUCCAUGUGCCUGUACAAAGAUAAAUUAUUUGCAAUCUCUUUUUUAUUCCAGCUCAUUUCAGCAGUCAAGAAUGAAUAAUUAAUGGACACCGACACAAUCUGUUAGGGGAACCAGCCAAUAAUGAUUUUUUUGAACCAUCCAAUACAUUUCGUCAACAGAGCAGGUACUUCUACUCCCACUCCGUUUUUCUCAAUGCCUGCUGUUUGUCAUCUUCUCACGUUUAUAGUAGCUUCAAACCGGGAGCAAAAACAAACAAUGCGUGCGGUUGGUUGACCGAAUCAACUCUCAAAUAUUUAACCUCUCCAAAACAUUUUCUUGCCAACGAAAUCCCAAUGAUGUUUCUGCCCUUAAUUCGAGGAUUACUUCAUUCUUGUAAGAGAAUCAAGAAAAUACAUCAUCGUUUUUUCCAAAUAUUUCAACAUAGUAUUACUUUUUAAGCCCAUAGCUAACGACGAACUAAAUUCCUAUCCUAUCCUAUCACUUUCAGCCAGAAAAUCACUUCCUGGAUGAACACUUAUUUACAAUUCAAUAAUUUUAACCUUUAGUUGCAAUUAUUGGUGCAUGAUUGCAAGACAAAUAUUCUACUGGAGACGUAAAAAAAAAAAGUCAGAUUGAUUGGACCACACAAACACACAUAACGGAUAGGAAUGACUUUUAGGGUGGUCAGGUAGCACGCAGGCUAGAGUAGAGGGCCGAUAUCAGCAAUCUGUACUGCGAUGGCAGUGAAACUGGAAAUCUGAUGCGGUAAAGCUGUCCGACAAUGUCUACGUCAAUUCAUUUCCAUGUGUUAAAAUUAGACAGCAAAUUAAUCGUGCUAUUCCAAAAGAUUAUUGCUUCACUAAACCAUCACAUGAACGAGUACUAAGCCUAACUAAAAUUCCACCAACUCCAUGAUUCUGUCUCCAAAUUUCGUUUCUUCUUCAUUUUUUUUUUCUCUUUUCUUUUGAAGUUUGUUCUAUAAAUAACCAUAUCAUCCAUCACAAACCUUGACAUAAAACGAACUCUCUACACAAUCUAAGCGUCCUUGUAGAAGUCUUCAACCUUUGGUCUCCAAGAGUAACAACAGAGAGUUAACGAAAAUGACUCGGCCCAUGAGCUUUCUGAUUAUUGCAGCUAUGCUAGCUUUUGCACCGCUUUGCUUGUGUGGUAUGACAAGCGGAGGCUACCUGUAUCCUCAGUUCUAUGACCGGACUUGCCCAAAAGCUAAAGAAAUUGUGUAUUCCAUCGUUGCGAAGGCCGUUGCCAGAGAAGCCCGUAUGGCUGCUUCAUUGAUUAGGCUCCAUUUCCAUGACUGUUUUGUCAAGGUUUGUGCAUGCAAACUCAUUUACUCAUCUUCAGCAGCACACCUACUUAUCGCUUAUUCAGUGAUUAAUACACUUGACUAACCAAUUCUUCUUCCUGUUUCUGUUCUCCCCUUUAUAAUAAGGGAUGUGAUGCAUCACUACUCCUCGAUAGCAGUGGAGCCAUAAUCAGCGAGAAGAUGUCGAAUCCAAACAGGAAUUCAGCCCGUGGAUUCGAAGUCAUUGAUGAAAUUAAGUCUGCAUUGGAGAAGGAAUGUCCUCAUACUGUCUCUUGUGCUGAUCUCCUGGCUCUUGCUGCUAGAGAUUCCACUGUUUUGGCAAGUAUCAAGUUCUUACUAGCAAAUGAAGUUAUAAUUACUGCAUCACUUUCAGGAGAGCUGAUGGUAAAUGCAUUAUGCAGUCUGGUGGACCAAGCUGGGAGGUACCAUUGGGAAGAAGAGACUCCAGAGGUGCCAGUUUGAGCGGAUCCAACAGCAACAUUCCUGCCCCAAAUAACACAUUUCAGACUAUUCUUACCAAGUUUAAGCUUCAAGGGCUUGACAUUGUUGAUCUUGUAGCAUUAUCUGGUAAUAUACCAAGCUGGCACAGUACACACAAACAAUAAUAUAAACUUCACUUGAAAGCCGGUAGAUGCCACUAGAUAAUGAUCAUAAUAAGUUAACUCCCACUUAAUUAUCCCUUUCCGUUUGAAAAUUUCAAAAAGGGAACCCAAAAAAAAGUAUGGGGGCUUUCAUAUAUGAAGUGCUCUGAUUGUCCUGCAGGAAGCCACACAAUCGGGAAUUCAAGAUGUACCAGCUUCAGGCAAAGGCUUUACAAUCAAUCAGGAAAUGGGCAGCCUGAUUUCACCUUAAAUCAGGCAUACGCGAACCAAUUGCGGACCAGGUGCCCAAGAUCGGGUGGUGACCAAAACCUGUUUGUCUUGGACUUUGUCACCCCAACAAAAUUCGAUAACAGCUACUUCAAGAACUUGCUGGCUUCAAAGGGCCUAUUAAAUUCUGACCAGGUUCUUGUGACCAAGAGUGCUGUAUCACUACAGUUGGUGAAACAAUACGCCCAGAAUAACCAACUCUUCUUUGAGCAAUUCCCCAAGUCCAUGCUCAAGAUGGCAAACAUUUCACCUUUGACAGGUUCCAAGGGUGAGAUCCGCAAGAACUGCAGGACGGUCAACUCUUAGUCUUAAGACUACGUAGUCAUAGCUGCCAAAAAACGGCAUGUCCUAAUCUUUCUGUCACUCAAGCAGUCAGCAUCCACCUAAUUCUCCUCUCAGCGGCCGGGAACACCUCAGCAGUCAGCACGGGAUCAUCCUAUCCGCUCUCAUCUUCCGCUACUUAUUUAUUUCAGCUUGUAUUAAUUUUCAUGGAGCUUUGGCCGCAAUUUGUUGUUGUCCUGAAUGAAUUUCAAUGCUUUUUCCUCUUUUGCAUUUUCCAAGUUUUCGUUUCUUCGGGUACCUGACAACUAUCAUCUCAAAUUGGGCACUUUGAACUUACCCGUGGCGGAUAAUCAAAACUUGAACUCUGGAUUCACAUGUUAGAACUUUGCCUAAUGCCUCCAAGGGCAAAUACGAGCCCAGGGACAUUUUUUUUGGUCGGAACGUACUCUUCAUCUUGGAUAAUGCCUAAUGCAUGGGCACCAAGAUACUUCUAUUCAUAUUGUCAUUUCUUGUGCAAAAGAAAGAGCACUUUAAGAACACAGAGCUAAGGGAAUGGAUGUCCUCCAUUAAUGCCACACAUCGAACUUCAGGGCAGUUUCUUUGCUGGAGGGCUUUGAUUAAAGCUUUGUUGCUUAUCCCUACUUUAACUUUCCUCCAGUUUUUUCCGAUUGCUUUCAUUAGGACCAGUCUAACUGCUUCUGCAUCAUCCUGCAUCGAACUCUUGGAUGUUCUUUCUAGUUAUCUAGUUAUUGUACGAAAAUUUGAUGUAACCGUGACAAAAUAGAGUUAUGUAGCUUUCGAGAUUGGAAGACUAUAAUUAAUUUGGAUUCUAAUGCAACCAUAUACUAUUUCCAGCGAAGAUAAUGUGGAACAAAACAUCGACAGAUAAGUAGGGAAGUCGAGGAAAACCGAACCUUGGCAUCUGCUAUAUAUAUAUAAUCCAGCUAGGAAGGCAAUAUUAGACACGCACAAAAACCAAAAUGCUGCAAUUUGGUGGAGAGCGCCUGGAUAACAGGUCAAAAGACCCUGGUUUCACAUUGCUACUAGCAGUAAGAUGAAAUGAGAAAAUUCGACUUUUCCAACAGUAAAAGAAAAACUUCACCAUCAAAGAUCAAGGUCAGAAACUUUAAUCAGCAAACUUGAUUUAAACUUCCCAUAGGAGUAUCUACCAGUAGAUUUUAACAAAUUGACUUCAGCAAUUCGUUAAUUUCUAACUAGUCUAGAGCUAGAAAUGCUGCAUGGAGCUCAACAUGGUAAAAAGUUAAAAGUCUAUCUACAGCAAAGGUGUCAUUAAACUUUUUUUACAAAUCAAGUUCAAUAAUAGUUUAAACAGCCUAGUAACGAGCAAAGCUGAACUACAGGAGUCCAUGCACAAGAGACUUUCGGCAGAAUCCACUUGCUUUCUCCUUCAGAUCCACAACCUUUUUAUCGAUCUCCUCAGCCUUGUUCUUCAUUGCUUCCAGCUCAACUUUUUCCAAAAAGAUCUUCUGUUGUAAGACACCCAGCUCUUCCUCCUUUCUUGCAAUCAACUCAAAGUUUCUAGUCCUUUCUUUCUUCAGGCUAAAAUAGUCCCCAAGUAUAUGUUUAGCAUAAGAAAUUUCAUCUAUCUUCUGAUGGAGCCACUUGACAUCCAGCUUCAUGCACUCAAGAUCAUGAAUUAGAUGAAGCAAGUUAUUGAGCUCAAAAGAUGUAAUAUCAAGAAAUGCAGAGUUUUCGAGCUUUUGGUAGAUACCACAGACCAUUUCAAGGAAGAUUCCACGGGUUUUUGGAGACUCCAGAAUGGAGUUUUUAGCAAUGUCACCAUAUUUUGCAAAGAUAGCCCUAAGUAGGGGUGCGACUUCUUGGUUCACUCUAUACUGAUGUACUGUCACCAAAGCAGGAUCAAUUGCUGACUCGACCCCCUCAUUAUCAAGAAAAUCAUCAUUGGACAUAUGAGCCAUCUCAGAAAGGUUAAAACUUGGACAUCUGCUUAACUGGCUAUUUUUUUUAGUAUGGCUGCUUGUUGCAAUCUUCUCUGGUACUUCAUGGAUAGCAUUUGAUCCCAAAUUGGCACCAGUCAUGUGCAAAUUUUUUUCAGUUGAGUUCCGCUCAUUAAUGAGCGGAACAAGUGGAAGGAAAUUUUCAGGUCUUUCAGUUUGCGAAAGGAGAUUUGCAGUAAACUUUUCCACAUCUAGCCUGUCCCCGCUGCUGAUUGGAGCAGACCAUUCUUUGGUUGAAGCAGAACUUCCAGCAUUUUUCAUGCUUUUACCAAUUUCAGCACUGGUACUUGAGUGACUUAAUGAGGUAGCUGCAAAAGUAGAGACCUGUACACCAUAACACCAUCAUAAGGUCUGAUUACUGAAUGCUUCCAGAUUUACAUAUGAAAUGAAAUCAAUGAGGCAAUCAAGUGAAUAAAUCAAUUGUUAUUAGAAUCUUAACAAUUUACAGAAGUUACGAGGACAGACAAGGCUGAAGGCCUAAUUUCGCGUUACCUGAAUUUGAUGAGGGAGUUCUGAACUGCAUUUUUCUAAAGCUUUUACGUCUCCACCAGCUGGAUACAAUGUAUUGUUUGCCUCUAGCAAAACCCUCUUUGCUGUGACAUAAGAUUGCUUGGGAGUUCCAAUUUGGUGUCGAAGUGGAAAAGUGAGAGAAGCCGUGGAACUAGGACAUUCAUGAGGGACUGCAAAUGAACCUCGAGUUGGAUACCUAUGCUUUGCAGGCAGAAUCACUGUGUCCUAUAUAGACAUAUCAACAAAUUUAAAGCUCUUAUAUAAAUAGCCAAGACAAGGAACUGAACAAGUUUGUCUAUAGUAAUACAAAACCUUUAAAAUAUAAUUCAUAUACUAACGCUUUGCAGGGAAAAUUGCUGUGUCCUGUAUAGACACGUCAAGCUAAAGCUCUUAAGCCAAGACAAGAAACUGCACAACCUUGUCUAUAGUAAUACAGAAGCUUCAGUAUCUAUUUUAUAUACUCAGGUUCAAUGAAAAAAAUAUCCUUCUUUUUCUUUUUUUUUUGGGUUUUUUUUUGGGGGGGUGGGGGGUGCAAUCAAGUCUAAAGCUUUUAAACACAUAGCCAACUUAGGAUUACAGUGGAAAGGGGAUAAUAGCUUUCUGAAUAUGCUUAACAACCUACAACUAAUAGUCUUAGGGAUGUUAAAUAGUCCCACUGCAAGGGAAUAAUAGCAUCAUCUGCUUCUUUUAGUCUGUAUCUUUUUGUGUAAAAAAAAAAAAAAAAGAGUAAAGCAACAUACUUGAUCCUCUUUAUCAGGUAUGAGAAGAUAAAAUUCCAGAAAUACUAUGACAUUGCAACACUAAAGCAAGAAAUCCUGUGCAAAACCAUUAAGAUUGAAGCGCAAUGUUGCAGCGGAACUAUUUAUCACUGGUUAAAACCAUUGAAGUUCCACGAAAGUUGAAAUCUUUGCAGAAUAUAGAAACCAAAAAUAGAAGUUAUUUCUCCACGAAAUUCAAGAUGAAGGACCAAAUGGUCUGAUUCGUACUACUAAAAGGUUCAAUGAAUAACUAUCAAAGGGGCAAUGCAAAGCCUGGUAAUCAAAGAGAUUACACGAUCAUAACAAACCCCAGAAAGCCAUUGCUUGAAUGGAAAAGCAAGAACACCAGCAAAUUAUGCUGUUAAAAAAAAAUUAAGAAAAGCAGUAGAUAGAGAAUGUGGAUUUUGAAACAACCUGACGAGGAGGAAAUGAAGGUAGGAAGGGGUCAUCCAGUUGCAUUUGGUGUAGUCCACCACCACCACCACCUGCAGCAGCCUGAAGGCUUUCUUGAAUUAAUACUUCUUUUCGUUUUCUUCCUCUCUUACCAGGGCCAGCCAUUCCUAAUUUCUCUAUGCCUUCAGGGCCUCUCUCAAGGCUUUCAAGUUCGACGGAGAAAAUCUAAAAGAGAAAAUACAGCAAGCAAUAAUCAUAUGCUGUUGCUACCGCCAGUAAUAUACAACUACCAGAGGUACCAUUUGCAGUAACACACAGCACCAGACGAGACACGUUUUUGCGCCAGCGCAGGCAGUACGAGUCUCGUGCCUGCAGCCUGGCGUGUUUGCAUAAGGGAUUAUUUAAAAUAUUAUUUAGAAUAAAUAUAAUACUACUCUUUUUUUUAUAAUGUAAUAUAUAUGAAAUAAAAAAUUAAUUAAUAAAAUAAAAUAAUAUAUUAAAAAUUAUAUUUGUAAUAUAAAUAAAUCAUUUUUUACUAUUAUUUGGGUAUUCAAAUACAUAAAUGAGUGUGUUUGAAUAGAGUAUUAUUUAAAAUAAUUACUGUAAUAUUUUUUAUAAUGUGAUGUAUAAAAAAUAUAAAAUAUAUUAAAAAAUAUAUUAAUAAUAUAAAUAAAAUAUUAUUUAAAAUAAAUUUACAAUUCAAACACAUUCACGUCAAAUACACACCGUAAUUUUCAAAACAAGUAGUAGUAGUAGUAGUAAUUAGUAAAUAGUAAAAGACAAAACCAUUGACAAAUAAAAAGAAAAGAAAUAGCUAUUGAUGCUAAAAUGUAAAGCCUGCCUCUCAGUCCGAGAAAGCAAGGCCCAAACAUCCUUCCUAAAUCCCAAACCUUAAACCCACAAAAAUUUUCUCCGCUGGUGGGAUUAGCCCUCCCUCCGCAGUCCUCACUCGAGCUGCUUCUAAACUCACUGCAAUUUAGCAAUUUUAAAGCCAUGCUUCCGUAAUCUGUGAUUUCUUCACUCCCCAUAAUAGAUUGCUCUAACAAUGAGGCAUUUUUAUUGCCGGCUCAUUUCUCAAUCUCUCCGGUGCUUACAAUUUAAUUACACGAAAACCCACGUCCCAAAACCCCCGAUUUUGAGUCCCAGAUUCUCGAACUUCACGACCGUAGCUGAGCAACCAAAGCCGCCGCCUGCACCGCCGGCUAAUGUGUCCGCAAUUGUAGAUGAACUUUCGGGACUGACGUUGCUUGAGGUUUCGGACUUGACGGAGGUGUUGAGACAGAAAUUGGGGAUUGAGGAGAUGCCGGUGAUGGCGGUUAUGAUGCCCGGAAUGGGGUUUAGUGGUGCCGGAGUAGGAGGAGCAAAGGGGAAAGGUGGUGGGCCGGCUGCCGCGGCUGAGGAGAAGAAGGAAAAGACGGCGUUUGAUUUGAAACUGGAGGGCGGAUUUGAUUCUGGGGCGAAGAUCAAGAUUAUUAAGGAAGUGAGAGCGUGCACUGAUUUGGGAUUGAAGGAAGCUAAGGAUUUGGUGGAGAAGGCGCCCACAUUGUUGAAAAAGGGAGUAACCAAAGAGGAGGCUGAGAAGAUUGUCGAGAAGUUGAAGCAGGUUGGGGCUAAAGUCACGAUGGAGUGAGGUAACUGCUUUUGCAUUCAUGCUUAUUCGAUUAAGCUUGGACAGAGUUUAAGCUAUUGGUACUUUGUUCUUAUGAUUCGGGAAUUUAAGUGCUUAUAUUCCAUUAUGAUGAAUUGGGUGUCUCAAUAACUGAAUUUGUUGGCAAAACUGGCUGCUUUCAUAUUUCAGGAUCUCGUUUGAUAUAGAUUCUGAACUUGUCAUUCAGGCAUUUGUAGAAUGAUGCUAUCUUUGCUGUUUUUGUACGGUCUUGUCCAGCUUUUUUCGUGGAUAAAUAGGUUUUAGCCAUAUGAUGAAUAAAAGUAUGGAUUUUGUUGCGUGCAUUGUCUGGAGUCUAUCACCUGAAUUGCAGUCACACAGAGUUCUGCCUGCUUUCAUAACUCAAACUUGUUUCAGUUGCAGUUGGGCUUGAUAAAGUUUUCGUGUUGUUAAUUAGGAUGGCCAAAGAAGGCAAAUGGAUAGUGGAGAUGUCUAAUAACUUAAUAAGAAGGCAAAUGGAUAGUGGAGAUGCUAUGGCCAUAUACUUUGAUCUGGUCAAAUUUUUCCUGACCAUAAUAGGAAUAUAGUUAGACAGAUUUCAAGUUACUUUCAUUUGGAUUUAAGAACUAUCCAUUUUUUUGACUGAAAAUUCAGGAGGACAUACUACCUUGUAACUUGUAAGUGGUAUUCUAAAUGGUGUCUCAGGAAGCACAUUGGAAUCAUUAUAUUUUGUGUGAAGCUCAAUUGCCAUGGGGCAUCAUGGAGGUGGGGUUAGGGCUGUCAUUUGAAUUUUAAUAAAGAUGGUCUCUAUCUCCUGUACACCCACUUUCCAUGUCAUGGUAGUAGGAGUAGUGAAGGUGCACGCAGUGUGGCAUAUUUAAGAGUUCAGGGUGUUCAUUAAACUCAUUAUAGAUAUUAUUUUCUUCCUGGCUUUCAGAAUAAUUUGAAUUUACAAUUACAUGUUGUAAAGUGCUUGGAUAUUUGGAACUUUUUAAUGGGUACUGAUUUGCAUAUUACGCUUUUUGUUCAGGAUUUUUCCAUUUUCAAUGCUAGCAGCAUAACAACUUCUAGAGGUUCCGCUCUGCAACCUGAUUCUGCUGCAGUUGAUGUAUUAAUGAAGUUAUUGGUUGAUAGGCAACACGUAUUAGUUUGACCUUUGAUCACCGAGAGUAGUAUUUCUGUAACUCCUUUUAUUACGAUUAAGCUCAAAGUGUAUGGUAAGCUUGAGUUACAUUUGUUACAGCUCUGCAACCGAAGUGAAGUAUUUCCAUUUGGGUUGGUUGUUCAAGCUGCAGACAACGCAUAAUCUUUCUUGUUUGGGCUAGCUAUUAUGAAAUUCAACAGAUUUAAGAAGUUUCUUCCCAUACGUAAUUAGAUUGAGUCAAGGUUGUUACAUUUUUGAAGUAGCUUUGUAUGACCUGAACAUCUUCAGUAUUUGUCAUGAUGGUUAUCGUUCGAGCUUUUAUCUUUCUUAUGGAAUGCUUAAAUUUCUGAGAAACUACUUGUAUUAUAAUAUUAAGCAUUUGACAUGAGAUUUUACAAUUAUUUUGUUGUUGUUCAGUUAUUGUUGGUUGUGGCUGAUUUUUGACUUUACUCUCUGAUCUCUAAAGCAAUUUUAUUGCUGAAAACAAUUGAAUGUUGUUCCUGAAUUUACCUAUGAUGGCUGUCUCCCUUGCCACGAUGUAGUAUAACAGGGCCAAAUCAUGCAUGAUUUCUGCCUUUUGGUCAUGUGUAAGGGGCAUCUCCUGUCUUCUAUUCGGGACAGGAGUACUUUUAUCAUUAUAAGAACAGAAGGUUCUAAGCUCUCAAGUAGUUGAGAAUUUUUGGAUCUUGACUAAGACAAUGACUAGUUAUCUUCAGCUAUUAAAUUAAAUGUAUAGAUUGGUUUGCAUUGAUUCUAUGCCUUCUUUAAGCUGGCAACCGAAUACUGUGACUGCUGCAUCAAGAUAUCCGACUUCUGGAGGAUGAAAGAUAUUGUGGUAACCUUUUAGUUUUAGGCGUUGGACCGUCUUUACUUUCCCUAAUGGUAUGAAAAACAGUUAAUCACAAGUCACAAGCUGAGAAGCACCCUUGGUCUUCUCGCGUUGCUAUUGUCCUUCAGUAAGUGGUGGAGACCUGAGCUUUCAAUGCUGGUGGUGCGGCGUUUUCUGGCCCGACGACUCUGCUUCAUUCCAUCCAUCCCUAGUCCAGUUUUCACUUGCAAAAUGCAUAAAAGCAAGAAAGAAAAAGUUGCCACGGAAAUAUAAUAAAAGAUGUGAUGUGUUGAAAGAAGCACAUUUAUAAUAUUAACAAUAUUAUUUCGGCAUUUAAUAAUAUUAACAAUAAUAAAUUUCUUCUUAUUCUUUAUUUUGACAAAACGCACGCGAGUACUCCGUGAAGGAAGUCGAGCAGCACGCUAAUCUUUGAACGAAGGGAACAUAAUAAUAAAACUUUCACCAUCAAUCAGAGAGUAUAAAAGGAAGAAUUAUCAGUAGGCUAAAACAUAGUUGUCAAAAUUGCGAUCCGGAUCGUACGAUCCUACGAUCUGGAUAACCAAAAUCGUUCCGGAUCGUAUUCAGAAUCGCAAAUCAUAACCAAAAUCGAUCCGGAUCGUAUUCAGAGUCGCAAAUCAUAUUAAUCUCUGUAUUUUUUUUUUUUCGGAAACGAUAGAUGAUAUUUCAUAGAAAUUUGAGACUUUACAAUAUUUGAGCAACGGCUCGACUAACUGUACCAAGUGUACCAUGACACUUAAGGAGGAACAAAGGUUCUCUCCUCAUCCAUACAUAUGCUUAGAGCAUAAAGACUAAUCUGAUUACAUAAAUUCAUAUUACUAAUAUCCCUUACAACAAAGGAGCACACUUGAAAUAGCUUAGCUAAUGCUAGAAUAUCUUCCACCAGCGUGACCAUAUUUGGAUGAUCUCCUGUCCCAUUUUUUAGUAAGGAGGUAAGCCUUUUGUUGGCAGUGACAACUUUGAUCCUUGGCCAUCUCAGCUGACUUGCUUUUAUAAGAGCCAAUCUUACUCCUAUGGCUUCAUCUUGGAUAGUCUCUGAUGAGCUCCUGUCUACUAGCGCCCACUCCACUAUGCUUCGUCCACCUUCCUGCUGAGCCACCAUUCCUAUUCCUAACUUAUGACCCUCCCCUUCCUUAUUUGUCACAACCUGGACUUCUGUUAUUCCAUUAACCUCCAAUCCUUCCUCCUCCAGACUUGAAUUAGCUGCCUCUGUUUCUGGUGUGCUUCUGUCUUCCUUUCCACUACUAGCCUCCUCAAACUCCAGCCACUCUGAGUUAGCCUUAUGAACUACUCUUACUCCUUCUCUUUCCUUCCCUUCGAAUUCCAGCUCAUUCCUGUCUUUCCAUAGUUGCCAGAGAAUGUUUGCCGUCAGAGCUAUGUGCUGCUUUCCUUCUCUCCUAGCCUUGGCUUGUACUAAAGUUGCCCACCAUUGUUUGAAGCAUCCUGUUAGAUUCUGGAUUCCAUCCCAUUGCACAGGAGCUAACUUCCAAACCUGUUGAGCCUGAGUGCAGUGAAACAAAAUGUGUUCAACUGUUUCCACCUUAUCCCCACAUCUUAGACAAAAUGGUGAUCCUUGUCUUGUUCUUCUGAAUAUUGUCUCCCUGGCUGUUAGAGUAUUGGUUAUACACCUCUAUAUGAACAGUUUUAUCUUAUGUUUGAUGUUCAGCCCCCAUAAAGACUUCCACAUCUGUGUGUUAGAAUCAUCAAAGCUAGAGCCGGAUUCCCCUCUUACAGCCAGUUCCUUGCUUUUUUCUUCCUUUAGCAGCACUUGAUAACAAGACUUAACUGAGUACUCCCCUUGUUGACUAUGGAUCCAAAAGUGCCUGUCACCCACUCUUGACAAACUGAUAGGAACCUUCAGAAUGUUCUCAGCAUCUUCUUUAUUAAAUGCUCUGAAUAUUUUAUUUCUGUUCCACCUGAAGUUGGUAAUCAGCUCAUCUACUGUGCCUUCCUCCCAAUCGUUUGGUUUCCUUGUGGUAGGUACCCCAUUAGGACUAUUUGGGAUCCAUUGGUCUUUCCAGAUCUUGAUACUCUUUCCUGAUCCAACUCUCUUCAGUGUUCCUUUCUUCACUACAUCCCUCGCAGACAUAAUGCUUUGCCAGAACCAGGAAGAAUAUUUGGGGCAUUCACCUUGUAAUAUGGAUGUCUUGGGGUAAUAUUUAGCUUUGAGCAUUCUGCUUACGAGCAGGUUUGGGUUUCUUAGGAGUCUCCAAAUCUGUUUUCCCAAUAAUGCUAUGUUGAAACACUGCAGAUUUCUAAACCCCAGUCCUCCAUCCAAUUUUGCCUUCAUCAUUUUUGUCCAUGAACACCAGUGCACCUUAGCUUUCCCUUCUGAGUCCCCCCACCAGUAUUUAGCCAUCAACCCUGUAAUUUCCUUACACAACUUAGUUGGUAGUUUGAAGCAAGACAUAGUGUAGGUUGGCAUUGCCAUAAUGACAGCCUUUAACAUAACCUCCUUUCCUGCUGCACUUAAGAAUUUAUUCUUCCAGCUGCUUAGUUUAGCUUUGAUACUGUCCUUUAUGAAUCCAAAAAUCUGGCUUUUUGUUCUUGUAAUCACCAUGGGGAGGCCUAGAUAUUUGCCUUGAUUCACUACCCUUACCCCUGCAAGAGGCCUACAUGUCUCCUCCUUGUCCCUCUCCUUAGUAUUCUUACUGAAACAAAUGGAAGAUUUUUCCAAAUUAAUCACCUGCCCAGAUCCUCUCUCAUACUGCUCCAGUAUUUCCUUCAACUUCCUUGCUUCUUCCCUUACAGCUUUACAGAAGAUUAAUGUGUCAUCUGCAAAGAAUAGGUGGGUAAUGGCUGGUCCAUAUUUGCUGAUCUGAAGUCCACUUAACAGCCCUUGACCUGCUGCUUUCCUUAGUAAAUUAGAUAGUCCUUCUGAACACAGCAAGAAGAGGUAAGGUGACAAGGGGUCACCUUGUCUGAUCCCUCUAGAUGGCAUCACAUAUCCCUUGAUUUCCCCAUUGAUAUUGAAAGAAUAAGAGACUGAAUUGAUACAGCUCAUUAUCCAUUCCACCCACACCUGGUUGAACCCCAUCUUCUCCAUCACAGCUUUCAGAUAUCCCCAUUCAACCCUAUCAUAAGCCUUGGACAUGUCUAUUUUUAAAGCAGUAAAUCCGUCCUUGCCUUGUCUCUUGUUUUUAAGGAAAUGAAGGCAUUCGUGUGAUAUAAUAAUGUUGUCCAAUAUCUGCCUGUUGGGGAUAAACGCAGAUUGAUUUUUGCAGAUGCAAAGGUCAAGAACUGGUUUGAGUCUGUUAGCUAGAAUCUUGGAGAUGACUUUGUAUAGAACGUUACAAAGACUGAUGGGUAGCAGGAUCGCCUAAAAUCGUAGUAGGAUCGGUAGGAUCGUACGAUCCUACAAUUUUUUUGUAACUUUGUGAAACACGAAACUCCAUUUUGCAAGUAAAUGAAAAUAUUUGUGAUAUAUUUGUAAUUUAUCAAAAAAUUUUAACCUUUAAUUACAAUUAAGAGCUUUUGAUAGGAUCACGAUCCUGUGUGAAACUAAAAUCGAUCCCACGUAGUACCCAAUUUUACAAACCUUGGCUAAAACUAAACCCCAACAAAAGAGAGAAGCCGCCUCAAAAGAGAAUUGAAAAUGUCGUCCAAGGCAAGCAACCAAAGUAUAUAAAUUCUCAGUAGCGUCUUUGGUUAGUUUCCCUCCUCUACUGUUACUUCCCAGGUUCAGAUUGUAUGGUGGCGGAAUCCAUCAUUUAUUGAUUGCUUGCCAUUCUCUUCUCUUCUUAUAGGAUAGGAAUAGACUUGAGCUUCCACGAUUUGUGGCUUCCGUAUCGUUCUCCGUAAUAUUUGGGCGUCUUAUUCUCUCUUUCUUGCUUGAUCAAUGAAAAGAAAUGAUAGGAAAAACGCUGUCGUAGCAGAACCAAGAAUACUGACGGAGCUUUAAUAGCAGAGAUGUCGGCGUGGCGGUCGGUGGUGGACUGGCAAUGGGAGAACGCCACCGCCGGCGCUCUCGCCGGUCUCGCCACCGUCACUUUCUCUCAUCCCCUUGACGUAGUCCGUACCAGAUUCCAAGGUUACCUCCCGCCCUUCCUUCCUUCCUUCCUGGCCCCAUUCUCUCUAGUCUCGUACGUAUAUGCAUUAACUCGAAAAGGAAAAGGAAAUAAAAUCAUCAUGACGAUUAGUUUUUGUUUAUUUUCCAAAUAGUGCACGACGGGCGAAUCUCCAACCUCCCGAGCUACAAGAAUACUCCUCACGCUCUCUUCACCAUUGCUCGCUCCGAGGUUUGUUUCUUUUUUCAGCAUCGCUUCUUCUUUUUAGAUACCUUCGCUUCAGGAUUCCAGGUAGAUGAGGGGUUGAUGGUAACUCAUGUAGCAAGUCCUUUUGCUGACAUUACUUUUUUAUAUGAAUUUUGAAUCAGCUCUUCUUCCUUUUAAAGAUUUGAGCUUACAGAAACGUGAAAGUUUACUCUUUUUUUUUUAAAAAAAAUUGACAUUGAUGUUAUCAAUGCUCUUGUAACUGGUCAACUUGCAAUACGACUUGCUUUUGGUGAUUAUAUACAAAUUUGAUUUUCUCCUUCUUCUUCUUCUUCUUUUGGCAGUAUUUCAAAUUUUUAUUUUUUCCCCUCUUAUUGGCUAUAGCUCUGGUAUCUAAUUUCUACGCUUUCUGCCUCAGGGUCUCAGAGGGCUUUAUGCAGGCUUUUACCCUGCUGUUCUUGGGUCAACUUUUUCAUGGGGUUUGUAUUUCUUCUUGUAAGUUUUACUUCUCGGGUCUUUGCUAAUAUCUUGUAAUACACAACAAGACUAUUGAGUCUAGUUCACUUGGAUAAAGUAAUAUAUUAUUUUUUCAAGUUGAAGAUGAAUGCACCCAAUCAUUCACCUUUUUCUAGUGUAUGUUUGCUAGUGUAUCAUGUUUGGCAUUUUCUCCAUACUUUUAGUUUCUUCCAGCAUCAUCUGUUCCUUUUCUGAUAAAAGAAAAUAAGUAUAAUAACAAUAACUUGUGCAGCAAUUGAAGGUUAUUGCACUUGGACUUUUUCUCUAAUUCCAUUUCCCGGUUGAAUGAGUCUCCAGCUAUAAGCUUUGUUUUCCAAUUUGGAGAUAAUUUUCCUGCCUAUUCGACAUGAUAUUCUUUUAUGCAGCUAUAGCAAGGCCAAGCAGAGAUAUCUAGAAAAUAGGCCAGAGCUGAGCCCAGGCCUGCAUCUAGCUUCAGCUGCUGAAGCGGGAGCUUUGGUUAGUACUGUACUUAAAUGGAAUUCUGACUGUUUUAAUUGCUGCUUGUGCCAAUUUUAUUGUGUAUAAUGCAGUUCCAAAAUUGAAAUUUGGACAUCUAUUUCAACCUGUAACAAAAGUGAGGUUGUGCCUAUCUCAGGUUUCUUUGUGCACAAAUCCUGUUUGGUUAGUAAAAACAAGACUUCAACUACAGACUCCUCAACAAGUCCGUCCAUACUCUGGCUUUCAUGGUAUGCUCAGCUCUUUCAUGGUAUUAGAUUUUAAUUCAUUUGCCUCUGAUUUACUAUUAGGAAUAAUUUAAAGUAUUCUAAUCAGUUUUGGUAAAGGGACUACUAUCUAUUUCCCGUGAUAUUUGCAUACAUAUCUAAUUCAAAAUUUUGAACAGCUGUAUCUGUCUACAUUUCCUUUUCAGCAUGUUUAUGAACAUUAUUCUUGCUUUCUGCUGUGACCAAUCUGAGGUUCAUGUUUUCCUUCUGAUUGUAGAUGCUUUAAGGACGAUUCUAAAAGAAGAAGGGUGGAAAGCACUUUAUAAGGGGCUGGUGCCUGGCCUUUUUCUUGUUAGCCCAUCUCUUCUCUCUCUCUCUCUCUUUCUCUCUCUCUCUUUCUCUCUCUCUCACACACACACACACACAAAAUGGCAGCUUUGUUCGGUUAUUGAAUUUAUUGGUUUGACUGGCUUCCUUUCAUUGUAUACUCAUGUAAACAACUGACUGGUCCUGGUUUUGCUUCAGCAGGUUACACAUGGAGCUAUUCAAUUCACUGCAUAUGAGGAACUUCGUAAAGCUUUCAUUCAACUCAAGUCUGAAGGAGGUGAAGGCUCCACUGAUGACUCAUUGGUGAGUCUUCAGCAUAUAUACCUGUCUGUAAAUUGUUAUGGGGCGAACCUUUAGGCCUGUUCUCUUUGGUUUAAAAUAAGCUAAUUUUAGCUUUUUUUGAGCAAAACUAAAAGCUGCAUUUGGGCAUCCUUAUUUGCUUUAAACUAGUGCUUUAUGCUUUCCUUAGGCUUAAAAAUUCUGAUUAUGAGAAGCAGGUGUUUUGUUUUAUGAGAAAGCCUUGCAGGACUUCACCUGAUAAGUUUUGUGUAUCUGUUUGAUAAACCGAAUUCGCUGCUGCUUGUGUGCAUUUGGGACAUUUGUCUUCUGUAAAAGUCAUAUCGCUCUUUCUUAUCUUUAAUACAUCCUUUCUGCCCCUAGUUUAAAAGAUACAAGUGUGUUGUCAGUGUAAGGAUUUAGAGUAAACUCACUAGGACAGAACAUGAGAAGUCAUAAGUUAGUUUUAGCUUUUUACACAUCUUAUGACUGCACUACAUUUUUUUCAGUGUUGGCUUUUUAGGUAUCUUAUGAAUGCCCUACAUUUUUUUCAUUUUAAUGUUAAAUUCUCCUGUAGUUGCAUACUUGGCCACCUUUGGAAAGUUUCACCUCUCUUUGUUAAAAAUUUGAAGGCGAGUUGAUUUUGCUUCUUCUACAUGUAUAACUGUAUUAUGUUGGUACUUAAUUCUCACUUUGCUGUUCUGUUUUAAUUGUUAGUAAAAGUUUAAGAUGAAUUUUCCUAUUUUUUGUUUCUCUUUUUGGCUUUGUAGUCCUAUUUGGUCUCUUUCCAUGUCUGCGUAUCAAAUUCCUCUGGCUUGGAAACGCAGAAUAAUUGCUGAUUUGCUCUUCCUUCAGGAUUUAGAAGUUUUAGCAUUGUAUUGUAUUUUCUUGACAGGAUUCAAUUGAUUAUGCGGCAUUAGGGGCUACUUCAAAACUGGCUGCCAUUGUUUCAACGUACCCAUUUCAGGUAGACAGCUGCACAAACCCUAUCUAAAAUUUGGUUAUGUUGAUGUAUUUUUAUUUUGGAAGCAUGUUAUAUAUACUUCUCACAGUAUUAUAAUCGCUUUACUAAGACCUUGUUAACACUGUAUUGCAGGUCAUUCGAUCUCGACUGCAGGUGAGGAACCUAAACAUUCACUUGAUCUUAUCCAUAUCUUUCAUAUUCACUCACGAGAUGAGGAGAGAGACUGUGCCACUAAGGAUGAUGCUCUGGGUGGCUUACUGAGAGGAAAAAAAAAUGUUUAGAUAGGGAUAUACAUAUGAUCUUGUUUCUUCCUGUAUUAUGGUAGCUAAUGGCCAAUUUGAUUUUUACUCUUCCUUCUGUAGCAACGGCCGAGUACAGAUGGAAUUCCAAGAUACAUGGACAGCUGGCAUGUAAUGAAACAAACAGCAAGGUGAAAUCAAAAUUUUCUCCCAGUCUUGUGGUGAUCUUUCUCUCCCUCGUACACACACGCAAACGCACGUGCACACGCACAAUCACAAUCACAAUCACAAACACAUGGUCCUUGGCAUGUUGAAAGUACUGUAGGACAUUCUUUGCAAGACCUGGCUGAAUGCAACAACGAGAAUCAUCUGUCAAGUUUGUGCAACAAUCUUAGCCAAUUUCUACUUUAACAAUGGGAAAAUUUUCAUUACACUUUCUUCACCUUUAGCCUUCCUGUGGAAACUUUAUUAGUUUACAAUUUGUUUUACCUUCCCCGUUUUCUGUUCACAGGUAUGAGGGUCUACGAGGGUUUUACAAGGGUAUCACUGCAAAUGUGCUAAAAAAUGUUCCAGCUGCUUCGAUAACAUUUAUUGUGUAUGAGAAUGUUCUAAACAUGCUAAAACUGGCUAAAUGGAAAGAUCAAUAGCUUAGCUAAUUUUUGUAAUCAAGAAAUCUACAUGUUAGUAUCAAAACCUUCGGAAAAGAAAAGUUGUAGUUGAAAAAUAUGAUAUAUGGUGUAGUACCCAAUGCGACAGCAGAGAGGAGUGAACUAUGAACAGUUGAGGCAAAUGUCCUGUUCAAUUGUCUGUCGGUUAAAAUUGAUUGAAAGUGUUACAUCUCUAGUUUGUUACAUUGUCCAACUUCUGAUACUGUCUACCAAACACAUUGUCUUGGGUUCUAGCCACGAUUUGCACGCAUCAAAGAUGGAACUUGCAGACCAAGUUCGGGUUCCUUAUCCAUCAGAGUCUUGUAUCUUUUACUUUGUGAAGUUAUAGCAGUUAGAUAUUUGCCAGUUCUAUGUUCAGAAAUUUCAAAAUCCGAAUAGAGUAUGUAAUAUACAAUCUUUUUCAAUGGUGGUGCAUGGAGCAAUUAUUUUCAGAAAUUUUUUUUUUUAAAAAAAAGCCAUAUACAAUCUAUUUCUACAUUGGUACUUGGAAUAAUGUAAUACAUUCCAGUUACUUUUCCCUCACUGUGGGUUAUUAUUGAAAAACAAGAUUCCACCGAAAAGGCUCCACGCUGAUUGAGGUCUAUCUGAUUCAGUGUCUUCGCAUUUGAACAACAAAAUUUCGGCCAACGUUACAGCUUUCUGUAGACGGUAGAGUCUCUACAAAGCAUGACGUAUAAAGUCCCAUUACUUGGCAGGAAAUUUUCGGAGGAAGGAUAGAAUUUGUUCGGAAACCUCUUGAGCUCUCUCUUGUUGGAUGAAAUGAUGGCCGUCUAGUAUGACGACUUCAUGGUUGGGUACUAGGCUCUUGAACACAUUUCCUUCUAUGUACUCCCUGGUGCCAGAAUCAAAUCCAAUAUCCUUGUUCCCCACAAUUAGCUUUGCUGGAACUGUUAUUUUAGACCCUUGCCACGGUGCAAGUAGCUCCCAAUUCCUGUCAUCACAUGACGUUCACAACGGGAUUAACAGGACCAGCUACAUACUGAUACCGGAGCAUAUAAACUCUUGCUAUCUAACAAAAUCGAGGUGAAUUUCGUGUUCUUGCACAUUAUUACGCUACAAAAGAUUGAUCAUGGCAACUUAAUUGAGUGAUAGGCUUGUCCAGUCUGGUUAGGGGUGUUUUCAUUUGCUACAGUUGAUUAGUGUUGGAACUGCGGUUAGACUUGCAGGUCCAUGGCUCGGUAGUAAUUGAAAGCUCCUGUAAAACCAGACUCUAGGAACUUGUCAGCGAUGACCUGAAGUUCAUCUUCUGUAAUCCAGCGCGGUAAGUAGGAAGGGGUUUCUAAAUAAUCAAUAAUCUCCAUACCAGGAGGAGCUAUCAGCUGAUCGGUCUUGCUAAUGAGAUAGAAUUUCUUCAUCACCGUAAGAUAAUCAUACCUCGCAAAUGAUUUUUCUGCUCUUCCAGGUUCCUACCAUUUCGGAUUGGCACUGAUUUUAUCAAAUAUGAAGAUAUUUGUAGCAUAGCCAGGAAACAGAAAUCAAGAAUACCUGAAACUGGCAAACGUAGAAAUUAUCUCCAAACAUCUGUUUGAAUGAGUCGGUCGUUUUGAUGGUUGAAAAUCUUGGUGUGAAUGGAACCGAGAGAGCAACUAUACCUCUAACUCUAUUUGGCCUGAGCAGGCUCAACUGCCAAGCAGCCGCAGCUCCCCAGUCUAUCCCCACCACAAAGGCCUUGCCAACAAAUAAUCAAGUCGUAGUUUUACAAAACUACAGCUCAGAAAGUAAAGCUCAAAAAAUCGUGCAAAUUAUCAAACAAAAGAAUUUACCUGCUCUUGGCCAAAAUGAUCCAGAAGGCCGAUGAGAUCGCCAACUAUGUGGAAAGCAGUGUAAGAAGAGGGGCUGAGGGGGGAGUCAGUGUCUCCAUAGCCUCUCAAGUCAGGUGCAACUACGCGGUAACCGUGUUUUGCCAAGAAGUUGAUUUGAUGGCGCCAGGAAUACCAUAUCUCAGGGAAGCCAUGGAGGAGUAAAACAAGUGGCCCUGUUCCUUUUUCAGCUAUGUGCAUCCAUAUACCAUUUGUCUUGAUUCUCUGGUGAUUGACAUCCGCGAUGACGCUCAUCAUUUUUACCUCACAAAACUUUCAAAAUUGAUUGCCUGCUAUGAUGAUCGCUUUGUUUGAUAAUUUAUUUUCUGGGUUAUUUGGGAUUAAUCGUCAUCAAUUGACUAUGGGCAAAGGCGUAAGCGAAGAGACUUAGUAGGCAAGGUCAAGAAUAUGCAGUCAGUGCUUUGGUGUCGAACAUUGUUUGGCUGCUUGUCUCAAGCCAGGCAUGCAAGGGUGUUCCGGUCAAAUCCGGGUGAAGAGCUGAUUGAUGACCAAGAAAGAAGCUGCUUGAGUAUGAACUAUGAACUAACACCCUACCAAGGACAAAUGAUGUUUGAGUUUGAAUAUUGUCAUGAAGGUGUACUCCAUUUCAUCAAAUGUCUAGAAGUAUACUCCAGAUUUAUUUCUCGAGGAUUUACAUCUAUGCAACAGAUUCAUAGAUUGAUUUUCAGUACUCCCGACCAAGACUUGGCUACAAUUCUAUUGAUCCUUUUUUUAUAGCGACACCAUGUACCACGAGGUCGAGAACAGGAGGACACUCGGACAAACUCCUCACUCUAACGAGAAUUCAGAUAGUAUAUAAGAAAUUAAAUGUCUUCGGAAAAUUAAUUUGGAUUAGAUGAUGCAAUCACCACAAACACAGCACAGAUUGGAGUUCAUGACACUGCACAUUGUACUUCUAGCAGCGAGCACAAAAUAGGAGUCCGCUCUUCAUUUACAAAUACCAGGAAAAUAGUCAAUUCACAUUGAAUUGUUCUUCGGCACUACUCCUGGUUGCCAAUAUUUAGCUUUACUUUUAAGCUGAAUUCAUCUACCAAUGGAAUAAGAGCUGAUUUGCCUCCUUAAAACAGUUAAUGACAGUGAAGAAAUUAUUAUUUUUACACUUUGUCAUCAUGAAACCACCAUCUUGUUUCCUUUGGAGAUCUGCCAUUUUUACAGUUUCUUACAUAACGAUCAUUGUCUUCUGGUGGUUGCUGCACAUACAGGCAACGAAGGAUUAAUAUGCAUCCGAGAUUUGCAGGUGAUUGAAAAAUACCUAAUCUAGAAGCCGUCAAGGACUAAUAGAGGCAUACCUUUACGGUUGAACUUGACAGCAUUGAUAGAAUGCUGAUACAGACAGAGCUAACAGUCAUGGCAGGGGACCAUGAGUCAUACAGAAUAUCUGCAUUGCACGAGGAUAUAUAAGAUAUGAUUUACUGAUUUUCCGAAGGCCAGAGUCACAAUGAUAAGUAUCUAACUGCAUGGAAGGCAUUACAAGCAAAGGCAAUCAAGACGGUCUCACAUUGGGCCUUCAUUGCUUUCACCAAUGUUAACGUCAUACAUUUUAGGACCAGCUGUGGAGCCAAUAUUCGCAAGUUGCAGGAGGCAAAAACAUAGAGAUGCCAUUUCAUUUAGUUUUGAAAAUGUAAUUCUCCUAAAAGUGAACUCAAAAAUCUAAAAUUCCUAAUGAGUGUUCUAGUAAGUAAGGAACGAGGUACUCCCACUUCCUCUCUUAAUCUGGGCUGAGGAUCUCUGACCAGAAACUUAAAAAUCCAAGCCAUUAUAGCUUCAAGCUUCUUGUCAUUCACCUUGAGUAAUCCAGAGAUGUAUUCACAGGAGAAGCUUUGAUUCUCUCCAUUCACAAGAAAAAAAUCUUAGUUUUAAUAGGAAGCCAAAUAGCCAAUCAUAUUCUUGUAUCCCUAUCAAGCAGAGAACAAUAUCGAGCUAGAUGGGGACAUGCAAUUCCCACUAAUGCUAUCUCAUACUCUUGUUACCCCUUCCUAAAAGAGCAAUUUCUACAACAUCCAGUGUCAACAAUUGGUAAUGCAGCUUGUCUGUAAAAUGAAAAUCCCAAUAAAUGCUGCAUUUCUCAAACCUCAUAAGAGGAUAAAGAGUCUAAACCUUAACAUGCAACGGUCCUCAUAAUAUGCUUUUUGUUAGCACAUGCUAAAAAUUACAACAAACAACUUUAAGAAACUAUAAAAACAAGGACUAAACGGCUUCAAUCAUAUGAGGAAUUUUUCCUUCUCUUAAGAGAGAAAUAGAGAAACCUAUUUUCAGGAAGAUUGGAAAGACAAGUGAGGGUACAAUUAAUACAUAGAAGAUUUGAAGAAACGGCAAUGUUCUCAAAGUAACUGCCAUCUCAGUGCGUUCAAAUAGUAGUGAUUUUUGCACAUAAUAGAACUAUCGCUGUCAUUGCAUGAUGGUGACAAUAAAUUUAGUGGUGGCGUAACAUAUAACUCGCACAAAUCUUUCCAUUUCUUGAGAUGCUAAACUUAAUUAGACAAAAAGAGUUUUAACAGCAAAUAGAUUAGAUCCCCUGUAUUGACAUCCGCAGAAAAGGCAAAUAAGGACAAAGAACACCAACCUAACAAUCAAAAGAGCAAAGAAAUCUCUGCAGAUUAACUGCAUCCGGCAAACCUAAGUGGCAAAGAUUUUUUAUGAAAUGUCAUAUGAUUAAGCUUACCUAAACAAAUGUGGCCAUUGCUAUAGAUAUGAGGGUGCAAAGGAGCCGGGCUCAAAAAUAUCACCUUGCAUCAAUCCCAAAUUAAAAGAACAAAUCAGAAUGCCAUUCAAAGAAACUUUUGCCAAAAUUAUACACAGUAACUCCAAAAAUUAAAACAAAAAAGAAGAAAUACUGUAAAAAGAUCCAACCUGGGGCGCUUCCAUAGGAUAAUGUUCUGGAAAAUCUACUUGUAGCUGAAAUGUUUCAUUAGCAUAUAAAGUUCCAGGAGCUCCAUGCACUUCAAUGACCCACCUUUUUAUCAAAUCAACUUACUAAAUCAAUAGCUAAUCACAAUUAUAAACAACUACAAUGUUACAAAAAGCAGUAAUUCAUUCAUUAAAAAUCGAUUUAGUAUCAAUAAUUUCCCUGUACGAAAUGAAUAAAUCCCGUAUCAUAUCAACGUCCACCCACCGCCCUCCCCCCCCCCCCCCCAAAUAAAAAAAAAAAAAAAGGGAAUAAAACAAUUGUUAGGAGCAAGAAGCAAUUGGGCUAAAAAAAGUGAAAACUGAUAAACAAGAAAGAAAAAGAAAACAACCUCUGAAGAUUAUCGGUGGGCUUGUGCUUAAAACCAGCAGGAGGAUUGACCUGCCACUCCACCAGCUCCUUCUGCAACCGGUUGGUCGCUAUUUUGCUUAACGCCUAAUUCAACAAUUACUAUUGUCAAGAUAAUAAUCUUUAAAUGAAUCUAAGAAAGAAAGCUCUACAUCGGAAAAGAAAAGCUAAAAUUUUGUACAGCGCAAUUUCGUAAAAUUAUCCACAAAUUCCAUAUAGAGAGACUGAGAGGAAUAAACCUUGCGAGAGGCGGCGGAGGAGCCGGUCAUGGCGUCGCAAGAUCACCUGAUACCUGGCUCGGAUAGACAGUAAAAGGCCGACUAUUGACGACGAGGAGGAUGAUUCUACGGAGGAGCACACAAGGAAUAUGGCCCUGCCGCUGCUAAUUAUAAUAAUAAUAAUACGUCCUGUCCCCAUUCUUUCUUUUUUGCUUUUAUUUCACCCCGUCUAAUUUCUUCUCCAAAUAAUACUCCUCUACUAAUUUCUUCCCCAAAUAAUAUUUUAUUAUUGUCUUCGUAUUGAUUUUUCUACAACUGUCCUGGUACGGUAUUUAAGGAUUUUAUUCUACAACUGUGCUAGUGGGAUAUUUUAUAACAAUUCUUAUUACUGCUAUAAGUUAUACUAGUAACUAGUAGUACUAAUUUUCUUGGUAAAUAUUGACCUCCUCUCCUGCUGCGGUUGAUAUAAUAAAUUCUAGUACUAAAUUAAUGUCGUCAACGGGAGCGUUUGAGGUGAACGAGAUUUUAUCACCCCAUUGAGAUCGCAUCACCAUCUUGAUGCUUGUUAUGAUUUACCAGAUGGUAGUAAUACUAGUAAUUAAAGAACAAGAAUUGGUCCAAAAUGGGCCCGGUUUGAUGAUGAUCGAAGUGGGAUGUCCCUACCCGAAAAAAAAUAUAGUACCCCCCCUUGAGAAAGUGGGAUGUUGCCAAUAGUUCCCAAAAUCAGCAAAAUUCAUUUUCUGUCUUGAAAAAUAUAUUACGUGUAAACCACCCAGUCUAAAACUAAAAAAGAAGUAGCACACAAAAAGUAAUAGAAAGUUCCUAUUCUUUUUAGUGUAGAAAGUUGACGGGAGCCCUUGACGUCUUCCCUUCAAUCCAAGAUGCCGGGCCGAGACAGGAAAACCCUUAUUAUCAUUUUCCUGUCAAUUAUUAUUGGUUUCUAAAUCAAAUACAACAGCUCAUCUAUAUUACUAUUAUGAGGACGGUCAUCUCGGCCCGAUCGCUCUAAAGAAAGGACCGGGACUUCCUGUAUUUACCGUCAUCUCGGCCCGAAAUUGUAUCAACUCGGCUUCCCAGUGAAAUGCCGAGUUCUCACGCGUCUUCAGUCAUCUCAACUCAUCACCUCACGAAUACCUCAGUGUCUCGACUAAUGAACUGACGCCUUAUUGGAGUCCACUAUCCUUCCCUCCGGUUGGUCAGAUCUUAGGAAAUUGGAGUCCACUAUCCUUCCCUCCGGUUGGUCUUCUAUAAAUACCAUUCCCUCCUAAAUAAAGGGAGAGGACUCUCUACUAUUUUCAUUCCCAUUAUUCAUUUCUCACAAAACUAACUUAAUCAUUGGAGGUACUCCGAGGGAAAAAAGCGCCGUCUAGUGUGUUUACCAGGAAAAGUACAGCACAAAGUCACCUCGCUUAAGAAGAAGACGUAUUAGGUUAACUAGACUUGCCCAUCCAAAAAUAACCUUUUCAUGCUACAUAUUUACAACAAACGGAAAAGGAAAAAAUUUGAAUCCCUAAACAGGAAAACCAUUGUCAUUUUCCUGUCAAUUAUUCCAAAGAAAUACACUAUUGCACACUGCUGCAGAGAGAGAUUUGAAUCCUAAAUCUAUAGUCAGAAUUGCCCCUCAGCUCACGUAAUGCGAGUCGGUUUCCUAAAUUCUAGUCACCGGUCUUCGUUCCUAACCGACGCCAAGUUCAUUGCAUAGUUUCUCACUGGUCCAAGGUAAACGACACGUCUCCUUACGAGGCACCAUCAAAGUAUCGAGUGGCUUCGUAAGCACGAUAUCUUCCCCUGGAAUAGUUUCUGAAUUCGGCUCUUCUCAGGCCUGUCAAUCUGUUUUUUCGUCGACCAAGUCGGCAAAAAGACUCGAGAUCUACUUCUAGAAAACAAUUCGUCAAACGAACAAAGGGAAAAAUAUGUCAAAAGUGAUCUAAAGCAAACACUUUAUUAGCUAUUUGCUAUACCCCAUUUGGACGCUGUCACUAGGAAGGAAUCGGAUUACCCACUGACGUAUCCUCCAAGGUAAUUAACUUGAAAGGACAGGAUUUCAGUUUCAACACAAGGAGGAUUAGGCAUAUCCUUUGCAUCAUUUCAAUUUUAUGACUGCCCCCACCAAGAAAACUAGACUCUGGAAAGCAUCUAGCGUUUGCAGAAUAAAAGUUUAUGCCUAUUCCGAUCUUGACCUAUCUUAAAUCAGUAAAUAAUCAAUAAACAAUAUUGAUGAUAAGUUACUCAUUACGUGAGAAUUAAAACCGCAUUUAGGUACUGGAUCAUGGUUAAUCAUCGUCCCUACAAAACAUGUUAGUCUUGGUAUGUUCUUGUAGAGUAAGCGACCGGUAGAAAUGGCAUUCUCACUGAGACUGGAAGACAAAUGAAAUACCAACAGUAUACAGUAUGGUCAUCACAAUCUUUUAAGGAUGGCUCAAGUUACUUUGCACAAAAAUUCUGCUCAUUGAAGGAUGGCUUAAGUUACUUGCACAUACUUUUAGGAACAGCGUGUCUCAUUGAAGUCUCAAUUUCUCAGCCUGUAAUCCGUAAUCUACAAUCUGGGGUAUGAAUUUUCUUAUGCAAUCUAUUCUCAAUUUUGUGUAAAAACCUCAAGUCGUACUCUGAGCUGAAAAAUUGGACACUUGAAAUCAUCAGUUUAUUUCCUUAAUUUUGAGAGAGGAGGCUCGAUGGAAGAACUUUGUACGGGUUGAGUAUACCAUUGGGGUCAAGCAGCUUCUUGAUGGAAGCCAUUACUUGCACCUGUCAACACAAUAAUUUGUUUUAGAUUCUUGUAUGGAUGGAAGGUAGUAAUUGGGAAAAAUAAAAAAUCAGUGAAGGAUCGGAGUGUGUAAAGGAAGGAGAAAAUAUUUGAACCUGUAAAUCGCAUUGGAAAACAAAAGGCACGAGUAGGAUCAAGCAGAAAGACACAGACAGAUAAUAGAAUGAUUAUCAUCGAGACAAGAUGUGUCAGGUAACAGUUCGAAUACACAAUAAUCAAAGUCUAUCAUCAGCCUUACAGUUUCAGGUGACUUGCUGUAGUGUAUUUUAGCAGCUUUCAUCAAUCCAAGACCAUGCUCAGCACUAAUACUCCCACGGUUCUUUGAUGUCCAUUCAUACACGAAGGGCUCAAUUUUUGCCAAAAUCUGAAAUAUGUGUGAUCAUCUUAGUGAGGUAACUACAAUUCAGAAUCAAGGGAACUUCACGGAGAGAGCGGGAACAAGCACGCUACAUUAUCAUCAUACGCUGGAGCUGAGAUAUUUAGAUGUAAGUUUCCAUCCCCAAGGUGACCAUAUGCCACUACUUUGGCUGCAGGACCUAGAGAUUAACAUGCAAGUGUGAAAAGUUGUCAGAAACAUUUAAUACCUUACUGACAGUCAAGUCCAAAUGUAAUGUUAUACCUAAGAAGUCAGAACUCAAUAAGUGAAACUCAAUCAGCCAAGUAAAGUAGGAUCUUCAAGUUGAAAUGAAGCAUGGCUUCCAUGAUAAGUUAUGAGAAAUAACUACUGAAGCUAUGCAUCCAUUGGAUGAAUCCCAUCCAGAAGAUUGUUCCACCUUCAAGGUAUCACCAUGAAAGAGAACAGCAUUCUUACUGUUCAAUAAAACAAAGAAAAAGUAAUGAAUUUCAUUAUUACCAAUUUGCACUCGCAUUUCCUCAACAAGAUCAUACAUCUUUUCAAGAGGCAGUGACAAAUCAUAUUUGUACACGGCCCCUGCUUUCAUGAGAGCUUCAGGUAAACCCUGCAACCAAGAAGCUGCAUAUUAGCAAGUUUCAUGUAUACACAAAACGCCUCAUGUAAUUUAAAGAUACUUCAUGCUAUUAAACAGAUCACUCGGAAAUCAAUAUUUUAGGUAAUAGUUGCAUUCUUUUAUACUGUUUAAAAAUUAUAAAUUAAAGGAAAUUUCAUAGUUAUUUGCUCCAAUGCAAAACGUUCUCGUGAUUUUAGCAAUAAGUCAAUCCAUUUUAUCUGACUCCUACUAUAAUUCUGACAUCCAAAAAACUAUUAUCAAGAUAUAGAACAAGGAGAUAUUCUAAUUUAUAACAGAACAAAAUGUUAUUCUCAAUUUCAGAGAGAGAUACUGAAACAUCAGGAGAAAUUCAGUAGAGCAGAUGAAGCACCACAUCAGAGCUGAGAUGUCUAUGCAAAUAAAAUAAUAUCAAAUACCCGAGCGUAAGUUCCCAAUUCCAAAGUAAUAUUGGUGACUUUGAUGAUACGACAAAAUGAGGAUGCAUGGUAAUAACCUCACGAAUAUGCCAAAAUGAGGAUGCUUGAUUGAUAUCUUGAGCAAGAACUCCAUUGGCUACCAAACCACUUUCCACUGAAUGAAGAAGGAAGGCCUCAAGGUUCUCCCUGGAGACAUCAAGAUAGAAUGUUUAGAACCAAAAGAAGCAGCAAAUCAUCAUUCCAGGCAUAUUUAUUUGAUAAACCUUAAGUUUUCUGAUAUAGAACGUUGGACAUUUGUUCAAACAAAGAGCAUUAUUCAUUAACUUCAAAGGUGGCUGUUGUCCAAGAGGUUUUAACUCCUUUCAAACUAUAAGCAAAAAGCAACUAGGAAAUAGAAUGGGAAAUAGCUGGCCAAGCUGGUUGUACUGAUGCCUAUGGUUGCCCAAGCAAGUUUGGACGAUAACAGUUUACAUAAAAUUAAUAACCUUCUUACAUCUGGGAGAUCAUUUGCUAAGUUUUAUUAUUCAAACUGAACUAAGCUAAGCUUGCCCCCACCAAAAAAAAAAAAAAAGUCCUAACUAGCUCGUUGAUAGAAACUAAAAUAUCCCAAACAGAAAGAAAGAGCUUCUGUUCAUCAGAUUCAUGUCAUGCCACAGAAAGAAAGUGUGUCCCUAGUGUAAGAAGUAUUUUUUUCAGAAGUUUUUUCUUCAGGUAAAAUAUUUCAUCAGUGUAUCCCCUCUAUUUCCUUGUUAAACAAGAAACUGCUUUUAAACCUGUAAAGGGAAGAGGUUGUCAAUUGUAACAAGACCUAUUCAACUAUUUUGUCCAAUUCCUAUUCGGUGACUUUCUUCGAGACCUUCAAUUUAGACGACAACAAAAUUUUAAGGAUGGCAUGUAGCAAAUAUUUUACUUGUCAAAAGUUUCGUUGCUUCCAGUUGUCUCAAUCAGAAUAUAGAAGUUGUGUAUUGAGGGAGGUAAAGGAUUGCGAACACCAUCCAAAUGUUUCAGAACCUGUCGCAUGUAACAUAUAAGCAUGGUGAUGGAAAUUAACAGCAUAUUAUUCACACAAAGUACAAGACACUAUGCAUACAUAAUCUAAUGCCGCUCACAUGUAACUUAGCUGAGUAUAUUAUACUGAGAUAAAGUUAAAAAACAUUAAGCACAAAUUACAUGAAUAUACUUCCACUUGCAUAACUGUACCAGAACUCAAGGGGCAAUGCCCUGAGAUCAAUGGAAGUGAAAUCCUGCCCGUGUUUAUCUUUUAUCACUUCUUGUCCAUGAUUUUCAGUUCCCAAAAAAGUUGUGGAACUAACCUUCAUACAACACAAGAAAUCAAAGCCUCAUAGAAUUGAGGGAAUUUCGCAUCGACUGACAACCAAAAACUUUGUGGAAAUUAGAGUAUUCCACCAAAACCCCAAAAAAAUAAUAAUAAUAAGAUCCCCACCAAAACCCCAAGCCGAAAAAACAAAAUCUAAGUCAGGCAAAACUGGUGGCAGCACAUAGAAAAUGUCUUUUUUGCUAUCUUUUAUCCUAGUUACUGUGAGUUAAUAUAUACUUUCACGGGGUCAGAACACAUGAACUUAAUAGCUUCAUGCGGACAAAUAUCCAUAAAUUACAAAGUUUUGGAAGAUAUCAGAGCUAAAUAAGAUUUACUUCAGUCCACUUCCUUACAGCUUUUGCCUUUAAAUCAAACAGACACCUCAUGUAAUAUAUCAACAAUUCUUGAAAUUUAGUACUAACCAUCUACUCUGCAUGUGCCUCUCUAGGGGUGGAGCAACAUAAGAGUUUUCUUCAUGAUUACAUGCAUUGCACAAGCAUGAAAAAGACCACCAUCAUUGUCAUCAAUUAAAGUUCACGAAAUUAAAGGCAAAUGUACGUCAAUUCAUCAGAAAGAUAUAAGGCCAUAGACAAAACUUACCAAACUCAUUGCAUCAGAAUCAAGAAACUCAAAUGCAGAAAGAAUUCCUCCAAGCUUCUUUUUUGCUUCCAACAGAAGUUUCUGGAGCCAAGAAUAGGAUGUACAAAAAAAUAAAUCAAACAUUAUUUUCCCAACUUUAUAUCUAUUCUACAAGUAUCAUUAAAUGGAAGAAAAGUAUAUAGUCAUGAGAACCUCACCACUACAUAUAGUUGGGAAUUUCACACUCGACAUUUUAAGUGUGGAUACUGGUGUUCCAAAUGUGAACGUAGCAAAAGACAAAGGGCUUUUUUCCAAGAAAAAUAGAAAUCAUAACGAAAGGAGUCUCUUAGCCUCUCAUGACGUAUAUUACCUGGCAGCUGGUGUAAUCUUCACAAGCAAGAAAAGCUAUAUUGACAGAUGACAACUUUGGAGGGGUAAGAAUUGAAACCUUUGUAACAAUUCCCAAAGAUCCUUCACUUCCUAAAGACGCAUACAGGUUGUUGAAGAAGGUAAACAUAAAAUUUCAUUGAUAAAGAGACAAAACCAUCAACGACUAAGUAAAAAAUUAUCUCUUUUCACCUAUAAAUAGGUGCUUAAGGUCAUAUCCAGUAUUGUCUUUUCUUAAAGUCCCAAGCAUGUCGAGCACAGUACCAUUUGCCAAAACUGCUUCAAGACCUGAAAGAAAUAUUUUAGAUCAAUGUUUUAGACUAACCACCUUUCUCAAAAGGAAAGUAAAAAUUCUUAAUUAUCUUCAAUAAAGGAAGAUGAUUCAUCUUGAUGCUGCCUAGAAAAAUAAUUUCCCAGUAAUAGUACAGUACCCUGAAACUGCUUUCAAUAAACAGAGGCAUUAUCCAGCCGAGCAACACUGAUCACUAUGCAACAUGAAUAAAUAUGUAAUUGUGAUUACCUGUUCCUACUUACUCACAUGCUAAAUCUAAUUCGUGUAUAAUGUACAAAGUCAAGUGGAAUAUCAGUUCAAAUUUUACUCAGAUGCUACCAGCAAAAUCUACAUUAGACAACUUAGGAAUAACAGGGACCUUUUCAAUUUAAACUUGAACUCCAAAUGAGGCUACUGGCCGCAGAUAUCAGCAUUAUACAUCAAUUACAAUUCAAGACAUCAAAAGCAAAUUCUAUGCAUAAGAGUGGUAUCAGUAUUGAACUGGAAAAGCAUACCCAAUAUCAGUGCAUAAAAAAGUUAAGAACAUGAAAACGAGGAACAAUGCUUACCAAGAACACUGCCAUGUAGUGAACCAUAUCGCAGAAGACGUAGCCCACCAGCAUUAGUUGAUACAUUUCCUCCAAUUUGACAGCUACCUUUGGCUCCUAAAUCUAGGGGCAUAAUAAAUCUGAAAAGGAACCAAAACUUCACUAAUACAGCUAGAUGUGUAAAGAAAUACUCAAUUACAUAUUUCAAGGCAUGAUCAUGAAAUUUGAGGACCAUCGCCAAAAGCUUGAAACAGAAUUAAAAUCAGAAAAAGAUCUGUUAAAUGAAUAACAUAUGAACAAAACUUCUCCACUCCUCAUAAAGCAAAAUUUUGAUCAGGCAAAAAUAGAAUAGAAGAAAUUCUUUCAUGCAUACAAUCUUUGAACACUAAGUACUUGUUCAACAGAGGUGACUGAAGUAAUUUGGUGAGCUGGUGAAUACACCAGGAACCCUAAGGUAGCAACAUUACUAUAGCAGAACCAUUUUACAACCACCAAAAAAAAAAUUCCACAGAAUUAUCACAUCUACUCAGGACUACAAGUGAAAAUGGCAUAAUAGGACAUCACAGUCAUCAUCAACUAACCAUCUGUUAUAUUGAGUAUUCUAUGUUCUUUGCAGUCUCAGAGAAGAAUUAUGACAAAGUAGUGAAUUUUUACCCUUCAUCAUCUAGGAAAGAAAUCAAGUUUUCCAAUAUGCAUCCUGCUUCACAAACCAGGACACCGCUGACCUGGAAAAGACAACAAAAGGAAAGACAAUGGAACUCAUCUCAGCAAUUUGAGUUUACAACUGACAUGAUAAUUUCUAAUUUUUAAUUUCUAACCCAAGUUUGAAGUGGAAGGAAAUGAAAAUUAGCAAAGCCACACUAACACUCUAAAGAAUGAAAACUCUGAUAAAGAAAAGACAGUCUAUUCCAUUUCUACAACAUCCUUUCAAAAUCAAAAUGCACAAUGUGUAUGUUAAUAACAAAAGCCAGGCAAAAUGCCUCAGUUGAAUAUCUGGCAUGAAAGCAGAAAUUUGAAAUAUAGAUCAGUGAACUUACUAUUACCUUGUCAAAAGAAAGGAUGUUCCUCAUUAAACCAACAUUGAUGAUCACCUAUGAAGUUUCAACAUGAGACAAGUAAGCCAGGUGCCUGAGAAUUUGAAGGUUUGGGAAAUGCAACAUGUGGAAGCCACUAGAUUUUCCAAAAGCAGUUAAUGUAUUCCUGAAUGCAUUUUUAGAUAGGUGUCGCUAGACCAUUAGUUCAAAGUUGGUUUGACCACAAAUGAAUCCUUUUAGGACCCCAAAACUUGUCAAGACUGAACUAUGAUUAGAUUGGCUGUGAUAAUAUCUGAUAGAUCAAAACAUUAUCAGGAUACUAGUUUCUUCAUUCUACUAUGAAUUCAAAAUUAAAUGACUCAACACUCAACAAAGAACAACCUUACUCCAAGUAAUCCCCUGAUCAUUUAGUGAUCAAACUUUUCAAAUAGUAUUAAUUUUGUAAUUUAACAAGUCUACAGCGCUUAAACUGCCAGCAGAAAUCUACAUGUCACCACAAAAUCGAUGCUUACAUCCGACACCUUGUAUUCCAAUUAAAGUCUCUCCUCCUUGAAGCAAUAAUAAGAUGUAGAAGUAAAUCAAUACCCUUUUCAUCAACAAUAUACAUUCUCCAAGCACAACACAAAUUAUGUUCCAAUUAACUGCAUUAAGAACAUAUUUACUACAGAAUUCAUCUUAGAUAAACUGAAAGAUUCAACGCACUAUAAAUUAAUGAGUUAUGAUAUAUACCUCAUCAAAAACAGGUACACUUCCACCCACAAGACCUGUGUUUCCACCUUGGGGAACAACAGCCAAGCACCUGGAAUUACAGUAUUUAAGAAUCUGUGAAACCUGCAUAAACCAUGUGGGCACAACAGAUGAUUACGCUUGACUUCUUUGGGUAAAAAAAAAAACCCAAUGUCUUAAAUAAACAAUAAAAAAAAGUUAUGUACUUCUUCAGUGUUCUUAGGCUGAAGCAGCAGCUUGCUCGAGCCUCUGUACUUGCCCAUCCAAUCAGUAUUUGCAGCAUCCAGUGCCAAUGCAUCCUGAACAACACCUCUCUCCCCUAAUAGGGUCUUGAAAUAGCUGAUAUCAUCAGGGCUAAUGAUAGAAAACAAGGGAUUUCUGUGCACUGUUGUGGCCACGGAAUAAAAAUAUUUCCCCUGUUUGCUUUUACAGCUAUUGUUCCAAUUAACCGCUGUCGUUAGCAUACAAAUAAAACACCAAUUAUAAACUUAAUAAGACAAUCUGCAUUUGUUUUGUCUACAACAUAGGCAGGGCGUAGAAAUUGAUAAUCUAUUGAUCUCCAGAUAAGCUACGACUUAUUAGCAAGAAAAAAGUCUUUAAAUUUAUAUACCCCUCAAAGCAGUAUAAUUUCUUUUGUCAUAAAUUUUCCUAAUCUGAAUUACUGAAAUUCAAUAACAAGACAACCAACUUGCUCCAUCUUUGCUAUUCAUUGCUACAGUAGAAAUAAAGACUACAUAGGAGUACUUACCAAUAAAAUGGGAUAGGGAAAAAACAGCAUUCUGAUACUAGCGGGUGUGUGUGAUCAUAGUUGAUAAUUGUGCACGUAAGUUUGGUACCUGAAGCGAACCUGCUAGAGAAUUUGAGCAGACGGUCAGCAGCUCUCCAUUUCUCCAUCUCGUAGAGAAUUUGAUGACUAUUGAGGGGCGAGCUAUUUCAUGAUAGUGUCAGAUUACUGGGCUAUUAAGGGAGUUUUAGGACCAGUUUGGGCAAAGAAAUAUAGAAGAGACAAGUAUUUGGAUAAAUUGGAGGCUAACUUUUUUUUUUUUUUUUUUUUUUUUUUUUUUUUGGGUAGGAGAGGCUGACUUUGUUGAAAGCUUCAGACUCGUUGCCAUGCCCACUUCUAUCCUGUCCUUUCUCUUGUGGUGCAUGCGUCUUGUUCUCAACUAUUUCUAAUUGUGUAAAAAUUAAUUUUAAAAACUUAAAAUAAAAAAAUAAAAACUUGUUUCUGAUUUUCAGCUUUUUAUGUCCAAAAAAUUCAAAAUCAAUAUAAAAUAUAAUAAAAUAAUUUUUAAAAAUCAAAUCUUAAAAGUCAUUUUGUGAUUAAAGUCCAUACUUCGACAAUGUGCAGGUGCACUCAGUGCUGGUAAAAAUAAAUUGCAUGUUUCAUUCUCUUUUUACUUAUUCCAAUAUGUCUUAUUACCAUUUUAUUUGAAACUCCAAAAAAUACAAAAGAGACAAUCACCCUUUGGUCAUAUGUCUGGCUUUUAUUUUUAACUAAUUCCAUCCAAAUUAGGUAAUGGGAAAAAAUUUAAAGUUCAAUUUAGGAGAGAAAAUGAAAAGAAAUCAACAUUUUCACAUUGUCUUGUUUGUCGAAAAUUUGGAAAAAAAAAAAUUUUGAUCAUGAAUGAAUAGACAAUGUGCAUCUAAGGUACUUAACUUCCAAUUUUUUUUUUGGGGAGGAGGGGUGUAAAUAGAUUGGGUGAUACAGGAGAAAGCCGUCUAAAUAAGAGAUCAUGACCUCAAGAGCUUCCACUUAAAAAAGAAAAAGAAAAAGUCUUCCAAUUUGAAUUAUUUAAUUGUUCAUUUUAUUGGUAAACUAGGCAACUUAAAUAUGUUGACAAAUAGUCUCACUUUUUUAUCUAUAACUUUUCCCACUUAUUAGAAGGAAAUGAAAGAAAGAAAAAUCACUUCAUUAAUUUUUCAAGAAACAAUUUCAAUUGUUCUGCAUUCUCUUUUUUUUUCCAAAAAAAAAAAAAAGAAACUCCCAAGUUUCAAUUAUCCAUCCAAACAAGCUUAAGGUGUUAAACAAAACUGAAGUAAUGGGUCGGACAGGCACUGCCCGCUUGCUAUUCGGAUCCUUUCAUUUUCCGAGCCCUAUCCAUCUCUCUCCUUCAGACUUCCCAAAGCCAAGUAGUCUAUCAAAGCUAAAUGGCGACUGCCACUGCUGCCGCUGCUGCUUCCAUAUCUUCUUCAGUGUCGUCUGUCUUAAACCAACCCCACCACCACCCUUCUCUAAUCAUCCGGCUUCCUCGGAGAUGCUCCGCCGCCUUCUCUCGCCGACUCCUUGGGUCCCCAAAUCCCCUGAAAACCUCAUCAUCUCUCUCCCGUUCUUCCUACCAUGUCCUCUCCCGCUCGCCAUUAUUAAAAGCGCGGCGAUGUUUAAACUUCUCUUUAGGAUUCGUUCGGAACUCAGCAUCGCACAUUCCGCUUUCCCAAAAGCAAGAUAUCCCGAGUCUCCACCAUUUCAUGCCAAAAGCUACUCCCGUUCCUUCUGUUUCUGAACCCCAAUUCGAGUAAGUUGGGGAUUCCAUCGAUUUCAUUUUUAUGCGUGGUUUUAUGUUUGUAUUAAUUAUGGGUUCUGUCCGCUGGAAGUAUUUGUCUUGGAUAAUCUGAGAAAUCUGAGAAAGAUUUAAUCUCGAAGAAUUGCCUGGUUGUUAUUCAACUUGAAGCUUGUACGUUAGUAAUGAGCUCAACUGUUAGUUACUGCUACAAAAAUGAAUAAGCCUUAUCGGUUUAUUUGGCUAGUAAUCAAGCUAAAAGAGAAACCACUGAAUGCAAUUUUCGAUUUUGCAUCAGUAUUUGACGUCAUAAUUGGAUAUGUUGGGAUUAUAUUGUUUGAGCAUAUUCAUUUUUAGUAUCUCAUUUAGUUAUUAUUGUAUGCUCAACAAUGCCAUUAUUUAACCUUUGCCUUCUUGACGCUUUCCGGUUUUGAUGUUGAAUAGUUGUAUUUGCUCUUCAUAGUGUUUAGUGUUGACUGAUCAUACAGAUGGGUAACUUCUGAAACUAAAGCCGUUAUAUGCACAGAGUUGUUGUCUUGUCAACAGUGCAGUGUCUAAUUACCAGCGACUUCAUAUACUUCUAGUUUUCUUAAACAUAAAGUGCUCUUAAGUCCAAUUAGAAAUAUCUCAUUGUUAUUUCUUUUCUUGUUUGUUUUUGUCCUAGCUUGAUAGCACCUACUGAAGUUCUUCCAAGAGGUCGUAUUUAUCAAGAAACAUAUGGAUGUCAGAUGAAUGUCAAUGAUAUGGAGAUAGUAUUAUCUAUCAUGAAGAAAGCUGGGUAUAGUGAAGUGGUGGAUGUUCCUGAGAGUGCAGAGAUAAUAUUUGUCAACACAUGUGCUAUUAGGGACAAUGCAGAGCAAAAGGUAUGGCAGAGGCUCAAUUACUUUUGGUUUCUUAAGAGGCAUUGGAAGAGCAAUGUUGCCAUUGGACGGUCACAGUCCCUGCAUCCUCCGAAAGUUGUUGUUCUCGGCUGUAUGGCUGAGAGGUUGAAGGAGAAGAUAUUAGAUGCAGAUAAGAUGGUUGAUGUUGUUUGUGGACCUGAUGCUUAUAGAGACCUGCCACGCCUAUUAGAAGAGGUAGACUCUGGUCAAAAAGGGAUUAACACUCUACUUUCACUUGAAGAAACUUAUGCUGAUAUCAAUCCUGUUCGUAUCUCUAAAAAUUCAAUCAGUGCUUUUGUCUCAAUUAUGAGAGGUUGCAAUAAUAUGUGCUCCUUUUGCAUUGUGCCUUUCACCAGAGGCAGAGAGAGAUCUAGGCCAGUGGAAUCCAUUGUUAGAGAGGUGGGAGAGCUUUGGAAAGAAGGUGUUAAAGAGGUGACGCUUCUUGGUCAGAAUGUUAACAGUUACAAUGACACAUCCGGGCUUGAAAAAGAAAUUGAACCAGGAGUAAACUGGAAACUUAGUGAAGGUUUUUCCAGCAUGUGUAAGGUUAAAAAGAUGGGUUUACGCUUUGCAGAUCUCUUGGAUAGACUUGCUGUGGAAUUUCCGGAGAUGCGGUUUAGAUUCACUUCACCACACCCUAAAGAUUUUCCUGAUGAGUUGUUGUAUGUAAUGCGAGACAGACACAAUAUCUGCAAAAGCAUCCAUUUGCCUGCACAAUCAGGGAACAGUAACAUGCUGAAAAAGAUGCGACGUGGCUAUACACGAGAAGCAUAUUUAGAACUUGUGAGUAAGAUACGGAGUAUAAUUCCUGAUAUGGGGAUCAGCAGUGAUUUUAUUUGUGGUGAGAGUCUUAUUCACAUUGGUUUUACUCAUCAUAUUCUUAGUUUUCAUUAAUUAUUUUAUCUUCUCUUCUUUGAUUUUCUUCAUUUUAUUGCAUUUUUCUGGUUCUUUUACACCUCAUGGCUUGUCAUCAAGUUCCUUGACUCUCCCUGAUUAUCAAAUGGUACCACUGUCAAUCAUGAAUCUCUGGGGUUUAAGUUUCAUAUGGAUCCUGUAAUUGCCAAGCACUCCCAUGUUUUGGCAGUAGUUGACCAAAUCUUCUUGAGCUUUUAAUUUUAAUUGGUUGGACUAUUUUGGGGAUAGGAUUGCUUAUGAAUCAUUUCUUGUCUGAAUAAUUUGGUGCCUUGAUGCAGGUUUUUGUGGUGAAACAGAGGAGGAGCACCAAGACACACUUACCCUGAUGAAGGCUGUCAGUUAUGAUAUGGCAUACAUGUUUGCAUACAGUAUGAGAGAGAAAACCCAUGCCCACAGGAAUUACAUGGAUGAUGUUCUUGAAGAUGUAAAGCAGAGACGGCUAACAGAGCUUAUUGAAGCUUUCCGGGAGAGUACAGGUCAGUGCUUUGACUCCCAACUUGGCAGUGUCCAACUUGUGUUAGUUGAAGGGCCCAAUAAGAGGGCCCCUGACACAGAGCUUAUAGGCAAGAGCGAUAGAGGCCACAGGGUAUCUUUCAGAAACUUGCCUGUCCCUGAUAGGGUUGAGAAUGAUGGUAAAAGGAAUCCAAGAGUUGGUGAUUUUGUGGAAGUUCAUAUUUCAAAAACCUCAAGAGCGUCACUCUUUGGAGAAGCACUUGCGAUUACUAAACUGAGCUCAUUUUAUGACAAUCUACAUGAACAUGCUUUUGCCUGUGCUAGCAGAAUUUGAUCUAUUCUUUUAAGGAGCCCCUGGUACAACUUUUUCCUCACUAAAUUAAUCUACUCAAAGGUCGUUUUGCUGUAAUUACGGGUUUAAGUUUCAUUCACCCCUUUGAAUUAUUGCUUGGUCUCAAAAUUAAGUGCUUGUUCGGCAGACCUAUAUUACACAGUUUAUAUUUCUGGAGGAAAUUCCAUACCAAGCAACAGUUCUGGGGCUGAAGGGAGUAAAUUGAAUUUGCCCUUGAUUACAUCCUGGAAGCACAGGAAGCACAGGUGAUUUCUAUUGGUCUGGUUCCUUGGGAUGGGCUCUGGACCUCCGUUAAAAGGGUAGGAUAUUUCUCUUGGUUUUGCGUGAUGCUUGUAGUGAAAGAUAGGCUUUUGUGUAGUUUCCCACUUUUCACUCAAACCAGGCGAAAAUGCCAAGAUCACAGAAUCAAAUGCAGGAGAGCAAAAUACUUGGUAGCACUCUUUCUCAGAGUUAUUAGAGAGUAUCCAAGACACUCAGCAGUGCCAGUGAAAUGGAGCUUCUCUGAAGCAUGAAUCUGGGAGGUUAAACAUUCUCCAGUUCAGGUGGAUCAGUGUCAGCAAGAAAAUGGGUUUUGUACGCCAGGUUCAUUUAAUUUUACGUGAGAUUAUAGUUCUUAACUCCCAGAAUCCAUUGUCAUUGAGUUUUGGUGUACGACUAGAUUAGGACAAACAAAAUACACAUAUGAGGAGUUUGGCAUGAAAGCCCCACCGGGGGGGAUUCUGAUGCAAGUGAAAGGGAUGAAUUAUACGGAAAGCUUUAGCUCGAACCCUGUACACCUUUUCUAUCCUAGAGGCUCCGCAUGUUUCCUGGUGUAAGUUCAUUGCUGAAAGCUAAAUGUAAGUCAACUAUAAUUAUAUACAUAAAAUAUAUAUAAUAAUAUGUAUAAUUUAUAAUUAUACCUAUUAUAACAUAAAUUAAUAAUAAUUUAUAUAUCGAUUUGUGGUAAUUCAUAAUCAUUAAAUAAAUAUUAUAUUUAAUUAUGAAUUCGUUUUGAGUUCAAUUUAAGUCCAAAGUUCAUAUAAAAAUGUGAAUCAAGUUUGAGCCUCCUAAUUUGAGCCUAAACUCGAAGGUCCAAAAGCCUGAAAGUUCUACUGAAUCACGUUUGUGAACCAAGUUUGAGCUUGUCAAAACUGGCUCAUAGAGCCUAACCGACAGCCCUGCAGCUAAUUGUUUUCCUUGACAGCAACCGCAUUCAGACGUUGCAUGACCAAGUGAUGAAAUUUUAGGCUCAAUGCAUUAUUACGCUAUGCUAAAGACUCUGAAAUACGGUAACACUUCAUUGGAAAAGUUUAUUAUUAUUAGAGAGCUUUCAAAAGAAUUACUGGUGUAGUGGAGGAAAAGUUUCCCAAGAAAUACUUAAUUGAAUGCAAGGCAAUUAGCUGUGUUUGGUUUUGCUUUUAGGCUUUUAGCUAAUGUCAGGGGGUGCUGAGAACUGAGAAUGAGUGUGUGUGUGAAUUUGUCGGGUUCUUGAGGAGAAUGAGAAGAGAGAGUGACCAAAAAGAGCAGAGUGAAAAUUGAAGAGUGAUAAGGACAAGUCGAAGUAGACGAGACUUGUGAGGAAGCAAAGCAAAGCCAUGGGGAGCGUCUUGAAAAAUGAAGAUGCAGCAGGAGCAGAAAAUGGAGAGUUGAGUUCACCAGUCCCGCAUUCACAUUAAUGUACACAGCAGUCAGUGUCGGCCGGGCGAGUCUGAGCGAGCAAGAUGUUCUAAGUAGUAGUAUUAUGGUACCGACUAUGCAAAAACUAAAAAGCGCAUACAUUCAUUCGUUACGUAGGUUACAAUACAAUACCCCGUCCCGUGCGUCGGCGUCCUCAUUAAUGAAUUCCCCGCCAUUCUCUUCUUCUUAAUGCUCCCGCCCUUCUCCGACGGAUCCACAGAAAUGACAGUGAUGAUGGAUCACUCAGUUCACUGUUCCUUCGUUUUGUUACUUUCACUUCAUUCCAGCCCUCAAAAAAUGUGUGUGUUUGUAGUAUUAUUAUCUGAGAACGCAUCUACAAGCAAAAAUGUUCGCUGCUGCGUCUCUUGCAUAGUUAGCGUCCGAUCUCGAGUCUGGACUGAUUUUUAUUCAAACGCACGCACAAGAUGCAUACCCAUUUAUUGCCUUUAAAUACACAUCUACUACGAGUAAAAAAGUUUGCUGCUGCGUCUCUGGCAUAGUUAGGGUCCGCUAGGCUCUAGGCCUCUAGCUAACAUAGUAUAGUGCAUCUAGGGGUACGGGUGAUAUCGAGUCGAGUCGAGCUCGAGUAGUGCACUACUCGAGCUCGACUCGAGGCAAAAUAACUAGGCUCGAGCUCGAACUCGUCAAGCUUUUAAAAUUCGAGCUCGAGCUCGAGCUCGACAUCAAUUUAUGGAGCUCGAGAUUGAGUUUAAUUAAAUGUAAUUAAUUCAAAUCAAGCUCAAUCAAGCCUAAUCAAGCUCAAGUAAUAAAAAUUAAUAUUUUAUAUAUAAUUUUAAAUAAAGGAUAUUAUUGACAUUUCACAAUAAUAAAAAUAAAAAAUAUAUAUUAUAGAAAGCUCGAUAGAGCUCGUCGAGUUCUCGAGUAUUAUAUUUCCAAACUCAAACUCGACUCGAUAGCUCUAACGAGCAGCUCGAGCUGUUGACCAAGUAGCUCGCGAGCUCCAGCCGAGCUACUUGGUUCAGCUCCAGCCCUAUCUGGGGGUCACUGCAAUGUUAAAUUCUAGGGUUAAUUACAUUUACCUCCCCUGAGGUUUGACCAUAUUACCAAACAAUCCCUAUAAUUUGUCCAAAUAACGGUCUCACCCUUUGAAUGAUCAAACAUUUAAGAAAAACCCCCUUAAUGCCGAAAAUACCCUUAUUGAGGCCAUGUUGCAUUAAAAAAAGAACAUAUUUUUAUUUUAUUAACCUUGAAGCAAUCCAAAAAAACAGAAAAAAAUUUUGCUUAUUAUUUUAUAAAAACCAUAUCUUUGCUUCCAUAAAUAGUUUUGAAUCAAUAAUUAUUUUAAAUCUUAAAAAUGAAUAUUAAAAAUUAGAUAAAUUGAAAGAAAAAUUAAAAAAAGAAGAAAUUAUUUUAAUUGCUGAAGUAUGGUUCAAAUUGAGGAAAACAUGCCCUGUACUCUCCGCAACAUGCCUUGAACCACAAAUUCGAACCAUACUUGAGGAUUUAAAAUAAUUGCUCUUUUUUAUUUUUUUUUCAAUUUAUCUAAUUUUUAAUAUUCAUUUUUAAGAUUUAAAAUAAUUAUUGAUUCAAAACUAUUUAUGGAAGCAAAGAUAUGGUUUUUAUAAAAUAAUAAGCAAAAACUUUUUUCUAUUUUUUUGAAUAAAAUAAAAUAUGUUCUUUUUUUAAUGCAAUAUAGCCUCAAUAAGGGCAUUUUUGGCAUUAAGGGGGUUUUUGUUAAAUGUUUGAUCAUUCAAAGGGUGAGACCGUUAUUUGGACAAAUUACAGGGAUUGAUUGGUAAUAUGGUCAAAUCUCAGGGGAAGUAAAUAUAAUUAACCCUAAAUUCUACUUAAAAAUUUUCGGAAGCUUGGAUUUUUAAGAGUUACUAUUUCAGUUUCUCCAGUAUCAUACAUAGUAUUCUAAACCAGCCUUAGGUCAUUAGAAAUCCAUUUUCACUUCCAACUUCAUGCUUAAUUUGUUUCCUAAGCAACUUUCCUGUUCGCCCUGCCAGAUCUCUACUUUUUUUCCCCUUAUGAUGCUAAAUCUCUACUUAAUUUAUAUAUAUGUCUUGUGCUUUUGCAAUUCCUCAUGAUUAUGAAUAGUGGACUGAAAGAUAAGGUGAUUAAUUGAGCCUGCGCAAUCUGUUUUAUGUUGAAUUAGCUAAAAGUUAAACUAGUGUUGCUUAGAUUAGAAAAACAGGACUAAGUGCUAUAAUACUCCCUAGUCAAUUCCAAUUAGUUUCUUCAAAUCUCAUUUUAAUUCUCAACACGUCAAAUCACACACGCACACACACACGUACACAGAAUAUAAAUGGUCUAUCCAAGGGGUACCCAUGCCCUCGUUAAAAUGUAUUUCAUCUGUCAUAUUUUUUAAAAUGUAAGAUUAAUUAACGAAAGUAAAUAAAUACAAUGAAAAGAAAGUAUAUAAAUGCAAUGAAGAGUAAUAAUUAUUAAUAUAUGUAUAUACAUAGUACGUUAAGUGAAUUUUAUACGUGUGCUAAUGGACACACAUUAGAAAAAUCCUAAUACAAAAUGAUCUUCAGUUCUGAUUUUGGUAGGUUGUUAAAUUGGCUAUUUCGACAUUCUAUCAAGUGGACAUUUUUUUUUCAUGCCAUGUGGCAAAUUAAAUUGCAAGAAAAAGUGUGUCCAUUUAUAUCUCCGUGGAUUUUAUUUUUCUUUUUGUGGUAACAAUUAAUUAUACACCUUAUUAGAGUUCCUUAUUUAUAGUCAAUUUCACCCAAUCUAUUAAUGACCUACCUUAUAUAAGUUUGUAUUAAUUAUAUCUUUUUAUUUUUUUUGGUCAAUCAACUCAUAUCUUUCUUUUUAAUCUCCUCAAUUACUUUUUCUAUUCUUGUUAUUGGCUUGAUUACUUAUUGCCAUUACUAAAAUUUGAACAAAAUAUACUAUAUUAAUGCUCACGUAGAUAGUAUUUCUCUUGAUGGGUUACUAAGUAGGCUAUACUGAAAAAAAUUUGCCUAUUCCGGUUUUUUGCCAAGUGUAAAUUCUAUCUUUUCGCCAUGUGGAAAAACAUUAUGUAUGCUUAUGUUUCUUGGUGUAUUUUAUUCUUUCUUGGUUAACAAUUAAUUAUAGUCCUUUAUUACUUUUUAUUUAUAGUAAAAUUUAAACAAUCAAAUAAUUGCCUACUUUAUAUAAAUUUCUAUAAUUUAUGCUUUAUUUUAUGUGUUUUUCUAACUGGUAUCCAAUGAACACUAGUUAACACACCUACAUGUCACCCCAAUCUAUCAUUUUUAUACGCACACUAAUAAUUACUACUUUUUUCUUACAUUUAUAUUCUUUUUCUAAUUAAUCUCCUUGUAUUUAUACACUUUUGGUAGUUAAUUUUAUAUUGCUAGAAAUCUAAUACUUGAAAUACAUCUUAACAAGUACCCAUAGGGCACCCAUUAGACAUACCAUUGUUUUAUUUUUGUUAAUAGCUUUCAUUUUUUAAUUCUCUACAAUCACAUCUGAUAUUUUGCCAAGUGUAAGAUCUAUCUUUUCACCAUGUACAAAAAUAUUGUGUAUGGCUCUUGAUGAAUUUUUAAUUUUCACCAUGUACAAAAAUAUUUUUUAAUUAUAAUUCUUUAUUACUUUCUUAUUUGUAGUAAACUUUAAACUUCAAACAACUGAUUAAUUACCUACUUUAUACACAUUUCUAUAAUUUAAGCUUAAUUUUAUUUUUUGUUAAUAGCUUUCCUUUUAUUAUUCUCUACAAUCGUAUCUGAUUUUUGUCAAGUGUAAGUUCUAUAUUUUCACCAUGGAGAAAAAUAUUGUGUUUGCUUAUGUUUUUUGGUGGAUUUUAAUUUUUUUUGGUAACAAUUAAUUAUAGUCCUUUAUUACUUUCUUAUCAGUUAAUUACCUACUUCAUAUACAUUUCUAUAAUUUAUGCUUUAUUUUAUUUUUUGUUAACAGUUUUGGUUUUUUAACUCUCUACAAUCUCUAUUCCUAUUAUUGAAUUUAUCAUUUAUUAUUAGUAGGAUUAAUCUUUCACGUAUACACUGUCAGCGCACUGUUAGCACCUUGGAUGAAUGACAACUAUGUAAAAUUUAAAUUUGAAAUCCAAUUUUUGCGCACGUGUCAUGAAUUCAAUGGUAAUUGUGUAUACACUGUCAGUAUACAAGAUUUACUCUUAUUAUUAUUACUAAAAUUUAGAUGAUCUUUCAUUUGUAUAUCAAUUUUUUAUUUAUAGUAAAUUAAAAUCUAUUAAUCCCCUACCUUAUAUAUAUUUACAUUCAUUACACUUUUCUUUUUUUAAAAUCAAUCAACAUUGUUUUUUAAAAUUUUCUUCAAUUAUGUUGACUAUAUUUCUAUUGUUUGAUUCGAUUAUUUAUUUUUAAUUCUAAAGUUUUGACAAUUUUUAUUUUUCAAUGGAUUUAUAUACUGCAAUUCUAGCAUAUACUCAUACAAAUCCACUUAAAUUAUAUAAAUAAUCUUUCUUUUUCUAAAUUUUUUCUAUUAAUUUUUAUGCUCUCUUUCCAUUGGAAAUCAAUUCAAGCUAAAAUGGUGUCCAUAUAAACACCGGAUUGUAAAAGUUUUCUCAAUUUACCUUUUUGCUAAUUUUUAAUAAUUUGAUCAAAUGAUAAGUUCAUUAUCUAUUAGUUUGCUUUUUAAAAUUCUUAUUAGUCAUGAAAAAUUCAAAUAUUAACCACACUUAUUUCCUAAUAUAUCUUCUUUACUCACAUAUUGACAUAUCACCAUUAAUUAGAGUAAAUAUAAUUGAAUCAUGGGAUAAGGUUUGACUGAAACUAAUCAUUAAGUUGUUAUGACUUAACUAUUUUUAAUCUAUUUAAUUUGAAAUUUUAUAAAUGAUAUUUUUAGUUAUUUUAUAUCAAAUUUUAUUUAAAAAAUGAAAACUUUAGAGCAUUAAAAUUGCUCGUGUAAAUCCACAGGUACAUAACUAAUGAAGCAUUAUAUUUCGCAACAUUGUAAUAUAUUACCACUGCCAUUCUUAGCUUCAUAGUCAAGAGACUCUAUGCAAGUACCCAAAGUUUGUGUCUCUGCCAAUUCAAGACUAAAGAAGACAAAUUUAUUAUGUCUUUUAAUUAUUACUGAAACAAUUACGUCUUAGUUAGGCAAAUGUAUAUUUUCUUUGUGAAGCACGUGCCGCAAAAUCUCAAUCCUUGAAUUAAACUGAAUGUAAAUAGUUUUUUAAAAUAAAUAGAUGUAGGAAUAGCAACGGGAGCGAACAUGUGAGAAUCCUCAUUUUUAAAAUACAAUUUCCCCAAACUACAUGCCUUGCACCAAGAUUUAAACCACCUCUGAUAUGCCCUAGUAUUAUAUUUCACAAUGUGUUACAACAAAUCCCUUGUAUUGACCCUCACUUUAAAACACAAUUUUCUUUUUACAUGCCUUAUUAUAAGAUCUAGACCAUUUAAUAUAUGCCCUUACAAAUUAUUUUCUAUGUGUUAUAAUAAUUUCCAUGCAUUUCAUUUCAAUUCAUUUUACUUGAAGUAAAAUAUAUUCUUGAGCUAGGUUGUAAAUAAAUCACCACUUGUAAUUGUCCAAGUGUUCUUUUAUUAGUGGUAGAGACUUAAUGUGAGAGAUUAGAGGUGUUGAAUAAUUAUUGGUGCAUUUGGAAAGGUAAGAAUGGCAUUAGUCAAUGAUUAAGAAAAGUUAGGACAAUAAUGGAGCCAUGUGGCAAAACCCUAGCCAUGUAUCUUGUUUGACCAAAGGAUUAGAGGAAUUUUAAACCAACUUUGCUUCAUUUUCCUCCAAAAUUUCGUCCACCUUAAGGGCUUCCAAGGGAAGGAAGAAAACUCCAUCUUCUUGCUAUGACAACCUUAGUUUGAUCUUGAACAAAAACCAAAAGAGAAAGAUCUAGAGUUUGUAAGAAAAUUUCCUUCAAUCUUUGAGGUUGUUUCAAGCCUAAAGCUUCUAUUGUGGUGGUUUGUUUGGUGACCAAAGCAACUUGUAAGUAAGGUAUGUAAUCUUUACAAAUUGGGUUUAUGAUGUUAUAUCAUCUACUUGAGGAUGAAAUGGUGAAAAACAACUUGUUAUGGUUGAAUUUGGGGUUAGUUUCUUGAGUUAAUCAAGUAAUGGUUAGGUUUACUAACCAGCAUACCAAGUGUUUGAUGAAAUGUCUAAUCCUUAUUCAUGUGUGUUUAUGAAGUAUUGAUAUGUUUUAAACCCCUAUUUAGUUGGAUCUAAUACUUGUUAUGUGCAAGGAAUGAAAAUAACAAGAAGAGUAGAAGUUAGAAAUUUUUAAAGUGUGCUGAUCGAAACUUUUUAAGCUUGCUGUCCGGUUUUUCCUUGAUAUUUUCAUGCAUAUUUUGGCUACAAAUGUGAGUGUUAUAUGUUGGGUUAUGUGUGUGGAGGUUUUCUACAAAAAAAAUUAGGCAAUUUGGUUGAAUAAAUUUUGAGUUAUAAACAAAGGAGGAAAACUGGACUAGGUCCAGAAAUUUUCUGUGCAGCAAUCUUGUUAAGGUCAUAAUGUGUUACUCACUGAUCGGAAUUGAGUGCCAUUUGUGGCAAUUGAAAGUAGAUCUUAGAGCUUUAAAACGGUACAAAGCUCAUUUUCUGGUUCAUCCCGAGCAAUCCGUGGCGAGUCUGGAAAGUUGGCUGUCCGGGCGGUACUGUUCAUCCGAGACAGUCCAGAAAGUUCAUUUGGUUUCUUAAUUUUAAGCCACUUAUGUUGGGAUUUUGGAAAUGGUUUCUUCUAGACAAAUUUAGCCUUAUGAACUUAGUUUCCAAUGCAACUGACGGAACCUAAUUCCAACUUUCCCACAAUGAGAAAUGACCAUUUUCCCGAGGCUGGCCGGGCGAGAUAGUUUAACCCGUAAUGAAGUCUUUGAGCUUUAGUGAAACUUUUCUCUUGCCAAACUUUCAUGUACAUACUAGACUUUUUUUCCAUGAACUUUCACCGUGGUUUAGACCCUAUUUGCAUGCUGGAUUAAGUAACUUAAGCUACUCACUUGGCCUCUUAAUGAAUCUAUACUUUAGUAGGGAACGAAUCCAAUUAUUAAUGUUUUCACUCGUUGACUUAGGUUUGGGCAACGACGGUGAUUGUAACUGAGACGUUUGACGUCGAUUAUUACUUUUGCUUGACAGGUGAGUGUUCCACUACCUGUUACUUGUUAUGUGAAAUAUUUGUGUGCUUGAAAUUACUGAAUUGAUAUUGUUUGAGCCAAAUACUGUUUUAAUAAAAUUGAGGCGAGUGUGUACUUUAUCAUACUCGACCUCCCUUGUUUGUUUACUGAGGCUCUAUUUAUCGAAUGAAUUACCAUGGAAUGAAGUAAUGCUAUAUGUGACUGUGCUUAAGUUGCGUGGAGGACAUUCCACCGACUACUGUUACUAUUUGGGUACCCAAUCUCACAGGUGAGUCGGUCGUAUCGAGCCAGCAAGGGUUUGGUCGAGAAAACAGAUAAACCUUGAGAACUGUUUACUGUUCACUGAAACCGGUAUACUCGAAUAUUACCAAACUACUGUUUAUGAAGUGCGGGCUCGGUGGGGGGUUGUUUGGUGGAUGGAGACUGGUGAAAGUGGGGUUCUACGGAUCUAUAUACUGUUACAAGUGUUGACGGAGUGUUAACAGAAGACAAUUAUGAUCAAGCUCAAGUGGACCUUUGGCUCUUAAAAGCCACCCGUAUCGUUGAAUUGAACUGUGAUUAAACUGUUAUUUUACUGUACGGUGUUUAGUUGGUUAUUUUGUGAUUUUAUGUGGCUAUGUGUUUACUUGUUUACCUAGAACCUCACUGGGCUUUAACUCACCCCCUUCCCUUUGUUUUCCUUAACAGAUCGGGAAGGGAUUUGACCGAGGGCUUUCUUAGCUUUAUUUUGCCGUUCUUGCGUUUUGAGAUUGUAAUUUUCGUUUAAGCAGACUUGUAAGCUUAAAUUCUUAAGGGUGAUUUAUAUUAUGUAAUUUUGAGUGAAGCGUGGUAAGUUGGCAUGCGAUAAUAGAUGUACUAAGUUGAAUUGUUGGAUUAGUGAUUAUGUUUGAGUUAGUGUUUCAAUCCCUUGCAUUGUCAAAUAUUACAUUCAUUUCAUUGAUGAUAUUAAUACUUUGAACGAUUGAGUCCUGGCGAGAGUUGGACAGGCAGUCCGUUGAUACCCUAUGGUUUGCCCUAGGGAGAUAUGGGGCUGUCACAGAACACCCACUUUGUGAAAGGAGUAUGAGUUGGAGUGGGGAGGAGGAUUUUUCUCCCCCAUCUUAAAUGAGGUGGGGUGUGAGAGAGCAUAACCUUGCCCCAUCUUCCCCUCCGUCCCUUGUAUUAAUUAAAUAAAUAUAAUAAGAUUAUUAAUACAUCUAUUUUUUCCAUAUUAUUUUGGGUUAAAUUAUUAGUACUAGUCAUAGUUAUAAAAUUCGGCCCGACCCGGCGGUCGAACCGGUCAUUAGACCGGGCCGAAUUUGGAAUCAAAUCGUUUGUGCAAAGAGACCGUUGACUUAGUCAAUGACCCGGCGAUCGAACCGGAUUAAACCGGAAACCCUGUCGGUUUUGGCCGGGUUUGUCACUAACCGGAUUUUGUGGAAAAAUUAAUUACUGUUGUUGGAACUCGAACUUCGGACCUCUGCCCCAACACUACCGCCUGCUUACCACCAAACUACUUCCAAAUAUGUUGACAUAAUAGCUUUAUUAUGAUAUAUAAAUGUUUUUUCAAUUCUAUCUUUUUUUCUCUAAAACAAAUUUAUUUGGAAUCUUUUAAUAAAAAUUUAUUACCCUCCAAACUCUAUAAGUUAUAAAAUGGAUUUCAAAAAUAACAUAUUACAUAAUUCAUUUAAAGACAAAUAUUAUUUUUAAUAAUUUUUUACACUUAAAAUUCAUAAAUAAGCUAGAUAAUUACACUAAAUAUAGAUAAAAUUUUACACUUGAAAUUUGGUAUAUUAAUAAAUAACUGUAUAUUUGAUUGAUUCUUAUAUGAAUUAAUUAUUUUAUAACAAAUUAAAUUAAAUGAGCUUUUGUUAUGGCAUUAUUUAUUACAAUUUAUAUCAUAUAUCUUAUAUAAAUAAUUAUGAAAUAUAAUAUUUAAAUAUAUGUAGUGACCCACCGAUUCAACCACUCACCCUCGGUUAAAUCAGUAACCUGUUGACCCACCUCUUUCGCCGGGUUCCUUCCCGGAUUGGGUUUAAUAACUAUGGUACUGGUAGAUUCUUUUUUUUUCCCUAAUAAUAGUACUAUUUAUUAGUAUUAGUGAUUGUAAUAUUAGUGAAACCAAAUCAUGUUUAUGCAAUAACAUUUGUUUGAAAUGACUACUUUUUGUGAUGUCCUUGAAUCAGUGCAAAAUGCUGUUGCAUGUCUGGGAAAGUUGUCUCGAAUCGAGACAAACUGUGAGCUUGUUAUGAAGCUUGGACCGCCUCAUUAGUGUUUGGCUCGUGCAUAAAUACGUGUACUAAUGAUACUUGUAUUAGUUUGUGAGUUUGAUGUAACUAGGGCCUAAUAGCUCCAUUUUAUGCACUUAUUUCUUAUCAAUAUAGUGUUCAUUUGUGGCACUCGUGGGGAAAUGGGAUAGGGCGAGGAUGGGAGAUAAAGCAAGAGCGGGAGAUAUAUAUCAUAUAUGACAAUGGAGCGGGAAGGUAGGGAAAGGCUCUCCUGCCUCAAAUCCGCAUUGUUGCCAUUCUUAAAUGUACUCGCGGGGAAAUGGGACAGGACAGAGACUAGAGAUGGAAUAGGGGCAAAGGACCUAUAUGACAACAAGGUAGGAGGUAGGGAAAGCUUUCCCGCCCCAAAUCCAAAUCCGGUUCGCUGCAUCUUUAAAGGGUUAUUAUUACUUUACCCCCUUAACAUUCGGUGUCACUAUCAAUUUCUCCCUUAACAUUAUUAUCAUUUAGUCAUUUUAUCCUCAGAACUAAUGGUUAAACUUAACGGAAUUUAUUAAUUAAAGUAAAAAGACAAGUUUAGCCUUUAAAGUUACUAUCACUUUACCCCCAUAAACUAUAACUUCAUUAUCAAUUUACCCCAUAGAGUUAUUUUUUAGGCAAUUUAUUCCACCAUUAAACCAAUUUAGCAAGUUAAAAAAUUUUAGAAGAAAGUACCCUCAUUUUUAUAUAAUAAAAAUAAUAAAAAAUUUAGAGUGACUCUUCUAUUCUUUAGUAUCAAGAAAAAAGUCAAAAUAUUAAUCUCUUUCUUUUUGGCGAUCUUAUUAAUAUUAAAAAAAAUAGAAAGAUCGGGGGGAAAGGGAGAGGGGAAAGAGAGAUAGAGAGAGAGAACUCAAUUUUUUUUAAAAAAUACAAAUAAGAAAGAAUUAAAUACUUUUAUUAUUUAAAAUUAUUUUACUUUAUUAUUUACCACCAGAUUUCAAUCCUAAUCCCAAUACGAUAAUGUUAGAUUUUUUUUUCUUUGUAAAAUCUAAUUUUCUGUCUCCUUCUUUCCUAUCUCUUUUUCUUCUUCUAGUAUUAAUAAGUAUGUAAAAAUAAAUUUGAGAAAACUCUUUUAUUUUUAUAUUUUUGGAUCUCUUAAAGUGAAAAAAAAAGAAUAAUCAUUCCGACUUUUUUAUUUUUAAUUAUAUAUAUAAGGGUAAAUAUAUUUAAAAUUUUUUUAUCAUACUAGUUAGAUUAAUGGUAAAGUAAAAUGUUUAGAAAAUAAUGUUAGAAAUUAAAUUGAUUAUAUCAUUAUAAUUUAAAGGAAUAAAGUAGUAAUAAUAAUGUAGUAAUGCUAUAGAAUAAAAAAGUAUUUUUAUUCAAAAUUUCUUAAUAUGUCGAGUUGAAUUACUUAUAGAGGUGAAAUGAUUAAAAAAUAACGUUAAGAAGUAAAUUGAUAGUAGCGAUAUGAUUGAGCGGGAUAAAGUGAUAAUAACCCUAUCUUUAAAUAGAUGUAUAGGAAAGUGGCCUUGCUCUUACACAUUCAAACCUACAAGUUGUAAGCUUUUGACUAUGUGCUUUUUUCCUAAAUUAUAGACACUUUAGCGGAAAUUCAGACACGAUUAGGUGUCAAAAUUUGACUUUGUGUACCGAUUGCAAUGAUUAUUUUUUCCAUCCCGAGAUGAUGGUAGUAAGUAAUAGUAACACAAAUUUGCAAAUGCCCCAUAAAACACACAGACUAGUGUCUAUUGAUUUGACACACACACACAUAAAAAAAAAAGCAAAAAAGAAAAUACUAGUAUCUUUUUUGAAAGAAAAGAGAAAAAAAAAUUAGUGUCUAUUGUGAAAAGCGUGAUGCGAUUCAAAUCACAAAAGCUUUCACUUGGAUUUUGCAACUGAUUCACGAAAGAAAAGGUUAGGCCGCAGAUAAAUAAUUACUAUAAUAUUUUUUAUAAUUUAAUAUAUAUAUAUAAUAAAAAUAUAAUUUAAAAUAUAAAAAAUAAAUUAAAAAAUAUAUUUAUGACACUGGAAAAUAUUAUGUCAGAAGAAAGCAAUCCAAACACAUCCAUAGUUUCUUUCGAAGGGGUAGAGACAAAAAAAAAGGAUAAGUUGUCAUACCCCCAUUGCUCAAUCAGAAUGGCCUUCUUCAUUUAUGGAAAAGUAAUCCCAUAAGAUCUUCGCACAUACAACUAAAGAUUCACUAUUUACUCCUCUCAUUUAAUUUCCUGAAGACAGACACGCAGGCGCACCCUGCGCCCCCCUCUCUCUCUCUCUCUCCCCCCCCCCCCUCAUCCCCCCUCUCUCCAUCUCUCCACACCGCUUUCUCUCUCUAUUUAUGCCACAAAAUCAUUCAUUUAUGUACUAGCUACAACUAUAAAUGGAGAUGCUGCAUCAGUACUCUGAGUACUCUGUGAAAAAGCCAGUCUUGGCGUUCUGAUUCUUUAAAGCGGUUCAGCUCAGAAAAGGAAUUGGAACUACUUGCGAACCAAAAAAAAUCUUCCGAAAAAACACACAAGUUCUUUUCUUUCUUUCUUUCUUCCUUUUGAAAAAAAAAAAAAAAAAAGAAUCCUUAAUAAGCGUAUAUCUAGGUGAAAAUGACAUGGGUUUUGAUUGGUAUAGUUGUGUCAGUGUUCUGUUUGUAUAAGGUGAUGAGGAAAAAUAAGGAAGAGAGAGAGAAGAAAAAUUGGAUUCCUAGAGGAAGUUCAGGCUGGCCUCUUCUUGGCGAAACUCUCGACUUCAUAGCUUGUGGUUACUCUUCUCGCCCUGUCAGCUUCAUGGAGAAACGGGCGGCCCUGUAAGCCUUCUUCUUGCUUCCAUAAUUUUCGCAUAAUUUACCAUGAUCUUCUUUUCUUGUGACUUAAUUAUCAUUUUCUUCUAGAGUAAGCUAUUCUUUUUGCUUUUUUGUAUAUUAUUGGCACAUGCAGUGUGGUUGAAAUUGUUAAAAAUUCGUUUUGAAGAGGAUUCUUUACAAUCUCCGAUGAUUUGCUGGAAAGGGCAACAGUUCCAAGCAAGACUUUAAGUUUUGUAUUACAAGUUUCAUCAUUCAUGUGGUUUUUUUACUUUGGAUAUGUGCAGUUUAAGAAAAUUUUUACAUCUAGAUCUUUGGGAAAUAAGAAUCCAUUAAUUUCGACUUGUGGUUGAGUAUUUAGACCGCUCACUCAAAAAUUUUCUAACACCUGACGGUACUAUGUGAAAAAAAACAAAUAUUCCUUCUAGUCUAGUUGUGUUUGGAUUGUAUUUUUCAUGAUUUUUUCGUGGAAAAAUUACUGUUAUGAUUUGAUGUAUAUAAGAAAAAAAAGAUAAAAAAGAAAUAUGAUCACGAAAACGAUGUAAUUUUUUGAGAGAAAACAGCAAUCCAAGCAAGGCUUCCUAACAGAACUUUUAUGUUAUGUGAUAUAUAUAUAUAUAUAUAUAUAUAUAUUUUUUUUUUUUUCAGUUUUGUGCAAUCAAUGAAACUGAUCGUAAUGAAAAGAUGUCCAAUUACUUCAGAGUUAAAAUGCGGAAUUUACAAAUUUUUUUUUUGGUAAUUUAAAAUUGUCUUUAAAAUUUUUUAAAAGGUUAGGCCAGCAGGUAACUUAAGUAACGUACUAUUUGAUUUGCGAUAGCCCUUCAAUUCUAGAAAGAGAAAAGGAAACGAAGUAAGAAGACAAUCACCAGAUUUGUAUGGUACCUAAUAAUAUGUUAGAGGGGAGGUCUUGUUUUGUUACUUUCAUAAACGAAACUACUACUGCUACUUUGCAGGACCAUUUGAAGUAAUAGACUAGUUCUUUUAGGCUGUUGGAUUGGAUAUAGCACUUGUUUUUUUUUUUUUUUUUUUAAAAAAAUGCAGUGGAAUGUAGUGGAUUUGCACAAUUAACGAAAGAAAAUCAAAAAAGAAAAAACAUGUUAUUGUUUUUUUUUUGUUGGUGGUGCGGUGCCAUUCUGGAUCAGGACCCUGUCAAUUAAUCCAAGUAGGAAAUAAAAAUGAAAUAUGUAUAUAUCCUUUACUUUCCAUCUGUAUGUGCCUAAAAUAAUUCGGCGGAUAUAUGGUAAUAACAGCAGGUAAAUUAGAAAAUAGUAGAAAUAAAGUCAGUAGUGACUCGGAAACGUCAAAAGAUCCUUUACCUUCUUGUUUCCUACUCACCUUUAUGUAUGUGUAUGUGUAUGUGGAUGUGUAUAGUAAUUGUCUUAUUAUCGCAUGAUUAGCACGAGAAGACACAGAGUGCGUGCUUUUACGAGUCUCAAAUUGAUAAAAUGGCUUCAUCCAUCAUUGCUAGUUGUUGGCGUGGUAAAGUUACUUGUUUGUGAUACUAUGAAAUUUUCUCUAAGCUUUAUGUUUUUUUUUUUUUUGGAUUUAUUAUUAAUAAUUUGCCGACAAUUGCUUUUCCAGAAGAUUGUGAUACGGAUGGAGUUUUUUUUUUUUUUAAAAAAAAAUAUAUAUAUAUAUGUAUGUGUAUUGCAAGUGACUAUACGGUUGGCUGGCUUGCGUUGAUGGAUGAUCGAUCAUAUCCAUUGAUGUUGCAUAGGUUCCACACAGAACCCAUAUUCACGUGUGUGUUCAUUGUCAUACGUUUGUAGCAUUACGAUAUAUCUAUCACUCCAGCCUUUUCUAUAAUUGAUGGAUGAUACAGCUGCUAAAACAUUAACAUUCAUGCCCUCUCUCCGAUAAGACACAAAAAACCCCACAGCUCGUUCUUAGGUCAUCCAAUCGAAGAUAUAUAUAUAUAUAUAGUCCAUCCAAUAUUGAGGCCUUUGUUUAGCGAAUCAUCAAUUCUUUUUUUUUUUUUUUGUCUCUCUAUCUCUCUCUCUCUCUCUAUAUAUAUAUAUAGAUAGAUAUAUAUAUAUAUAUACAUUGUUGGAGUUCUUUUACAAAUUAACCAAGAAAUCACAUGUAUAUUUUGUUAGAAUUCUUGUAUAAAUAGUCCUCUUUUGACGAAGGGGCUCCAUAAUCUUUAAUGCGAAAGUAGAGGGUUAUAUUGCCUGUACCAUUGUUAGGAAUAAUCUCCCUUUGUCCAUUUACCUUGACUAAUCAUCGUUGCAUCGCUAUCAGACUGCGCGUGUCUUGCAAUUUGAGGAAAUUGUCUGAAACGAAGGGUAAAUUGGAUUAAGACAUCUGCCCAUCGACUGUAAGGAAUUUUUUAUUUUUUAUUUUUGGCUGGAGUGGAGUCACGCUACCCUGACUGAGGAGGUUUUUGGCUUCAUUUCAUGAACUGCAGAAGGAGAGAGUGAUACGAGUAGCGAAGAGCUUGACGUUAAAUUGUACACGUACUGGUUGUGGCAGAUUUGACUGCUGAAAUUAAUAGUGCUUGGGUGUGAUGUGGAAUUUUCUUUUUUUUAAAAAAAUAAUUACUAUAACGAUUUUUUGUCAUACACAGAAUGUAAAUAAAAUAAUUUUUUUCAAAAAAAAUAACGUAUUCGUGAUAGAAACCAAAAAAAAAAAUAUAAAUAUAAAUAUGACUUAUGCAAACACGUACACCGGUGUGACCAGGUACGGGAAGGUGUUCAGAACACAUAUCUUAGGCAAAGCCAUAAUCGUGUCAACAGACCCGGAGGUGAACAAGGUUGUUCUGCAGAAUCAAGGGAACGCUUUCAUUCCUCAUUAUCCAAAAUCCAUCUCCGAACUGCUGGGCAAGUAUUCAAUAUUGCACAUUAAUGGACCUCUGCAGAAAAGGCUGCAUGCGCUCAUCGGAGGCUUCCUGAGGUCACCCCAGUUCAAGGCUCAAGUCACUCGAGACAUAGAAGAAUCCGUUCGACAUGUCUUCUCAACCUGGAUGCAAAAACAGGACCGACGAAUUUACCUCCAAGAAGAAAGCAGGAAGGUAGGUAUCUAUUAUUAUUGUCUUUUUUUUUUUUUUGGUUUGAAUCCUCGCCACAAAGACAGAGGUACCUGUUUCUUUAAACAAUUAUUGUACUUGAGGACGAUUAAAUAAAACCAUGGUUAAUGUUUCAGAUUGCAUUUGAAGUCAUGGUAAAAACUUUGAUGAGCGUCGGCCGGGGUGAAGAUUUGAAUUUGUUGAGAACGGAAUUUGAAGAAUACUGCAAAGGCUUGAUUUCUUUGCCCGUUAAACUUCCUGGAACGAGGUUGUACAAAUCUUUGAAGGUACAAACGCAUCCUAUAUAUGCAAUUGCAAUUGCAAUUGCAAUUGCAUGCAUGCAUCCAUCCAUCUAAUUAAUAUUUCCAACGGUUUAAUUAUUUACGUUGGAAAUAUAUAACGCAACGCAGUAUAUUUGACCAUUCAUAGAUUUUUUUUUUUUUUAUAAAAAAAAUUGGUUGCUGAAUUUGAAGUUAGUCAUUGGUAGGGUUUGCACGUGAAUAUUAUUAGGGUCCAUGCAGGCUAAAGACAGGAUGUUGAAGGUGGUUAGAAGCAUAAUACGGCAAAGAAAGAUGGCUGCUUUGGAAGAAAAACAAGGAAUGAAUGGGCUGCUGAAUGACGUAAUUGAUGUAUUAUUGCGCGACACGUUUGAAUCAUCAGCAGCAGAGGAGGCUCAGCCACGGCUGCCGUUGGAUUCGAUAGGUGAGAACGUCAUAGAGUUGAUGAUUCCCGGUGAAGAGACUGUUCCGACGGCUUUGACGCUAGCAGUCAAGUUCUUGAGUGACAGCCCCGUCGUGCUAGCCCGAUUGCUGGUAUGUACCAGUACUAGAUUUUUUCUUCUUUGUACCGUGGCUGGCGCUAGCUUGGAUUUUACGAUUGUUUUUUCAAUCGACGGAUAGGAGGAUGAGGUUCUGGGUAAUCCUACGGCUGGGAUCAACUAGAUCCACGAGCUUCCAGUGGGCCAUUGGAUGUCAACUUCACUUUAUGAUUGUCGUACUCGAUUGACUUUCAAAUGUCAUUUUCAAUCAGACACACGAGCGCCCCCCACACGUGGGGAAAUGCUCGUCGGCCCCACCAUGGUCUGUUUGGACUUAUUCUAGCCGUACGAUUUGGAUUGAACGGCUGUCAGCCGGUGGACCAAUCUUACAACUACGUACCUUCUUUGGAUUUUUUUUGUCCUUUAGAAAAAUUCUUAAACCAUUUUUUGUGAGCACAAUUUGUAAUUAUUUUUUUACCUUAUAUAUUUUUUAAAACACUAAGGCCUAAGCUCCUUUUUUUUUCCUUACUAUUUUAUACUAUUAUUUUUGUCCGUCAAGUAGUGACUUUUUUUUUUCCAAAAAAAAUGGUGGCUUUUUUCACUAGCUAUUUUUUCUUUUUUCUUUUUUUUUUUGGAGGGGAGGCUUCUUUCUUUCUUUUUCGGUGUCAGCCUUCUUUUGGUCGGUGUCAGCCUUCUUUCGGUCUAGGUACUACUACAAAUUUCUUUCAAGAUUUCCUUCUUUCUUUCCGGGUACUACUGCAAGUUUCUUACAACUAAUAUGUUUGGGUAGCGAAUUUUUUCAAAAAAUGUUUCACUCGUAUUAUAAAUAUAUUUUUUAAUUUAUUUUUUUAUAUUAUUAAUCAUUUUUUAUUUUAAAUGUAUCACAUCACAUUAUAAAAAAUGCUAUAAUAAUUAAUCAAAAUAAUUAUUAGGAAAAACACUACUCUUAUCAAACAAAUUAAGCCUCCCUUCCAAAUUUAAGUAGUGUGUGCUUCUUGUAAGUUGUAACCUCUUAUCACUUGGGCAGGAGGAGAACAUGGAACUGAAGCGGCAAAAGGCUAAGUCGGGUGAUGAAUAUUAUUGGACUGAUUAUGUCUCGCUCCCAUUUACCCAGAAUGUAAGUUGCUGAGUCGCUGUACCAUGUAACCAAUAGAGUCUAGACCCGCCAAAAUGAAGAAAGGGAACAUUCUUUUUUUUUUUUUUUUAAAGAAUUGCAAUAUUCAAGUAUCUUGUUCUUUUCUUCUUUUGGUCACUUCAGGUCAUCAGUGAAACUCUGCGAAUGGGCAAUAUCGUGAAUGCAGUUUGGAGGGAAGCAGUAAAAGACGUGAAAAUUAAAGGUAUGUAGCUCUCUUUACUUUUAUGGACGUGUCGUUUGCCAAAAGCAGGUUGUACACUACCCUUUUUUUUUUUUUCCCUUCACAAAUUCUCGUCAGGAAAAUGCUAAUUUAGGUUGUGGGGGUUCUUUUCCCAGGCCACUUGAUACCAAGAGGAUGGUGUGUCUUGACAUCCUUCAGUUCACUUCACAUGGACGAAGCAAACUAUGAAAACCCCUAUGAAUUUAAUCCCUGCAGAUGGGAGGUAUACGUGUCUUGUCCGAUUAUCUGUCUUGUUACCAGUUCAAUGACUUCCUCUUUACAACUUUCAAUUAUCAAUCAGAGCAUCAUUUUGAUGUCGCCCGUGCAAAAUGUCAACAUGGAGACGAAACAAAAAGAUUCUUUGGUCUGGAUACCAUUCUAAUCAACAUUUUUUUUUGGGCAUUGGUUGGUAGAAAACAGGAGCUUCGGUUAACAGCAACACAUUUACACCAUUUGGUGGUGGCCAGAGGCUGUGUCCCGGUUUAGAACUGUCGAGGCUCGAAAUUGCUAUUUUCCUUCAUCAUCUUGUUACAACAUACAGGUCAUUUUCUUCGUCUUCUUUCUUUCCUUUUUAUUAUUAUUUUUUUUAAAACUUCCUGUGACAAAUAGAUAGUUGAGACUUGAGAGAGUCACAUGCGGAUGCUACCCCUAAAACUUUUAGCAGUGGCACUAUGGUUUCUUAUUGCAUUAGGUGGCUAAGGUGGUGACGGGUGAAUACUGAAAGUAACGGCAGCUAACACGAUCUUUCAUUUUCUCCCUUGCAGAUGGGUGGCCGAAGAUGAUGACAUUACCUAUUUUCCAUUCGUCAGACUGAAACGGAAGCUGCCGAUCACCAUCACACCCCUAGUAAGCGCAUAAUGAAAGAGAGAUCAAAUGAUGAAAGAAAGGAAAAAAAAAAAAAAAAGACGGUUGGAUAACCAUAAACCUAAGGCAAGGGUCAUCCCCCGCAACCACAGGCCUUACAAGAUGAGACUAUAUCAAUUAUUACUACCUGUAGCACAUCUCCCCGAGAUUUUAAGCGUUUUGAUCAAUCUAAAUUUUACUGCAAUCCUAGAGCGUUGGAGUAAUGAUAUUUAUCUUCGUGACUUGUAAGACAAAUGGCAUAUGACUUCUCUAUUGUAAGUACAUAUCAUUGAGUUUGUUCCGGGGUCACUGUCUUUCUUUUGAUUGAAGAAGGGUUUUCUUCUCCCUGGGCCCUGAUAGAAAACUGAUUAGUUAAGCCUGCAAGUGGAGUGGGGUUAUGAUUUCUGACCUUUAUCAUCAGAGCCAUCAUGGCAUGAAAAUCUAUAUUUUCUUCUUCUUCUUUGAUAAGAAUGGAUGAAGGUGCAUGGUGGUCCUCUACCACGUCCAACAUGUGCUCUGCUGGUACAUCGACAGUGUCUGGUAAUCGAACGACGACAAUCCUGCAUCUCUCCCUUUUUUUUUUGGGUGAAAAAAGUCUCUUUUUUUUUUGGUACAAAAAAGUUUAAAUGAGUUCGAUUCCAAUUAUCAUCUUUGAUCAGGAUAUGCCUUGAAAUCAUAAGUCGCUUAUAAAAAUUUUUACAGAUCGUUUACCAACAGAAUUCUCUUAUUGAUAGUAAAAUACGAACACGCCCACGUUUCAUCUUUUGCAAACAUUGGUUUAAUGAUGUUAUAGCUUUAACCUUCAUCCCUGUCUACCCGAUAAACAAUACGUUGUAGGGCAUUUGCAUGAUUAUGCUCGUGCUUUAAUGCCUAGUACGGCCUAAAUUGCUGGAAACUUCAAACUACAGCUGACAUAGGUUAUUUUCAGCAGUCAAUACAAGAGUUAUUGUAGAUUAUUUUGGCUCAAUCGCUAAAUCUGUCUACUUUUUAUCCUGCCCUUUAGAUCUAAGAUUUGUAUGCGGACUGAUUGGAACAAAUAUAGGUCAAUGUAGGCCAAGAAAUUCCAGCUGAAUUGUAGACAGCCCGCAACUGCUAGUUCAAACGGGAAUCACUACAAGAAAACUGACUUUUCACGACGCCAGAAAUAUGCUGCAAAAAGUCCAAAAACCGCCGCGAAAACCUUUUUGCGGCACAAAUGUGACGGAAUUAAAUUGUGCCACAAAAGUAGCCGUUACAAAAGAAAACGACACAAUUUUUCAACAUGUCACAUGCAUUUGCAUCACUCUUUGCGACGCCAAUUUGAGUGUCACAACUCUACUUGCGGCACAAAAAAUGCGCUACAAAAUGUCCACAAUGUCAUGCGACAAAAACUUGCGUCGCAAAAAAGUCACCAAUAUAAAGACCAGAAAUCAAUUUUUUCAUGGUACAAUAAUUAUCAUGCUCAAACAUCCUAAAAUCGAAUAUUAUAACAAAAUAUAGUUCCACAAUACACUAGAAUAAAGUACCAUACAUUGUUUUAGUCAAAUUCUACAAACUUUAUCAUUUAAUAUUGUUCGCUCCAAUUACAAGAUGUUUCAUAUAUUCCAAAAUGUGCUUGAAUUCAAAAGUACAGCACUUCAUCAUACAUCUCUCAAAAACAUCUUCAUAUCUCCCAAUCCGCAUGCUUCCAAUGUACCAUCAAGUCCAGGGCUGCAAAGUGUAUUCUAUUAGUCCCCUGCUCAUAUAACCCCAGCCCAUUAAGCAUGAAGAAAACGUUAAUAUAACAAUAGAUACUGAAACGGAAUUUGUAAUUCAACCUUUUCACAGACAGGGACGGAGCCAGAAAUUUAUUUUUGGGGGGACUGAAGUGUAUUAAAAAAUUUUUUUUGUGACGAAAUAAAUAUAUUUAAUAAGUAAAAUUUAGAAUCAAUAAUUAUAAAAAUAAUAAAAACAUAUAAUUAUACAUACCCAAAAAUUUGUUAUUGAUUAACACUUGAAGUAUUGGUAGUUGUUGCACUCGAAUAAUUCAAUUCUUUUUUUUUUUAAGGUUGAGAACUAGAAAUAGUAAUUUAUUUUAACUUUUAAAUCUUGAGAACUAAAAGUGCAUUUUUUUUUCAGUUUGGUAAAAUAUGACGACUUUGUAAAGCUUAACACCUGCUUGAGAGGAAAAGUAAACACAGAUGGUUUACUCAGGAAUAGAAAAAUAAUGACAAGUUGAACAACAGAAAAGAACAUUACAAUGUACUAUGUGUCUAGCUUGUGUACAGAAUACAGUCUUGAUCCAAUUGUGAUCCAUGCCACUUAGACUAAGCAAUAACUGCUAAAACUUCAAAUUCAUUCACAAAAUGUAAUAAGGUCUCCAAAAGAGAGAAUGGGAAAGACUUUGAGAAGUUCCAUUUGCAGUGGGCAAAGACUUGACGUACUCAAACUAAACAAAGCUGGAUAUUUGGAACUUUCUUGACUUUAGGCUGCCCAUCCAGCAUUACUACUCAAUUCUGCACAGACUGGAAACCACCUCAAUUGCCAUAAAUUCCAUACAAAAGGUCAAUGUCCACUUUGGGGACCAGGCCAGUUAAGAAGCACCCAAAUAAUGAAAGCACCACACCCAUCCAUUAAUUUAACGUCGCGUUAUCAAGCUGGCAUAUUGCCCAUGAAUUCUUCAUCCUCUUAGCCAGGAACCUUCUUGUCUCGUUCUCACUCGGCCAAGUAUAAAAAGACAUUCCCAAUGCUGAUGUCCUCGCUCAAAUCCAAAGCUAUCUGAUCAUAUACUAGCAUAUAAAUUAACCCCCGCUUCAAUUCUUCUCUAGAAUUUCACCUUACGACUUUCAUACUAGGGAUUUCUUCCAGUUAGUAUUAUUACCAAAAUCUAAACCAAUGGCCGCCGGAAUCCCCUAUAUAUAGGGGGUUUUCCGGCGGCUUGGGGGGGGCUUAAGCCCCCACCAGCCCCCCCUUAAAUCCGUGGCUGUUCACAGAUACUGAAAAUUAAGACCACUUCUACUACAUUAUGUCCCAUAAAUAGCUGGCUAAAUCUUAACAAAAACAGCUCGUCUUCCCAAUCAUACAAAUACUCAAUGGAAAACUUGACAGAAUAGAGUUAUUUCCAGAAACUUUUCCAGUACCUCAAGCAAGUCGUUUGCAAGUAGUCCUGCUCCUUUUCUUCUUUGUAUGAUGGUUCUGGUAUAACAAAAGACUAGUCAAUUAAAUAUCAACAAGGAGCUCACGCACAAAUAGUCAUCAACAAGGAAGUCAUGCACAAUUCAAUAUCAACAAGGAACUCAGCAAAAUUGGUCUUCUAUAGAAGGACCAACUCAAAGUACGCAUACUAUACCUCAAGAAUAUCAGCAAUUGAAGAAACUUUUUUAUUCAUUUCACACUUGUUUAUUUCAGCAUCAUUUGUUCCAACUUCCUUGUACAUUUCAGCAUCAUUUGUUCCAACUUCCCUGUUCAUUCUAUCACCAACCUGUUACAUUAUCAACAAAGUGUGAAGAAAAGAAAAUCAGGCCAUAGCUGCUGAUAUUUCAGAGAGUUUGAACACAAAAUCGAAUUGUAUGAAUUAAUAUACAACCUCUAAUGAGUCCGAAAUUUGAGAUUGUUUUGCUGCAUUCAUUUCUCUUCUUUGGAGUGAUGCCAAGUCACAUGUGGAUGCCCUCUGGAAGAACAAAGAUCAAUAGUAACUAAAGCAAUAAAAAAAUUAGAAAAACUAUAAUAUUUAACCAAAUAGUUAUCCCAAACCAUUCUUGCUUCAAAUUGAGCAAUCAACUCCUCCUUAAAAUCUGCCAAUUUCGAAUUCAUUUCUUCUCGUAGUUCACCACGUAUGAUUUCCACUUUCUCAUUCACUGCAUCCUCAAAUGCUUUCUUUUGUCCAGCAUUCAUGUUAUCUGACAUCCUAUACACGUCUUUUGGAGUCGCACCUACCCCAUAAGUUCGAAGACGACCUGGUUUUUCAGGUCCAAGAAUAUUUUCAUAGAGUAUAUCUUUCACAAAAUUAUCAUCCCUGGAUGUCUCUGGCAGUUUUUGUAUUUCCUCAUUCAUAGUUGCCUAAAUUGAAAAACAGAAGAAAGAAUUAUUUAUGAAGUAAAACCAAUAAAAAGUGACUAAAAGCUAUUCUUACAAUUGUUUGUGAAGUCAACUCAUCCAUUUGUUUUCCUUGUCUUGAAUGAAUAAAAACGUCUAGUUUCGAAGGCUCUUUUCCAGUUUUAAUCCGAAGCUGCCACAUAUUCAAUGUACAAACUAAAGUGUUAAUAUUUCUAAAUAAGACUAUGUUCCAGAAAAAAUUGCUAGAAACAUAAGCAUUAGAAUUUAAUAUACCUCUUCCCUGAGGUUCACAUGAUCUUUUCGCCCUGUUCGAUGUGGCAUCUUUUGUUUUUUUCGAUUCUUGCUAUUAAUCUUGCUUUGCUUCUAAUUAUGUACAAAACAGAAAAAGGUAGUUAACAACACAUCAAAAUCAUAAUAGCACUAGAAUUUAAUUCAAAAGCAAAAGAGAUGUGACAAUAAAUACAUGCCUUGACAUCUUCUGAGCUCCAAUAAUCAACCAAAAUAGGCCAUUGAUCCUCCUCAACUCUUGCAGGACAGUGUGCUAAUAGCCAUGACCUGUGCCUCCUAUAAGGAGUGAAAUACAUGCUCUUGACUUUUGAUUUCCAAUUUCUCCACAAUUUGCUGACCCUUAUCAUUUGUACUUUCUUGCAUGUAUCAUCAAUAUUUGUAUUUCUCUAUCAAAAAUUACAAAACAAAAGUUUAAACAUUCACAAGCUACAAGAUUGUAUGAAAUAAAAAGAAAAAAAAUGUUGCUAACUUUGAUAGUGAGUCAAAAUACCUUAAUAUCUUCCCAAAAUCUCUCCUUAGAUCCUUCAGGCAUGGCCCUCCAAUCUGUGUACGUGAGUGGUAAUUUAUUACCAUCCUUUACUAAGAUUCCUACUUGACUUAUAUACUGUGUAGCAUUAGGACCAAUUACUUGGCCCCGUGCAUUCCAAACUAACUCCAAUUUCUUUCCACCACCCCAACCAGCACUUCGUCUGGCUAGUCCUCUACCACUAUUGUCUCCUGUGUACAAAAAACACAUACACAUACAAAAGAAAAAAUUGUGAUUCAUAUAAUUUUUUUUAUGAAUAUUAUACAAAGCUUAUAAUAAGGAAUGCUAGACUCAAAACUAUUUGUGGUAAUCUUUUCUUUUCCAACCGACUUUCUUCACUAGAAUCAUCAUCAUCAAAAGUACCAUCAAAGACAUCCUCUAUGUCUUCUGAAUCAUAUGAAGAACCUGAUCCAGCUUCAGAAUCAUUGUUAUCAAAGGAAUCUGGUUGCUCACGAUGGUCUACUAGUGGUUGAGAAUGAAAGCCUUGACCGAUAUGUGAAUUAGGAUGGGAAUUUAGUUGAGAAUCAGCCUUGGAGUUCAACUGAUGUGAAUUGGCUUUAGAGUUGAACUGAGAAGCAGCAAUAAAGCUAGAAGCUGAGUUUGAAUUUGAAUUGGAGUCAUGUGAUUUCGCUUGACAAUUAGGUCGAGAAACAGAGUUUGAGCUAGAUGUAGGGUCUAUGCGUAUUCCAGGCAUUGCCCCAAUGAAUUUAUGUGCUGGAGGCUUUGAAUAAUGACUGGGGCAAGUCUGAUAAGAUUGAGAGCUUGACUGUGAAACAGGGUUCAAACUAUUAGUGGACUCAAUAUGCGCUCCGGACAUUGGCCCAACAACUUUGUGGGGCCCCUUCUUACUUGGUGCCAUGGAAAACCUAUAAAAGCAGCUUCUGAUUUUUGAAGGCAAAGUUAAGUAAGAUGAUUAAUUUUACUGGCUUUUUUCAGAAACCAAUCACAUAAUUCAGCAAGAGAGUGUUGUAUCAUCUUACUUUUGGAGUUUAAGUUUCUAAAAUCUGCAAACACAAAGAACAUAUACAUAUUAAGGAACUAUAACCCAAUGAAACCAACAUUACCAACUUGCUAAUAUGAACAUAAGGAAUCAUAAAUUGAACAUAAGGUAAAUCCAGCAUUACCAACCUGCUAAAAAAAAAGUAGAAUGCAGGUUAUCAAGGAGACUAAUAUGAACAUAAGGAAUUAUAAAUUGACAUCCAAGGCAGUGAAAAUGAUCCCACAAUUAAUAUUUUUCAUACUAAUCAGUAACUUCAUCUAAUAUUGGCAUAUCUAAACUUCAUCUAACAAAAUGUUAGGAUUAUAUUCCAAAAUUAGAGUCAAUCAUCAGCCUUGUCUCCUUGUUGGGCUUUAUCAAAAAAAUCAUCAUCAUCACUUGUAUCAUCAAUCGUAUUGUCAAUCCCAAGAUUAUCCUCAUCAGAGAAGAAUCCAUCAUCAACUUCAGCAACGUGUGCCUUGGAUUUUGUAGUUUGUGCAUCAAGUAUAACUCCAUCAACACCUUCCCUAACCCAUGAAACAUUACUAUCCUCAGAAUUAUUGUUAUUAACAUGUUGCCAAGCAGAAUGCUCAUCCUGGAUAUCUUCACAUAUGUUAAUUUCUGGAUCAAUAAUGAAAAGAUCUCGAGGGGUCAUCUUGACAACUAUAUUCCAUUCAGGUUCCAAUGCAUCCCGAGCAUACCAAGCUUGCUGUGCUUGAGAGGCCAGGAUGAAAGGCUCAUCAUUCUUCGUGUUUUGCUUGUACAAUAUAUGAUCAAAGUUAACAAGUGUGAAGUUGUGUUCAUCUUGUUUCAUUCCAAUGACAUUAUCAACCCAAUCACACUUGAACAUCACAAAUUUAAUGUCAUUUGAGUAUCUCAACUCAACAAUAUCCACUAAGACCCCAUAGUAUUCUAAAAUUCCAGAUAUAGGGUUCUUAUCCUUUGUACUAGCGAAACUAUUGGCACUAGCAUUCACAAAUACACCACUAUUUUGAGUUUGCCUUCUCAUCUCACGCUUCUUAGUAUGGAAACGAAAACCAUUAACAAUGUAACCAGAAUAGCUUUUUGCCCACUUAUCAGGACCAGCAGCCAAAUAAGCAAUUUCUUUAUAAUAAUCAUGGCAACUAUUAGAUUUUUCCAAAUCUGCAACCUACAAGUUUUGAACAAAAACUGUUAUUGUAUGUUAACUCUAGAGAAUAUUAAAUAUAUGAAAAUGAAGCUCAAUUAAAUUCACUACUGAAUUUAAAACUUACAUGCUUCUUAAACCACUUGUAAAAUGUUUCACUAUGAAUUUUCUCCCUUUCAUAGUUUGACAUGCGUGGUUUUUCCAGUUUUAGCAAAUGCUUAUGGUCCCUACAUUAGUCAUUAAAUACUUUAAUGAAAGCAAUAAUUCAUGAGUUAUUGAUUAAGUUUGAUAAACUGUGAACUUACCUGCGAAAAGGAUCAACAGUUUCAAGAUUUCCAAGAACAUAACGAUGAGCUUGAACCCAAGAGACAUCAUCUAAAUAGAUGACCUCUUCUUUUCCUAAGGGACGGCCAAUCUGUCUAUUUAAAUAUUCACCUUCAUAGUUCCUAGGUGGGCGAUUCAACUUUGAUUCAAUAUUGUCCAAGUACAUGGAACAGAAUGUCAUACAUUCUUCCGCCAAGUAGCCCUCUGCUAUUGAACCUUCAGGGUGACUUCGCUCCGUACAUAAUUUUUCAAAGUACACAGAUACCUAUGCAUAGAAUUUAUAUUAAUAUCGGUGGUGAUUUUUCAAUGUACAUAGAUUAAGUUGAUAAUCUUUUACCUCUCAAUAGGAUACAUAGACCGAAAUUGAAAUGGUCCACCAAGUUUCGCCUCUUCAGGCAAGUGAACAAGCAAAUGCUCCAUGAUAUUGAAAAAUGGAGGUGGAAACAUCUUCUCAAGUUCACAAAGGGCCAGUGGAGUACGGUCCUCCAAAGUUUCACAAUCUGCUACAGUAAGCACUUUCGAGUAUAAUUGCCUAAAUAUAUCUCGUAACUCAAUGAUAAUUCUGCAAACAUGUUUAGGCAAUAUUCUUCUCACAGCAAUGGAUAACAAUUGUUGCAUUAAUAUGUGACAAUCAUGACUCUUUAACCCAGAGAUUUGUCGUUCUUUAAUAUUCACACACCUCGAAAUGUUUGAUGCAUAACCAUCAGGGACCUUGACAGUUUUUAGCACAUUACAAAAAAUUUCUUUUUCAUCUUUGCUCAUUGUGAAGCAUGCAGGUGGAAGAAACACUUUGUCACCCUUAGAUUGUGGGUGAAGUGCCUUUCUUAUCCCCAUUUCUUUUAGAUCAUAUCGAGCAUUAAUGUCAUCAUUUGUCUUGCCCAUCCCCAACAGUGUCCACAAGAGAUUCUCCAAGAAAUUCUUCUCAAUAUGCAUUAUAUCCAGAUUAUGUGGAAGCAAAUUAUCCACCCAAUACGGUAACUGAAAGAAUAUAUUCAAUCUUUUCCAAUUAUACCUACAUAUGGGACUUUGUUCAGAGUCAUUAUUAUCUUGAAUGGGUUAAAUCCAUCCGCUGCAAGUCUAACACGAACAUUGCGAGGAUCACUAGCAAAGCUUGGGUGCCGGUCAUUAAAAUGCUUCCAAGCUAAAGAGUCUGCCGGAUGCCUCAAUUUUCCAUCCUUGAUGCACUCCUCUUCAUGCCAUUUCAUUAAUGAAGCAGUCUUUGAUGACAUGAACAGCCUUUGGAGACGUGGUUUCAAAGGAAAAUAGCGAACAAGCUUUGCUGGAACUUUGUUAGCUUGUUCACUUGAAUCAUCGGAUUGUUUUACAAUUUGCUUAUACCUAGGAGUUCCACACUUUCUGCAAAAGGUUUCAUGUUCUGUCUCCUUCCAAUAAAUCAAGCAAUCAUUGGGGCAUGCAUGAAUUUUAUGGUAGCUAAGACCCAAGUCUUUAACAAUCUUCCAACCAUCACGAUAAGAGCUUGGAAAUAAUUCAUUCUCAGGAAAAACUUCCUUGAGAAGCUCCAGUAAUAUUGUCAUUGAGUUGUUGCUCCAUCGACAAAGAGACUUGACAUGCAACAACUUGAUGACAAAUGAUAGAAGAGUAAAAUUUUUACAUCCAGGGUAUAACUCUGUAUCGGCAUGCUUCAGCAACUUAAAAAACUUAUUAGUCUCUUCAUCACAGGCUCCUCUAAGUUCUUCUAAAUUUAUGUUAGAAUUCUCUUCAAGUGUUCUUCCAAGUGUUUCGUGUAUCAAUUCAUUCAUGUCAUCAUUUUCAAUGCGCCUAAACACUCCAUUGUUCAUAUUUUCUUGAUUGAAGUCCCAUGGAUCUUCACCAUGAUAAAUCCAAUUUGUAUAAGUGGUCAAAAACCCUUCAUUGUUACAUGUGCACGCACAGUUUCUUCCUUUCUUCGUUUUGAGUUUUUACAUCGCCUACAUGGGCAAUAUAUUCUACUCCCAACCUCUUUCUUUUUGUAGGCAAAUUUAAGGAAGUCACUCAGACACUUUUCAAAGUACGGAUUAUUGACUCGGUCUUUAAUAAAGAUCCAAGACCUAUCAUCCAUUCUACAAGAAACAAGAUUGAGAAGGCAAGAAAAGAGACCUUAUAAACAGAAUUGAAAAAUAGCAAAUUUAUUAACAUGCAAAAAAAAUAAAAAAUAAAGUGCAGCAUGUGCAUCCCAGUUUGCUAUGCUCAUAGUGGAAUGCGAUGUUAACAGUUAACCCAAUUUCUCAAUGCCAAAAGAAUGUGGUGAAUUUAUGUCAAUAUGCAAACCAGUGUUCUGUUUACAAGAAAAAGAAACAUAGAUAAAUCAGGGGAGCUAGAUUGUCUUACAAAUUCCUAAUUGCAAGAAACACUUACAUGAAGAACUUAGUGAAGGCUGCUUCAAUGGGCCCUCUGAGAGAGGCACUUACUCAGGGAUUUGAAAUCACAAAGCUGAAAAAGGAGGAUAUGAGGCCCGUAACAGUGAAGGUAAUUUACAGCACAUAGAGAAAAUUAAAGAACAGAACCUAUCUAGGAAUACAUAAAUCUCGCUGCACUGCCUCCUUGUACAGUUUAAAAAUGGAACUUUAAUAACCUGAAGGAUGAAAGGAAUAAUAUCUUUUUGUGGUUUUGGUUUUCUAUAGGACUUUGAGAAUGCACUUCAGGAGGUUAGGCCUCUUCUCACAAUCUUGUUUUUCAAGUGCAUCCGAUAAACAUAGUUUGCUGCUGCAAUAAAAAUUUACCAAUAAACUGUGCCCAACCAUUUGGAAAAUCACAGUCAUGAAGCAUGCAAGUCUAGUCCAAGGCACUCAUUUUACUAGCCCACUAACCUGAGAGUAUAACAGUCAUUCCUCUGUUAGUGCCUAUUACAAUCUACUGCUGAUUGUUCAGUGAUUUUCAGAAGAGUAACAUCCUCUGUCUUUCACAUCCAACCUUGAUUGACUUCAGAUAAAUGCCAUAGAAGGAAAUUUUGUUAUGACGUUACAUAAACGCAACAUGCAAGCUCUACUUCCAGAGCAAACCAGAUAAAGAUGCACUAGCAUCUGUGCCAACCUAUUUGGAAAAUCAUGUCAAGCGUGCAAAUCUAGUCCAUGGCACGCAUUUUACUAGUACAGAAACCAAGAGUAAAAUCUACUGUUGAUUGUUAAGUGAUUUCCAGAUGAGUAAUAUCCUUGUCUUUCUCAUCCAAUCUAGAUUAACUGCAGAUAAAUUCCAUAGAAGAAACAUUCGUUAUGACAUUACAUAGUCAGAGCAGACAAGAAAAGAUACAAUAGCAUAUGCUAAGAAACAUGAUCCGAACUCGAAACCCUAACAAGUCUCUAGAUGUAAAAACAUCGAUUCAUUAAAAAAAAAGAAAAAAAGAUAGCAAUAUUACCAGUUGGAGCGAGACAGAGGAAAAGGAGUGAGUAGAGUAGAUAGAUCUGCAAUCAAAAGUUCUGUAGGAAAAAUAGCUUGGAUUUGGAGUGCGGCGGAGGAUUCCAAAGAAAAAGAGAUCGUUGUGUGCUAAUGCGUGCGAGGAGGACUGAUUUUGGGGCCGGAAGAGCGGCUGCCCUGCCGCUGGUGCUAGGUGGACGCGGAUCGAGUUGGCCCAGAUUUGAGCUGGGGAAUAUGACGAGUAGGGACUGGCGUUCUCCUUCACCUUUUACUUCAUCGAUAAGGAAAAGCGAAUAGGAAGACUUGCUACUUUCUGGAAUACAUUCUAUUAUUAUCGAAAAAUAAGGGAAUGGAUCUAGCUCAUGUGAAGGCACCCUGAACUUAUUAUCAAGAAAGGACAUGUGACCUGAAAAUAUUUGAAACAAAUAUAAUUUAUUUCAGGGUGCCUUUACUAAAAGAUAAACCCCUUCCUGCUUUUGGGGGCUUAUCGAUACCUUUUUACAAGGGAUCAAUACGUGGAUUGUGCUAGGAAACUAUCUUUUAUGGGUUUUAUUAAAACUAUGUCAUUUUUAUGUAAAAAUUAGGAACCGUUGUGAAAUUUGCAGCACAAAUUGAAAUUUGCUGCUUAUUUACCGCACUUUCUCCUUGUGCCACAGCAAAAGCGUUGCAAAAAGCCCGUUUUCUUGUAGUGAAUAUCAUGUCAUUGAAACUGCAGACCAUCUACUAAUUCUUCAACCAACCACACAUUACAAUAAUUCAUUUGUGUUAGUACAAGGUUCGAAGAUGAAAUACCAAUCCGAUUUAGUAUCGUUUUUCUUUCUGUGAGUAAUUAGUGAGACAUAGUUAAAUUGAGCAUUAUCGGUAGGCAUAAGGAUCAUGAUGUUGCUUGCAUUGUGCACCUUUUUGGGUAGCAACUUACAAACAUAAUAACUUGAUUCCUUCCCUUUAACUGAAAACAGUACAUUAUUUGAUGUUCAUGCCAACCGAUCUCCAUUAACCAUGUUGAUUUCCAGUGUCAUAGCCGAGUUAAAGUCAGAGGUUUUCCUUCCUUUCCCCCCUUUGUUCCUCUUUCCCUACGGUGCCUCAAGUCUCAAAUCAGGGCAAAGCAUUCCACGGCUCCAUAAAAUCCCCCUUUUCGUCUAGAUGCCAAUACCAUGUAUGCAAGCGCUAUUAUCCAAUUCAAAUGACACUAGCACCCCUUGUAAUGCAUAUGUGCACAUGCCCAUUGCCUAUAACUCCUGAUGGGGGAAUUCAAGCAUUUCGUUGCAAAAGUAGACCAUGAAUAAGCUUUUAACUCAAUGCGUUUCACCGCACUGAAUCCCAGCUCAAUUCUUUACCAGGCAUAAUAGAAGCUAUCUUCCCAUAAUCUAAAAAUUCAACAAUGUAACAGCAACAUAAUUUGAAAACUUCAGCAAUCCACUUGAGCUCACUAGGAUUGCCUAUAAGGAUGGAUGGGACAAGCUUGAAAAGGAAUGGUCCAAAGUUUUACUAAGCCAUAGCAGUGGGGUAUAUCAAGAAUUUGAGUAUGAAGUUUUACAAUCCUGUGCAAGAGAAGCUAAUAACUAUUCCGUUAAUAUGUGAUAUUUUAAGAUUCACACUUUUUAGUGAAUAAGAAAUUUCCAUUAACAAGGAGGCAACAUAUGUUUACUGCAUUUUUUAGGGAACAACAAUUUCUAAAAUGACGGAGACAAUAGAUUUUUACAGAAUUUUUUAAUACACUUGCAGGAAGAUCACUGGAGACGACGAGCAACAUGCUCUUUGAAUUAUAAAUAAGAGCUUGUACUAGCCGUUGAAAAUCCAAAACAAGGGUAAAAAGAAAGAAAAGGACAACAGAUGUCAAAAUAAAGGAGUCAUGAACUACAACUAUAGUAGGUAGUGUGUAAAGUAAAGCUUACACUGAACAGAUAAAUGCAAUUUCAACUUUCAUCUUCUUCCCGGCACAAAAACUACAAAAUGCUAGAAUGUCAAGCCAUUGUUGCCUUCUUCUCUUCCUCAAUCUGCUGAAGCUCUACCAACCUUUGUGCCCAUGCUCUUUCCCUUGCUACUGCAGCCAUUUUCCGCUCCACCCUCUUUAUCAUUUUCUUUCUUUUGGCCUCUUGUAACUGAGCUUUACGCUUCUUCUUUUCAGCCUGUCCAUGAUUAAGAAUAUCAUAAAAGGGAAAUGCAAACGUCAACAAUAUUAUGCCUUAGCCAGUACAGUAAGUUAUUUUUUCUAAGUAAUAAAUAAAAAAUUCAGUGAAAACCACACAAGUUUUGGCAGAAUCUCAAAAUAGCCAAACCUGAUAAAAUUUACAACAUUAAGACAGAUUAUAGAGCAGAAAAGAGAAGAACCAUUUCAAAUGACAACAGUCCAUUAGAUCACAAAUGAGAUUAUAAGGCCUAAAGAUGUCUGCAAGCACCAUCAGCUAACUAUAGAAUUUCGUGAAGCAGCAAAUUUUCACUGUCAUCAAUCAAAAGCCAGCUUUAAUCACCAGAUCCUAUUUGUAACCCACUCGAGAGCAAAGAGAACAAGAUAGUUUGUUGCGCAUAAACUUGUUCAAGAGAAACAGUUUAACAAGGCAUUUCUCUUGAAUUAGUUCUUUCCCAUCUAUUUUCCCAAUCCAGAAUAAUUUAAUCAGGUUACCUUGAUGAACAUCAUGAAAAUGUUCACACAUUGUCAUCAUAAUUAAAUACAUCAUUUUACACAGACAUUGCAUUUUACAAGUUCCAUAUCGGAUUUCAGUUAAUCCGUACUCCUAGUUAGGCCAGAAUAUAAAAUAGUCACCCACAAAAAAGAUCAGAUUUGGUUAGAAGAUUGAACGCAGAAAACCAUAUAUCAAGCAGAUUAACAAACUUAAUUGAGCUCCAAACAAAAAAAAAAGUUACUGAUUACCAAGAAAAUGAAGCUUAAGACUUUACCAGUAUAAACGCACGGUGCAGCUUAAUCCGCUUUUUCUCAUUUCUUCGCUUCACACUUCCUUCAUUGGGUUGUUUUCCAGCUAUUGGUUCUCCAGGUACAUAUUUCACCCAAGCAUAAGGCCCUAAUAUCCGCAAAUAAAAUUCACCCAAAAAGCAUCAAAAUUUCAGUUAGCUUUUAAAUUACGAGGUGUACAUUUUCUUAUCCCCAAAAUAGCACCAAUUUGUAAUUAAAAUUUGAAACUAAAACUUAAACCCUAAACCCUAGGAAUGGGGAAGAUGAAAAUGUGACCUGGGGGUUUUAAUUGAGCUCUUUUACGAUGAGGCUUGUCACUGGGGCGUCGUUUGGGGUAUCGGGUGUCCGUUAAGCUGUGGAAAGCGGAAGAUGACGGAUUGAAUGGAAGAUUCCGGUGGAAGGAGCCCAAGUGGUGGCGGAAAUGGAGCUCAGAUGCCGGAAAGGGAGAGGAGAUGGCCGCGAUUCGUUGGGGAGCAAGAGCGAAGGUUGUACGGGUUGACAAGAGAGUCCGCGAUACGGGUCGAAUUAUGGAUCGUAGGGCUCCGAGACCCAUGAUUUUACGCCUGAGCGGAGUAAAGUUUUACGAGGUUGGUGCUGUUCUCUAUAGCAGAUUUGACGGCUACCUUGCUUCUUAGUUUGCGGGAGCCAGCAGAAGACGACGUCGUUAAGAUGCUCUUCCCAAACUAACGUUAGAAGGUUACGACUUAAGAAACAUAAAUGAAUAAAAUAAAAUAACAAUAUAAAUAAAAUAUUUUGGAUAGGAGCUUAAUUGAAAUAUUACUUGGAAUAAUUACAAUAGUACUUUAUAAAUUGUCAUGUAUGAGAGAUAAAAUGACGCGUUGAGAAAUUAUUUGUAAUGCGAGUAAAUAAUAGUUUGACACAUAAUUGAUAAGUUUUGUACUAUAAAUGGUCUCACAAACCGAAUUUUUACCUCUAAGGAUUAACACACAGUUUACUAAGACACAGGGUAAGGGCUCGAUUAUAGCUCUAUGUUUUGCAAGAUCCAGAUUAAUUUUUGCUCCUCAAAGCCUAGUCAGGAUGCUAUUCAAUGUUUGUUGCUGCUUGAAAAGAGAAUAUUAAAACCUGGAUUCCUUUAGCUCGCAGAGACGAAGCCAAAUACUUCUCAUGCACACAACUAUUUAAUCCCAGAAAAAUGUCAGCUUGGGACUUUGCAAAUUGCAAUUUCAGAACAAUCGCAUAGUCUUUUAUGAAUGCAGGAAGAUGCAAUGUUUAUCCUGUGGAACUUUCGUAUGGUAUCAAACCCCUGGGAUCCAAAGUACUCAAUGACAUCUAGAACUUGGAUGUCAACCGCAGCACAAGUAGUUUAACGAAAGGAGUUCAGAUCCAUCAUGGGUACUUGAAACAAUAUAUAAUAGUAGUUCAGACGCCAACUAUGAGGAGUGAAAUUUUUUUUUUUUUUUUUUUAAAAAAAGGGGUCAGUUCAGCAGUGAUUAUCACAGCCCUCUGCUCCAACUUAGUUUGGAGUCAACUCGUAUUUAAUAAAAGUCGUUAUCAAUUUGUCAUAGUAUUUUGCAUUGUUUGCAUCCUUGACCUCUGCUUGAUCAUGAAAAUGUAUACCAGCUUGAUUAAACACGGAGAGCAAAUGCAGCAAUUCCUCAUUUGAUAGCUUUGAAGGCCUCUUGCUCUCCACUCCUCCAGAUCUAAUGAUUUCCACGACUUUCUCUUUAAACGAGCUCAUCCCUUUCUUAUAGCCCAUUGCCAAAUUCGUCUCCAUUUCAUUUUUGUCAUCUUCAUGUUCAUCUUCACUUUCUGCAUUCAGCUCAACUUCCUUUUCAUCAUCACCAUGGAAACUCCCAUCAGUUUGCGACAGCUUCAUCAGCUCCAUCAACUUCCUCUUCUUCUUAAAUAUCGCACCGAGUGUCUUAUUUUUCUUGCUAAAGCACAUCCGUGUAAACGCCCACCAUUCCAUCAAAUCAACACUUGGAACGUCCUCUUUAGGCCAGAUCUUGAUCACCGAAGAAUCAAUCUUAGGAACAGGCAAAAAGUCCCUCUUGCUUACGUCCAUAACAAACUCCACGUCUGCCACCAGCUUCACAUUCGCCGCUAACCGGUUAUACUCUGGUUCACCAGGAUCGGCUAACAGCCUCCUAGCAAACUCUUUCUGAAGUAAAAGUGUUGCACUCCUGAACUUACUCCCGCCAAACACGAACUUCGCUACCAAACGCGAGGAUAUCCCAUAGGGAAUAUUAGCUACCACGAGAUCAAAUUGUGGAAAAUCAACCUUCAGUGCGUCAUCACGUAUUACCUAAACAGAAAAUAGCAUGAAAUCAGCUUAAAAAAAACUCCUCUGAGGCAUUACAUCAAACAGCUGAUCAUUGUAUCUCACAGUCAACCGGUCUUCAAAUCCUCGCUCAGCGACUUUCUUGUGAAGAAUUUCGACCAUGCGCUUGUCGAUUUCGAUAGCAUUAACUUUCUCCGCAACUUCAAGCAGCUUCAAAGUCAGAUUUCCGGUGCCGGGUCCGAUUUCUAAAACGGUGUCAUUGGGUUUUAUAUUGGAUUUCCUGACAAUAGUAUCGAGGACUCGCGGGUUAGUGAGGAGAUGUUGUCCCCGGCUUUUGAAUAGCUGUAAAUGUUUCUCUGAAACUUUAACGUCGCUUCCGAGAUUGUUAUCGUAGUCAUCCUCGUCAUCUUCUUUAUCCGAGUCUCUGAUGUUGAAACGACGGCUUGAUUUCGAGCGAAUUUGUUGGAUGAGAAAGCUUCUCCUGAUUAUAGCUGCAGAAAAUUUGCUAGGAAGGGACUUGCAACGGUGAAGCAUUUCAGGGAUAGUUUUCCCCCAAGUAUUCGAUGGGUUUUCUUUUUUUUUUUUUUUCCAGAUUUGACCGUUUAAGUUGGAAAAGCGGGCGGGGGUGGCGGGUGGAGGACGAGUUGGCGGGGAAGAUGCAAAGGCUUUCGCAUUUUAUCUUUAGCUUGUGAGAUGGGCCAAAAAAACUGAUGCAGAUAAGCCCAAUAGACGGGAGAAUUGUUGACGUCAUUCAGCAUAAAUUGGCGGACCUUUAAUUCUUGGAAAGGUUAAUGGGCCAUCAGGCCAAAAACUCUUAAUGCGUGCUUAUAAAUUUUUUAGUUUGAUAAUAUUUCUCUCUCUCCCUUUUUUUUCCGGAUAUUGGAUCCGGAACUUUUUACUUACAAUUUUUCUCACCUUAUCAUCUAAUUCAACCCUCCUCCGACUUAAUAAUCUUGAUUUUGGAAGAAACUAUGAGCUGAAACCCAUGGACUAAAACAUUAGGCACAUUUGUAAUGGUAGGAGAAUAAUAAGGACAUUUUUCGAGCGCAAACUUGUGCAUUGGCAUAGCUCAAACGCACAAACAACUUGAGCUUACGAAGAAAAAAAACACACACACACACACACACAAGCAAAUGUAAAAGGAUACAUGAAUCUAAUUCGAAAUUAGAUGUUAGAUAAACUUAAGUGCUAUAUAAGCGGACUUCUUCGGUUGGCACUCCACAAAACCAAUAACGCUAGCCUAGCAUGGCUUGGAAUAGUCUCCCCAUUAAAAGUUACUAAAACAAAACAAAUAAUCUUGUGAAUCACUGUGGUAUUUGCCUAACAAUAGAUCUUGGAAAAUAUCAUAGAAAAUCUGAGAAAGCCUUUGAUUUAGGAGGUUGCUUGGUUGCUUUGAUAUGCAGAUAACUUGGACACCUGCUGUCGGUGGCACAAUAGGGUCUGGAUCUCCAUCAGUACUGAUUGUGGUGGUUGGUCGAGAAAUGCUGGCCCAACUUUUAUCUUGUCAAUGGUCCCAGGAGGCCAUGAUAUAAGGUUUUGACAAUGAAAAGCAUUCAAGGGUUCGUGCAUUGGUCCAAAUAUUGCUCUCUCUCUGUUGAAGCAAACUAGUAGGAAACUCGAACACUUAUCAUCUAAAGAGAAAAAAGAAAAUGAACCAUUUCAUCAGGUAUAGAAUCUCCUUUCGGGUUUCCCAUUUCCCCGUGUAAGCCUUGGAGUCUCUUCUAAACAAAACUAAAAAUAUAUAAAGGAAAAGUAUUAACCAUUUGUUUAGAUUUAGCCGUUGGGUGACACUCUAUGAGGAUCAUGAAGGAUUGAGACACUCUACUGUGGUCUUUCUUGGGUUGGCUUUUCAUUGACACGAGAUAUCAUUAAGCUGACCCUAAUUAAGAUGGUUGUUCAGCUGUACAUGUACAAGUGGGGCACAUAAACUCGCCUCAAUUAUGUUUUGCUUCACAAUCAUGUUGUCUAAGAUUUCAAUUUCACACAGUAGCCCAUCAAUCCGAUUGAAGAAGGAUCUUAGGAAAAUUGGUGCAUUUCCAAUGAAUGAGUUUUUUUUUUUUCUUCUUCCCCCCCCCCCCGGAGAAAUAGUGACAAGGUAGGAAGAAGCUCCAAGCCUCAGGAGUGAAAGCAAAAUUUGGGGUCAAUACAAGCUGACUCACUUGACAAGGACGGAUCAUUUUUUUACAAAAAGGUCGCGUGUUCGAAUUUUCCUGUCGAUGUAAGAACUGUAUUGGUGGGCGAUCUGUAAAUAAAGCAAAUUUUGGGAUGGAGGGGGGAAGUUUCAUAUGGUGAGUAUGAUGAUCGCAAAAAAUUUUAUUAGUGCAAUGACAACUUGGUCAGUUCAUUUCGAAUUUGAUAAAAAAAAAAUAAUGCUCAGGGCUUUGUUUUGAGAUUCUCGAAUCUCGAUUAUUGUAAAAGUAAAUGAAUAAGUAAUAGCACGGGCAAAAGUUGAGACGGGUCCCUCCAAAAGUGUAGGAGACUGUCAAGGAAGCAAUCACUUUGCAAGGAAACACAAAUCUAAAACAGGAAUACGAGGUAAUGAAUGUGCCUUGAGAACGAAGGCAAGGCAAAAAUAAAUUGACAGUCUCCCAAGGAAUCAAGUGCCUUUGGGGUUCGUUUGUUUAUUCUGCUUGGCACUAAGCUAUUAUACCAUACCCCGGAAAGGCUGUACUUAGAACUUCAAUGUUCUUGUCCUUUUAAGCAGGCUCAACGGGCUCCAUAUGCUUCUUUUUUCGCUGAUUUUCUACACAUCUACGUUGUUGAUUGAUAUAUCAUCGCAUGCUACUUUUGCAAUGGGGCAUUUUCAGGGGGAUGAAAAUUAACCAGCUACAAAAAAAGAGAACAUAAAUUAAAGCCAUUUCGCUUAGGAUACUUUUUUAUCUAAUCCAGUUGAGCGAAGCCGAAUCAUGGAACGUAGAUUAGGACCUUAGUUAUGUUCGUAUGACUUCAUCCUCUCCCCCAACCAAAAUGAACAUUGGAAACAUGUAAAGAUUAUCCCCCGCCCGCAAACCCCCAAAAAAAAAAAAAUUUAAAAAAGGAGAGUGAACUCACGCUCCAAUAUGUUUAUACCUCGGAAGGAAUAUUAUAUUACCCAUGUUAAAAAGAGGGAGAGAAUUCCAGCAGUAACAGUAACAGAAGAAAAACGAUUUUGUCCGCUUUUACCACCACCGACGCUUAACGGAACCGGUAUCUCGAGGGGGAAAAAGCUAAAGAAUACAACAACGGUCAGAAACGGCACACAACGUUGACGACAGGGUUGGCGGCAAUUAUUUACGGCACAUGCCCUUUAGUUUUUCAGUGGUCCCCACUACACGACCACCAUCCGUCUUUAAUCUUCUUUAGACCUUAGACGACAUCCUUCAUCCUAACAAAAGAUCCCACAUCCCAAAAAAAAAUCUCGUAGACUCGUUCCCCGGUUGACAGCCAAUUUUAUAUUGACUCAUAUAGACACUGAUGAAUAUUUUCCCCAACCCCCAAAAAAAAAAAAAGAAGGAUGAAGUUUGAGCAAGCUGGUGAGGAAUUAAUUUUUAACUACUUGUAAAUUUUUUAGCAUUUGAUAUGAUUUGAUAUGUUUAAAAAGCUUAUGGUCUUCUAAAUCAUCAUACGACUUAAAACAAGAAUUACUAAAAAGCAACAACAUAUAUCAUCACGUUACGCGGUCAUGGUGGACUGGACAAAUUGUUUAUAUGCGCUGUACCAUGCAAGAAAGUGAAUCGUACCUCAUUAGCAAUUGCUAUUACUGUGGAGUUCACUUAAUUAUGUUUCCUUUUUCUCCUAUCUGCAAAUUUUGGACUUGAUUUUCUGGAAUACAUAAAAAAGUGUCAUAGAACAACGAGAAGGUGGAUUUUCAGAACCUUUUCUUAAUUUUUUCUUGGUAAUGUUCGAUCAAUAACUUGAUUGCCUUCGCAACCAGUGGUUUUCAUACAACUCAACAAAAUUCUGAACUAGGGGACACAUCGUCUCUCAAAGAAAAUGACCCCGGCCCUUAGGUCCUGACGCGUUAGGCCUUCAUGUUUCUUUCGAAAGCAAGAUUCUUGAAUUAUCCUUUAAAAGUUGGCCAGAUCCAUCUCAGAGAGGACAAUGACACGGAGUAAUAAUAUGAGUUAGCCUUACCUACUCCAUUUGGCUGCCAAAUGUUUCUCCUUGUUUGUCCACACGAUCUCUCUACCAUUUGACAUUUCUUGUACAUGUGUGCCGUACAAAGCCAUUGUACAAUGGCACUUUCGAGCGAUAAUCUGUUUAUUUUACCAAAGUAAAAGCAAGAGGGAUUUGGAAUCUGCACUAAAAAUGUCCAAAGCACAAGAAUAGCGUAGAAGAGAAAACAAGAAAGGAUUCGUCAGAGGUAUGGUGAUGAGAUUGGAUAAGGGGCCAGACAGAAUUGUUGUAUUGCUUGGACCAUGGUGCUUUGUUUAAAUUUUUGUUUUUUUGGAAAGAUUGGACCAUUUGUGCUGUGUUGUUAAUUAGGCGGAAGUUGCGUAAGAAAGACAUUAGCACAUGCUACUUUACAAGUGCCUAAAUGCAAUCAUGCAAACGAAACUUGUCCCAUGCAUGCAAAAAACCAUUAUAAUGGUAGUAUAAAGAAACCACAAUCAAUGCUUUCUAGAAUGUGGGUUGGUGGGGGGGGGGGGGGUACCGACCUGCUGAAAAGGUUUAACCACAAUGAAUGAUCUCUGACUAGUUUUAGCUUUCUUUGGUAGAAGAUCUCUGAUUGAUUAGUUGAAAUCCAAUAAUGAACAUUAAGAAUGAUGAGUGGAACCUGGCCUAUACAGAUUCCGUCUAUUGAUAUGUACUGAUUUUUCUUCAAGAAAGCUAGUAGUGCAAAAUUGCCAUUACAGGAGGACUGAUGGCUGAAAGAGAACUCAUAAAUUAAAAUGAACCAAAUCAUACCUAUAACUUUUCUUCUUUUUUUUUUUCCGGAUCUGGAGGGGUAUUCUGAAAUCACCCAAACUAAUUUCUCCAGAUUGGACAGAGUUUCACCCCAAAAAUGCCCAAUAACGAUAGCACGUGGGGGUCAAACUUGAGAUCUUGCUGUAACUAUAGACGAUCAGUCCCAACCGAACUAUUCAUGAGGCUAAAUUGUACCUAUAAUUUGAUUGAAUUUAAAAUUCCUUAUUGCAAGAAAUGCGAUGAGGGUUUCCGCUAUCAACCAUUACAAUUUUCACACACACACACAACGAACGAAUUGAUUUGAUCAUAUUAUUAGCCCCAUGCCGAUUGAAUAUAUAGGCCAUAAGUAUAAUACUUAUAUGUAUGCACCAAAAUAUACAAAAGGAACUCUUUCUUGAGAGUAAAUUGUAGGGCCUCUCCCAAACCCCAAUUGCCAUAUGCAAGCGGGCCAAACAUGAGUUCAUAAUGUCAUUGUAACUACCAGACUAUUAACUUUUAACUUAGUUCCUCCUGCGGGGAAAAAGGAGUUAGUUACUAUAAACUUAUAGCAGUGCACUUUCAGUUAAGGAGACAGGAUGAUGGAGACACCUGAAUCAUCUACUGCCAUUGCAGGCAGGUCAGUGUGUGUUGUAGCGCAGGCCAAGGGACAGUGGUUAUGAUUUCGAAGCCAAGCCUUCAUUACUCUGAUCAUUAUCUAAUUUAUAUUCAUUCAGACGGCAUAAACAUCGGAGAAACACGAAUGCCUGUUGCCGUUUAGAUUAAAUCUAGUAGUUUAUGGGUUCACCUGAAUUUAAUUCCAAGCUGUCAAGACAUGAAUCUCCAAACAACAUAAUUAUUGUGUGUGUGUGUGUGUGUGUUUUUUUUUUUUUUUUUUUUUUGGGGUUUGCCGUUAAUUUAGGCCUAGUUGAGGGGUCACAAUACCUGUGAAUUUUGCUCAAUUCACUGGGACUUGGUUUUUUAGUGAUCCUUACAUUAGUGUUUUAUUUUUUUUCUUGGGUGGUUUUUGACCUGUAACUCGGUCAAGCUCCCAAGCACAAGCACAACAUAUUAUUGUGUGUGGGAGAGGCUAAGUGCAUAAAUACCGGAAAAAAUGCGGUGGUGUUUUAUGUUUAUGGUGGCUUACAAGUAGGAUUGCAGGAGUUGGUGGAGAAACAGAUGCAGCAAGUCACGGCGAGGGGCAAAAGAGGAGAGGAUCACAGGACCCAUAUUCUCAGCGUUCCCGCUUCCCAUUUUAGGGCAUAUGUCCGUUUUAAUUAGUCACCAACCUUCCGUCCAUCGCGCCGUUGAAAGCUUAGAAAAGCGCAAGAACGAAAUGUGCAACCCCCCCCCCCCCCCCAAAAAAAAAAAAUGAAGGAACCAACCUAGUUUACUACUCCUAUUGCUUUGAACCCAAAAAAGCGCUUUUUUUUUUUUUUUGUGGGCACAAGCAAAAAAGUGUUAACUACGGUCUAAAGCAGGAGCACCAUAAAGAACUGCACUAAGUCACCAGCUGCGCGGCAUCGGGCAUCCCGUGCUUAAAUUAAUGUCCUUAUUGACUGUUGCUCAGAAGAUUUAGGGUACAUUAUUGUUUAUGUCAUAUUAUAUCGUUAAAAAUUGGUAAAGAAGACCAUGGUCCCUCCAAAUUACUAAUUCACUAAUGUUCUUUUGACCGUGGACUACUCUCUAGUCUCUACUAGCUACCCAGCUCAAUUUUGCUACGCAUGCAUUUUUGGGGCAUAUUUUGCUCGAAAUGCUACUAUAAAAUGAUGAAUUACUCGUAUAUUCCUUUAAUUUCCGGAAGUAUAUUUGCAAAUUGCAAUAUUUGGUACUACCAUAACUUAGUCGUUGCACAAGCAUCACGAGGAAAUCACAGAAAACGCGACAUGAAACUUUGCACGUUAAGUACUAUUGUUGUUAAACUUGUUAUGUUACUUUUAAUUGAUGUGAAUAAAAUGCACUAAGGAGAAAAGAAAGUGGCUGGUUUAGUGCUUUGUCUUUUUUUUUUUUUUUGCUGACGGAGUAGGUGUCCGGGCCUUUGGCUCGACUAAUCCCACUCCAUUCCGGGAGAGAAGGUCUCACUCCACUCCGAAUACGGUAGUAAAGGGGCUCGAAC
rnacentral:lncRNA from 1 species